rnacentral:lncRNA from 1 species
CGACUACUCCAAAGUAACGCAGGAUGGAGUCUGGGAAUACUGUCUCUAAAUCGAUCAUGUGAGUAAACUAAACUUCAAAGAGUAACAAGUAACAAAUGUUCGAGUCAAAAUCUUUAGAGCAACAAUUAAAUCUGGAAACCACUUAAUCAGUUAAUUCUUGACAGUGGGUAUUUAAGGACGGAGAUAAGCGAUUAUGACGCGUUAUCUCAUCCCUAAUCCUAUUUCUGAAAGAAAAAUGAGUAUAACUUCAUCCCUACCUUCUUGAUAUUACUGAACAAGAAAGAUUAUUGGGAAUCCUUAGCUCAUGUACAGACAAUACAUAAUGUAAUGACAACAAAAUUAGUCUAAUUUUUCCAAAAACACACACUUAAAUGUGAAGUAUCCACAAAAACACAACAACAUUUAUCCUUCUAAUAGGAUUUCAUACCGAAGAUGAACUUAAAGAAAAAAUGGAAAUCUGAAUUUGGGUUUUUGAAACCAAAAGAAAGGUAUAAUCCACAGACUAAAAAAAAAAAGCAUGUGGCAGAGUAUAUUAUCCUAAUCCUCACUCUCUCUCUUCGACAAACCCAAAAGAUAAGCUUUUGGUAGCCGAAAUAAUGACCGAGGAAUCACAGGAUUUUUCUAUUUUUGGAGGACUUAUCCUCGUUAUUCUUUGUUAUUUUGGAAGGCAAAGAACUCAAGAGGAAGUACUACUAACGGUAUUAUCGGCACAAUAGUUAUAAUAACGAAAAACAACAAAAGCAAGCCAAACGGAAUAUUGUUUCAAUCUUCCUCCUCGCUCCGAUCAACUCGAACAAAAUAGUCGUCGAGGAAUCCUAGGAUUUUAUAGCAUAUUUUGGACCUUGCUCAUUGUCUUUUUGGCACAUAAAAAGCCAAAGGAACUUGAGAGGUAGCUCUGCUAGCAACACUUCUAGCUCAACAAUGACACCACAAUCCAACAACGAUCCUGAACAAACAUGAUCAGAUAACAACUACAAGCCAAACAUCGUCGACUAAAACUACGAAAUACAAUCAAAGUCACAAGCUUUGCCUAACAAACCAGCCCUUCCAAUCACCAUCGAUACACCAAGUGAAUCACAGGCCAAAAAUUACUCAAUAACACCAAGAGUGGGCGACAGAUCAUGACACCAAAGUAAAAAGAAUGACCGGAAACAAACCUGAACAUAGAUUAAUUCUAACAUAAUAAUUCAUUCAACAUUUUUCAUCAAAACAACAACCUAUGGUCUUUGAGACCUCUACAACACAUAACCCAGCAAACAAAACUACGAUUUUACCAGAAAAUGGGAUGAAGCAGAGAAAGUGAAAUAACGAAAUAAAGGGUAAAUGAGUGUUCACCUCCUUCACCUCCUUCGGGGCAGCAAAAUGGGAUAACGAGUAGGUAUGGAGAUCACGACCGCUGAUAAACACCUUCGCCUUCAACUCGAAGUUCAAGUCUAGUCGAUGGACUUACGGAAAAGUAAAUUCUCAGCAAAGAAGGAUUGAAUUUUUUCCAGGAAACUUCUUUCUUUUUCUUGUUUUUCUGGAUCGAAUUUUUUUUUCAACAAAUUUCUUUCAAGCCUAGCUUUUUUGAAAAAAAAAAUCCCCUGAAAAUUGCUCCAUGUCGAGCUAUUUAUAGAAUAGGCCUACAGGGGGAUAAAUUAGAGAUUUCUAAAAUAGGAAAAUUUUGAAUUUGAAUUUCGAAAUCCCCCUAUCAACUUGGGGUUUCAUUAAAAAUUGUACCAAUUUUGGAAUAGGUGGACCUAAGAUUUAGGGAAAAUAAUUUUUUCACCAAGAGCCAAUGAAAUUGUGACAUACACGUACGGAAUUGUACCCCUACACCUGAGAUUCGCAAAAUUGAUCCGUUAUGGUGCAUGAGGUGUCCAGUUUCUAGAACCCUCAUCCAAGAAAACGAUUUAAUCGAUGGGUCAGGUUGAAGAGAAAGAUGGGUUAGUUGGGUUUGUGGGUAUGGUCAGAUUGUCGGGUUGACGUUGGUUGAGAAGAGUUGUCGAUGAAGGUCAUUGUUUGGAUCAAGUUUUUGAGAUGUUAAUAAUGCUGCUGUUUUUGUGUAGAGAGCCGUGUGUUGGCUGAGGGUGAAGGGGAAAAGAUAAUUGGGCCGAGUCAGGUUUUGAAUUGUUGGGCUGCUUGGGUUAAAAGAAAAGAAAUUGGGUUGGUUAUGUUAAAGAGAAGAAAAAAGAAAGUGGGCUGAGGAAUAUUGAUGGGAAUAAAUGGGUCAGUUACUGGCCCAAUUAGAAAAUGGGAAGAGGGCUGAAAAUUGAGUUAUUUAAUAACCCUAAUUAAACUUAAACGAAUUAAGACAAAAGGUAAUUUUGGGGAAUUAAGAUUGAAUCACAAUCUAGGCGAUUUCAUUUAACUUCUAGCCAAACUGAGUAUCAAUUGGUCAAUAGUAUUAGGAUUGAGCCAAUUCAAUUUCAAUUAUGAUUGAAUUAAAUAAAGUUUGACUAAGUUCAAUUAAAAUUCAAUAAGAAUUAAUAUCUCGUUCAAUCCCAAGCUUCUUGAUUUAAUAAAUUCAAACAAAUAUAUUUAACUAACUUACUUUGAGAGCAAAUUGCAUUUAAAUUAAAAUUUUGAUUAUUAUAUUUAUUUUCAAAGCUAUUUCUUAAUUAAAAUCUGAUAUUUUGUAAUAUAAUUAUUUAAGUAACAAAAUUAUAUAAUAUCGUAUCAUUGAGCACAAUAGUAUAUAAUUGCUUCUUAAAAUGAAAAAUUUAUGCAAAUAAAUAUCUUGAAAAGCUUUUAUUCAGAUAAAAAUAUAUGUUGUGAUUUUAUUUAAAAUUCAAGAGAUUGAAGAUUAAACUUGGUUGUGGAGGGCAAAAAUUAGGUGUCAACAUGCGUAAGAAAGGUGGCUCCCUCCGUAUGUGUAUAUACUUCCGUCAGCUAAAUAAGAUUACUGUUAAAAAUAAAUAUCCUCUUCCUUUAUUUGAUGAUCUUUUUGACCAACUUCAGGGUGCCAAAUAUUUCUCUAAAAUUGACCUCCGUUCGGGGUAUCAUUAGUUGAAGAUUAGGGAGGAUGACAUUCCUAAAAUAGCUUUUUGAACUCGAUAUGGCCAUUAUGAAUUCUUAGUUAUGUCCUUUGGACUGACUAAUGCCCCUGCAACUUUUAUGGAUCUAAUGAAUAGGGUGUUUUGUCAGUUUCUAGAUCUAUUCGUUGUAGUUUUCAUCGAUGAUAUUCUGGUCUACUCAAAGAAUGAGGAGGAUCAUGCUAGUCACCUUUGAAUCGUUCUUUAGACCCUCAAAGAUCAUGAGUUGUAUGCAAAAUUUUCCAAGUGUGAGUUCUGGCUUAGUGCUAUUGUUUCCUAGGGCAUAUUGUUUCUAGUGAGGGGAUUAAAGUUGACCCCCAAAAGGUUGAGGCAGUGAGAAAAUGGCCCAGACUCUUGACUCCAACCGAUAACCGAAGCUUCUUGGGUUUGGCCGGGUAUUACAUAAGAUUUGUAGAGAGUUCUUCCUCCAUAGUUGCUCCAGUUACCAAAUUGACUCAGAAAAAGUCAAAAUUCUUAUGGUCUGACUCAUGUGAAAAUAGUUUUGAGAAACUGAAAGAUAAGUUGACUACCGCACCAGUUUUGACUCUUUCUGUGGGUACAAAAGGUUUUGUUAUGUAUUGUGAUGCAUACCGAGUGGAACUUGGGUAUGUGCUUAUGCAACACGGUAAAGUGGUGGUUUAUGCAUCUAGGCAGUUAAAGGUACACGAAAAGAAUUAUCCCUUCCACGACUUAGAGUUAGCGGCUGUGGUGUUUGCACUUAAGAUCUGGUGGCAUUAUAUUUAUGGGGUGCAUGUAGAUAUAUUCACUGAUCAGAAAAGUUUGUAGUAUGUUUUCGCACCAAAAGAACUAAAUCUCAGGUAGAGGUGUUGGUUAGAAUUGUUGAAGGAUUAUGGCAUGAGCUUGAACUAUUAUUCGGGAAAGGCCAAUAUGGUGGCCGAUGCUCUUAGCAGGUUUUCAAUAGGUAGCCUUUCUCAUGUUGAGAAAGGGAAUAUGGAAAUGGUAAAGGAUAUUCAUUGGCUUGUAAAUCUGGGAGUUCGACUUUUGAAUUUUGAAAAUGGAGGAGUAAUUGUUCAUGAGAUAGCUAAAUCCUCCUUAUGUGCUGAAUUUAAGGAGAAACAGGCUGAGGAUCCCAUCUUGAUGUAGAUUAAGAAAUAUGUUCGUCAACAGAAGGUGAUGGAAUUUGAAAUUGAAGGAGACGAGAUUCUAAGAUAUUAGGGUAGGCUGGGUGUACCGAACAUGUAUGGUUUGCAAGAGAGGAUUCUUGAUGAAGCUCACACUUUGAGGUAUGUGGUUUACCCAGGCUCUACGAAAAUGUAUCAUGAUCUUAAGACUAUUUAUUGGUGGAAUAAUAUGAAAAGAAAUAUUGCUGAUUUUGUUUCUAAGUGUAUGAAUUGUCAUCAAGUCAAGGUGGAACAUUUGAGACCAGGUGGCACUUCCCAAGAGAUAGCCUUGCCUAUGUGGAAGUGGGAGUUGAUUAAUAAGGACUUCAUUAUGGGGCUUCCGAAGUUCCGAAGCCAAUAUGAUUCCAUUUGGGUGAUUGUAGAUAGGUUGAUCAAGUCCGCCAUUUUCUUCCAGUAUGGAUCAACUAUUCGGGGGAUGACUAUGCCAAGCUAUACAUUUGAGAGAUAGUCCAUUUUCAUGGUUAUCCUGUGUCCAUUAUAUCUGAUCGAGGUACACAAUUUUCUUCACAGGAUUAGAGGUCUUUUCAAAGGGGUUUAGGCACCCAAGUGAACUUGAGUACUAAUUUCCACCCUCAGACUGAUGGGCAAGCUGAAUGCACCAUUUAGACCCUUGAGGAUAUGUUGAGGGCUUGUGUAAUUGACUUCAAAGGUAGUUUGGUAGAUCAUUUGCCGUUGAUAGAGUUCAUCUACAACAAUAGCUGCCAUUCUAACAUUUAGAUGGACCCCUUUGAGGCGCUUUAUGGGAGAAGAUGUAGGUCACUAGUUUGAUGGUAUAAAGUAGGUGAAACUUGAUUGUUUGGGCCUGACCUUGUUCAUCAGGCGAUGUAAAAGGUGAAGGUCAUUAGGGAGUGACUUAAGACUGCUCAGAGUCGCCAGAAGUCUUAUGUCGAUGUUAGAAGGAGAGACUUAGAAGGUUGAUGAUUGGAUUUGUCGCCAGAAGUCUUAUGUCGAUGUUAGAAGGAGAGACUUAGAAGGUUGAUGAUUGGAUUUUCCUAAAGGUCUCCCCCAUGAAGGGGGUCAUACAGAAUUUAAGGUUGAUGAUUGGAUUUUCCUAAAGGUCUCCCCCAUGAAGGGGGUCAUACGAGUUGGAAUAAAAGGGAAGAUUAGUCCUCGUUAUAUUGGACCAUAUCAGAUUGUGAGAAGGACAGGUGGGGUUCAUAUGAGUUAGAUUUACCCACAAGUCUGGCUUCCGUGUAUCCAGUAUUCCAUGUGUCCAUGUUGAGAAAGUGCAUUGGGGAUCAUUAGCUAGUGUUACCUAUAGAUAAAAUAAAUAUGAAAGACUCCUUGUCAUAUGAGGAAAAACCUAUUGCCAUUUUAGAUUGCCAAGUUUGGAAGCUGAGAAAUAAAGAGUUAGUUUUCAAGGUGUUGUGGAGGAAUCAAAAAAAGGAGGAAGCUACUUGGGAGUCAGAAGAUGUCUUGCGACCUAGAUACCCAAACCUCUUUGAGAUCGUGGAUGAUGACAUAAAAGGUACAAAUCAUAUACUACUCUCUCUGUCUUUUCCUUAGUAUGCUUGAAAUCAUGCUUGUCUAUGUUCCGAGCCAUCAUUCGGGGAUGAAUGAUCCCAAGGGGGGAUAAUAUAACACCUCACAUUUUCAAGAUAGAAAUCGAACCAUCGUUCCUACGUGUUCAAAAUCUAAAACCAUGAUUCAUAUUUUAAUUCUUGUGUCAUGAUCUUUAUCCUAGUGUUGGAAUUCUUGCAUAAGUUUCCAUGACUUUUGAAAUACUAAUUUUCUUGUACAGUUUGAAUGAUUUCGUGGUCCAAACAUUAUGUUUUGAAUGAAAAGACCGUAACAUGAUAUUGUUUGUCUUAUAUGACUUGCAAGUCUUGGUAUGACGAUACCAAAUCAGACAAAUGCCAUAAUAGACUCAAACUAGACUUUACUACAGAAAGUUUUCAGACAUUACACCACUUGCCAGAAAGAUGCAUGAUUUAAAAUAUUAAAAAUAGGCUUAAGGAGAGUUAGAUGGUUACCCGAAGAAGGCGUUUGAGUGUAAGAGCUCAUCGCUGGAAAUCGAGUUUUGUCGAUACGGGUGAUAUGAUUUGCUAAGGCCAAUGUAUACUUGUCCUUGAGACACUAGUGUACUAGACUAGUACGUAGGACCGGUAAACUUAGAUGUGGGGGCUUGGCUGACGAUCGGAAGGCCUUGGUUAUUGGACAUUGCUAUUUUAUUUUUGUUUCACGAUCUGACCGGGGGCCUUAUCCCAAUUUUAGACAUAUGUUGGUUCUUGCAUUGUUAGAGAUUUCGCAGACAGGUGUCAUGUAUUUUGAAUGUUAAGAAUUUCUUUUUGAAUUAUUCAGUUGAAUUAUGAGAAUGACCAUGUUUUCAUACGAUAAUUUUCUGCAUUUUUUUUAUAUUUUAUGAAUGCUGUGCAUGAUUGCCAGAUAGAAAGGUGCACCCGUGCCUUCAUGGUUUGGGAUGCUCAUCAUGGCUAGGGCCUCAGCUCGAGUCGUGACACUAUACUUCAAAUACCAUGAAAUUUCAUCUUAUUUGGACAUAACUAUACAACAUUAAAAUGGCUAAAAUUUAGACAAAUAUCAUUAAAUUUAAUCAUAUAAAACUUUAUACACCAUAUAUUUGAAGUCGUAUGGGGUAAAAUCCACUGAAGUACACGUGGGACGAUCAGGAGAGACAUCUCAAGAAUUCAUCAAAGCAAUUAGUGUGGAGCUCACGAGAUGUCUUUCUCUAGCUAACGACAACGGAAGCAACCUCUCGUAUGUGAUAAGAAUUCAGCCACACGCCUCUCAUGGUGACAUGACACAGGGGUCAAACAUGAGACAAAUGUAUCACACCACUUAGGUGGGCCGCCGAGUCUGCUCAUUAACAGAUCAGACACAUGGCAUGUCAGCAUAGGUCGUAGUCCUUUUAGGCUCUAUUUUCUAAUUAUGAUUGACCAUAGUCUAAUGUUGUUCAUGUAAAGGGAUCUGCUCUCUCAUUCUCUCACUCAUACAAUAAUUUUUUCUUUGGUCCUCAAUUAUUUUCUUUUGUUCUUGAUUACCUAGCUAGUGUUAAUCUUGCCUGCUAACAACUCAGGUAGCCGGAUCAGAUCUUGACUGCACCAAUACUUGCUCAAGGCUUGCCUAGAUUCGUUUUCUUUGCUUUACUUGUUUCGUAUAAUUCAUACUUGGUUGAUUUCUCUUAUCACUUCAUGAUAAAACUGCUCGUAAAUCGAUCUAAAACAAGGUUAAAUCACGUUCUCCUGACUCAUCUACAAAUUCAGUUAUAUACCAAAUCCACAGUAAACAGGAGUUGUUUUAAGACAGAUAGUCUUGUAAUUUUUAUGAGUUUGAGUAUAAAUUUAAUCGUAUGGUUCCAAAGUUGAGUAUCUAUACACACUUCAGCCUUGGAUAGUUAAACAAAAAAUAAAUUCGAGAUGCACCCGUUUUGCAUUUUACACUUCUUCGUAAUAAUUGAAAGAUUUUAAUUAAGAAUUUCCACCAUAUUUUUAACUACACGCCUUUUUUUUUGGAAGUUCUAUUAACCCUUAACUACUUUAAAAUUUUAUACAUACUCUUAAAUGUUGAGGUAACAAAGAGAAUUUACUCACUUUCUAUGAAGACAUGGAGUGCGAGACCAAAAAUAAUUUACAGAGAGUGAGAAUAUUCUCUUUACCACCACAACGCUUAAGGGUGCAUUUCUUCAAUUCUAAUGUAGUUCAAGAGGAGUAAUAGGGCCUUCUAAAAAGAAAAAGAAAAAUCAUGCAGUUGAAUAUGAUCAUUAUGAUGAUAGUUCACGGGGUACUUGUGCUUUUUCCUUUAAUUGUCAGAGAAUUUUACCUGUUUUUUCCUUUCCCUUUCAAUUCUUUCAGAAAAAAAAAAAGAAAAGAAAAACGAGACACAUUAUUUAUUGUAAAUGAUAUUCCUAAAGAAACCAAUAUUCAAAAUGAUAAAUAUAAAAAGGGGAAAAUAGUGUAACAUUUCCAACUUUGACGAAGUUGUUGACCAUCACCUUGAAUUAUUGUAAAUUGUAAUAUUGCUUCAAUCUAAAGCAUGGCUUUGUAUGGAGAGAGAGAGUAAUUAAAAUAACCAGUUUUGUUCUAUAAAUAGUGUUUACUAUUGUAUAAUUAUUUAAAUCUACAAUUAGUUAUGGAGACCAGUUAAUGUUAUUUUCAAUUUAUAAUUGAUUAUAAUAGUAGCACUUACAGGUAAGAAAUUGAAGCUUAUCAAAGUUUCAUAAAGAAUUUGAUUCUCUUGACAUAAAAGUAAUUCUAAAGUAGAAUGCAUUUUGUGUACUGGUUACAACAAUAUAAUGUUAAUAAGAGAAUUUUAAAUACGUAAAUUUGUCACCUUAAAUAUAUAUGAUCAUCGACGAAUUUUUUUAGUUAUUUAAAAAAGGUGUUUGAUUGACUUUGUUAGAAAAUAUAUUUUUUUUUACUAAAGCCUGCCGACUUGGAGAAAAAUAUGUUUUUUUUUUUUUUUUUUUUUUAAAAAUUAGUCGUAACAGGCAAAUUAUAAGUAUAGGCAACAAAUUGGAAAAAGAAGUCAUUGGAUUUCAAAUUUUGGUCACAAAGUUGUCACUCACUCACACAGUGAAAAAAUAUUUUCAACUUCCAUUACAAAAACAUAGUGAUAAUCAAAGAGUUUUAAAUUCGUAAGUUGACCGCGUUAAUUAUAGAUUAUCAUAGACAAGUUUUGUGGUUAUUUUAAAACGCGCUUGAUCGACUUUGACAGAAAAUGCAAUCUUUUUCUAAAGUACUUUGUCGAUUUAGAGAGAAAAUACGAUCUUUUUUUGAAUCCUGUUGCAACGGGUGAAUUAAAUAUAGACAACAAAUUAGGAAAAAGAAUUAUAAAUUCUGAUUGCAAAACUGUCACUUACUCAUUAUCAAAAUUUUUUCAACUUACCAUUACAAAAAUUGGAACACACCAUAAAUGAAGGGGAAGGUUAUACUAUGAGCACCCUAUAAAUUCUCUUCACAUUUUACAUAAUUAUACUGCAUAAUUGGUACUUCUCUCUCCCCUUUCUUUCUUUAGAGAAAUUUUUUGUUAUUUCGCACUUUGAAUAUGCAUAAUGCAAAUUUUUAUCCUCCUUCAAUUCAGAUACUUCUAUGCCUUUUGUGAAAUGAAAUAUUCCAUAUUCAUGAAUUCACAGAAUUAAUGAAUCAUGUAGAAACUAUUCAUCUAUCAUCCGAGCAAAAUGCCAACUUAAAUUCUCAUGUAGAUAAAGAUGGUAUAUUUUUGCAAAAUGAGAGUUCACUGAGAAAUGAUAGGGUUGUUGUCCAACUAACAACGCCUUCAAAUCAUAACCAGCCGAUAAGAUGGGCCAGAGCGUCACCAAUCAAUAGGCAACAAAUGGUAAGACGAAAUAGAGUUGUACAAAGAAGAAGAGGCACACCACCACCAACCGAUAGGCAACAAAUGGCAAGAAGCAUCGGAGCUGGAGGUUCAAAUUCAAUAUUUGCAAAUUCAAAUGAGUCUGAUGAUUUCACAAAACCAUUGAUUGAUCAAUUGGAUGUUCCUAUUUCACCAAAUGCAGAUGACUUAAUUAAUAUAGCAGAAGAACAAAAUGAUUUAUUCUUGACCUUGAGGCUUUAAUAAGAUUUAAAAUUAUAUGGAACUUCUUUAUAAGAGUUGAUCUAAAAUUGAGCCAAGUCUGGAAUCCUCUUAAUAUAUAUAUAUAUAUAUGUGUGUGUGUGUGUGUUUCUCCUGGUAUUAGGGUAUCUAUAAGAGUGAGUCGGUUGUUUUAUUUUAUUUUGGGUCAAACAUAGUGAGUGUCUAUAAUUGUAUCAUGGUUGGAGUCUGUUAUUUUUGUUUUAUUUUAUUUUGAGUCAGACAUGGUGAGUGUCUAUUAUUAUUAUGUCAUAAUUGGAAUCUGUUGUUUUAUUUUUUAAAAUAUUUAUCUUGAUUUAAGUCAUCCAAAUUCCUUUAUUUACGUGCAAAUACUUCUCGAUUUCUUGAUCUAACAUAGUAAAAGAAAAACACAAAAUGGCUUAGUAGGUAGCAUUCUAUGCCUUAGUAGACUUGCCCGGCGUGACAAGAAGUUAGCCGGAUCACUAUGCUUCAAAUACUGUAAAAUUUCAUCUUAUUUGGGCACAAUUGUAUAACUUUAAAACGGCUAAAGUUUAGAUAAAUAUGAUUGAAUUUAAUCAUAUAAAACUUUAUGCACCACAUAUUUGAAGAUGUAUGGUGUAAAACCCGCCUAAUUACACGAGGCAUGAUCAAGACGGAUAACUCAAGAAUUCAUCACAACAACGAGUGUGGAGACCACAAGAUGCCUUUCUCAAGCUAAUGACAACAAAAACAACCUCUCAUAUGUGAUAAGAAUUCAGCCACUCGCUUCCUACGAUGACAUGACAUAGGUGACAAAUAGGAGACAAAUGUGUUAGACGACUCAGGUGCGUCGCCUUGUCCAUAAAGAGCUGAACAUCAAAGGAAUAUUAGCUGGCUCAUUAACAGAUAGGAUACAUGGCAUGUCAGCGUAGGUAUUAAUCCUUUAGGGUUCUAUUUUCGAAUCAUGAUUGGUCCUAGCCUAAUACUGUAACCUAUAAAUAAUUGUGCUUCUUCACUUGUUAAAUUAGCUCUCUCAUUCCUCACUUAAUAUAACAAUCUUUUUCUUUGGUCCUUGAUCAUUUUCUUUUGUUCUUGAUUACCUAUCUAGUGUUAAUCUUGCUCUGCUAACAACUCAGAUAGCCGGAUUAGUUCUCGAUUGCACCAAUACUUGCGAGGGUCUUGCCUAGAUUUGUUUUUUUUGCCGUACUUGUGUUGUAUACUUCAUACCAGGAGCGGCUCUGCCCUAUUGAAAAAAAGCCGAUCGCCUAAGGCCCCUAAAUUUGAGGAGCCUCAUAUUUUUAGGUAAUAAUAUAUAUGUCACGACCCAGACUAAUGGACCGUGCGGGCACCUACGCUAUUCUAAGUAGCUAGGAGAACCCUUAUUACCCAACUAAAAAUAUGCGGAAGACUUCUGUUUUUAAGAAAAUAUAAAGUAAAUUAAACACUAAUAACGAAACUUUUUCAAAAUAUUCUUACAAAUGUCCUUUACUAUACCAAGACUUGGCCAGACAUGUACAAGAGCUACCUAUUACAAUACAGACUAACAAUAAAAUAAAUAAUACAAGGACUCUAAUAUCUGCCAGGAAGAAAGUGCAGAAGUUAGUGCUGAAUAUCGUCAUCCAUCUAGAAACUGCAACUAACCUGCAUCUAUUCUACACUCCAAGAAGGAAUGUAGAUAUAAUACCCCUUACUUUUCCUAGCUUGAAAUCGUCUUAAGAAUGUUAAAAGCUUUCUUUGAAAGAUGAGUCCACUUUUGUACAUGUGAUAUUUUUAAUAUUUUAACUUUUUGUCAUGUGAGAAAUUGAAUUAGGUUUCCAACGAUACCAAUUUUAUCAAAAUACGCCAUUUUAGGAGAAAGUUAUGGCCAAAAUGCGGAAGGCAGUAAAAAACCGCCUAGGUACGACGAUGAGGCCGACGGACCGUCGGACUAGCGACGGACCAUCGCCCACAACCGUCGCAAAGGAAAAAAUGAGACCACUUUCUGGAUAAGGUGCGACGGGCAGGUUGACGGACCAUCGAACUUGUGGCGGACCCUCUCCCAAGCCAUCGCAGCCAAGUCAGUGAGACCCUAUUCAGGUCCAGGUGCGACGGUCGGAACGACAGACCGCCGAGCCAGCAACGGACCGUCGCACGAGCCGUCAUAGGUCCUGUUCAGUUAUUUUAAGUCAUUUUUUUUAAAGGAGCAUUUUUGGUCUUUUACUACCCAUUUAUAUACCCAAUUAUAUCUGACCUUAGCUUACUUUGUUUAUCAUUAUUUCACAACAACAAAACUAGGGUUUUCUCUCUAACAUUAUUCUCCAAGAAGAAAAUCCAAAUCUUUUUCAAGAACUAAGAGAUUCAAAUUCUUCAAGUUCAAGAACUUUAAGAAACUCAACCCAGGUAUGCAUAGUGUUCAUUCAUGGACUCCUUUCAUCCAUGAAGCCCAAGAAUCUCUUUUCAAAGUUUAAGUUUAUGGAUUUCCUUUAUGAAUUUCAUGAUUGGGCUGCUCUUGUUCAUGUUGAUAAUGAGUAAUUGAAUUCUAUUUCAUGAUUGGGUGAUAAAUUAUAUGUGGGUUUAAUUAGUACAGAUAUAGAUUUAUGCUAACCUAUGCCUAAACCCUUGAAUGAUGAAAUUAGAAUUGAAUCAUAAUGUUUUAAUUGUUGUAUAGUAUUGUUUACACAUACUAUGCCUACCAUGUGUUUGAUUGAAUGCCUAGAUGAAGGAAAAUGCUUAACUAGCAUGAUAUCAUGAAAUUCCCAUGUAUGUACAAGUUUAUGCAUAGCACAUGUUUGAUGAAAUGCUUCUAUAAAUGCAUUAUGGAUUAUGAUGUGAGUCAUGUAUUCAAGAAAGUCAUGCUUUGUCAGUUUUUUUCCAUCGAGUCCUGGGGCUACUUGUACCCGAAAUAUUCACUGUGUGCCUAGAGCCAAGUCAUGUUUCUACGUUACUCUCAGUCAAGCCAUGAUCCUUAGACUUCAGACAGUCUUAUGACUUAGGAAAUCUCCAUGAUCUCAUGAACUCAAUUAGUUGUCAGAUAUCAGUUGUAUUCCAUUAGUGAACGGAAGUUAGUAACUCAGUUCAUGUUCAGUUCAGUAACUCAUAUUCAGUGUCUAUUCAGAUGGGAGUAGAAAUUAGCACCGAGUGAACCCAAGGAAUGAAACUCGCCUUUUAUAUGAGGGUGUGAUUCUUAGAAGCAAAUCCUUGCGUUCCAGAACUAUGUAGCCAGCACAGGUUGAGACAUAAUAGCCUGCUAUAUGAGGGUAGAUGAGGUGUCUUAACCUGCUAUAUGAGGGUUCCCACUAUUCUCACUAGAGUUACCUGUUAUAUUAGGGUUACUAACACAUUGUCCUUACCAAUGGCUCGGUAUUGACACCCUUCCAAUCCGGGCACAGAUUGGACCCCAAUUCAGCUAUAAUGCAUCAUUUUGGUCAUGUCGUUUAGAUGAAUACCUCCCACAGUCUCAGUAUCAGUAUUAGUAAAAGAACUCAGAUAGUUCUUCAGAAUUUGGGAUUGUCAGAUACAACCAACUCAGAUACAGUGCGGAACUCAGCUAGUUCCAUUAGAUUCAGGACCAUUAGAUACAGUCACUUAUGUUAUCAAUUAUCAGAAUACAGUCAUUAGUCAUGUUAGUCAUCAGCAUACUCAUGCUAUCAUGAUUUCAGAUAUAGUUAUUAUGCAUGCAAGCAUGUAUUCUCACGUUCAUAUUAGUCAGUUAGCCAGUAUUGUUCAUGCAUAUAAACCCCAUUCAUACCAGUAUAUUCAAAGUACUGACAUAUUUGCGCUACGGUUUCUUAUACCAUAGGCUCAGAGACACGAGCUCCAGUGCAUCAGUAGAUUCCAGAUAUCAGCAGUCAUAGUUAGCAGUGAGUCCUGAUCCUUCGAGGACAUGAUUAUUUCUCUAUAAUCUCAUUAAUUAGUUUAUUAGUUAGAGUUAGUUGGGAACAUGUCCCAUCAACUCCUUACUCAGACAGUUCAGUCAGUUAGAGGCUUUUCAGACAAUUAUGUUCAGUUAGUUAUUCCAGUUGUUUUGGAUUUUUCAUACCCCAUUUAGAUGUUAUGUUUUACUUGAGUUAUGUGAACCUUAUAGCCUUUCAGUUUAUGUUUCCACAUUAUUUAGUAUAUUAUGCAGUAUACAGGUAUAAAUAUCAGUGAUGGGUUAGCUUGUGAUCCUUUAAGGUCAUGACCACCGUGUAGCAUUUCGGGUAUCAGAUUUUAGGCAUUACAAACUUGGUAUCAGAGCCUAAGGUUCAAUAGAGUCCUAGGAAGUUUGAAAUUCGCAUCUAGUAGAGUCUUGUUCAUGGGUAUGUUGUGUGCCACAUUUGUGUGCAAGAGGCUAUAAGAUAUUUUAGCAACAGUUUUACUUCUUUCAGUAUUCAUGUUGUGCCAGUGAGCAUAAUCUCAAUAUAAUCUCUCAGUCUAAUACAUUUUUUCUUCUUAUUUAAGAACAUGCCUCCCAAGAGAAGAACCUAGCUUGUCUAAGAAGAUCCCUUGGACGAACAUGUUUAUCAUGUGGAGUUUAGGGCCCCAUUCACCACUCUUGCUCAGUCAGUUGCUGCUCAAAAUGAACAACCAGCUAUUAUUCUGGCCUACCCAGUGGCCAAUUCAGCUGCAUCCAGGAUUCAGGACUUCACUUGAAUGAAUCCUCCCUUCUUUCUUAGGUCUAAGACAGACGAGGACCCUCAGGAAUUUCUAGAUCAGGUGUAUAAGGUUACAGACAUAAUGGGGGUUACGUCUAGUGAGAGUGCUGAGCUAGUUGAAUAUCAAUUGCAGGAUAUGGCUAAUACUUGGUUCAAGCAGUGGAAGUCAAAGAGGGCAGACGAUGUAGGGUCAGUUGAGUGGGAGGAGUUUGCUUCCCCAUUCCUUGAUAGAUUCUUUCCCCUAGAGCUUAGAGAAGCUAAGGUGCUAGAAUUCAUCAACCUCAGGCAGGGCAAUAUGAUAGUGAAAGAGUGUUCUCUUAAGUUUACUCAAUUAGCCAGAUAUGCCCCUCAUAUGGUUGCAGAUAGUAGGGCAAAAAUGAGUAAGUUUGUUUCAGGGGUGAAUGAUAGCGUGGUUAAUGAGUGCUGAUCCGCCAUGCUAAAUAGUGACAUGACUUUAGCCCGGCUCAUGACUCAUGCUCAGCAGAUAGAGGAGCAGAAGAUUAAGAUGAGGGAGAAGCAGAAUAAAAGAGCGAAGACAGGUAGUUUCAACUUUGCUCAGCCUAAGUCAGAAACCAUUCUCAAUUUCAUCAUAAGUCAUUAGUUCCAGCUCCUUCUUCAUCCAGUUCUCUAGUUCAUAAGUUUAAAGAGGGUAACAAAGAUAGAGCGCCAGGCUCUAAGUCCCAGGGCAGUGUUAGUAGCGUUCCGGUCGAUAAAAUCCUCCGAGUGAUCAGACCUGCUAUUAAUGUGGGUAUCUCCGUUUCCCACACCUAUCCUCUUUGCCAAACUUGUGGCAAGAACUAUCAGGGUAUUUGCAGAGCUGACAAUGGUAUUUGUUUCAAAUGUGGCAAGCCAGGCCACAGAGUCAGAGACUAUCCUCAGCCAGGUCCUCAGGGUCAACAAAAUCGCUCCUCAGCUUAGGCUAGUCGCCCAAAUCAGCAAGGUGCCACCUCCAGUGCUACUAGUGGGCAACGCCCAAAUCAUCUCUAUGCUCUUUAGUCCCGACAAGAUCAGGAAAAUUCUCCUGAUAUGGAUACCGAUAUGUUACAGAUCUUUCAUGUGCAGAUUUACGUUUUGCUAGAUCCAGGAGCUUCUUUUUGUCACUCCUUAUUGUAGACACCUAGUUUCUUCCCUCCCUGACAUCACUUUUACCUAUUUUUACUUUAUCCUACCGUGUACCCUCAUCUACAUGAUAACCCCUCCAUAAAAUGACAAAAUAAUGACCAACUCUAAAUAAAUUUUUAUCACAAAGUUCCCACCUUAUCUCAAUUGAUAACAAAUUAACAACCCUUCCUAUUAAAUUAGGCCACCUCACCACUACCUACCCAUGCCCUCAACCCCCCUACACAUUUUCUUUCCUUUAAAGGAAAUAAUAAAGAAUAAAAAAAAGGCCAACUCAUCAUCACCUGGAAAAUUACCCUUUCCAUAUACAUAUAAAUCAUUUACAAACGCACACCAAAAAAUUCCAUCUUCUUCCACAUAGAUGAACGGGCACUGAUAUAGAAAAAAAACUCUAUUUUCCUGAUUUUCUUCUUCACGGGUAGAGAAACAGAACAAAGAAUAGAGAGAGAGAGUAGUGAAGAGGGAGAGACAGAAGGGAGAAGUCGAGGCUAAUGAUUCCGGCAAGUUUCUCGCCAUAAAAUGUUGUUGUUGCUUUAAAAUUGGGCUGUGAUCCAUUUCCCAGUGCUGUCUGAGCCUUUUUCAAAACUCCGAUGAAGAAACAACCAAAUCAGUUCCCUCCCGUCGUCUUUUCUCGCUCAAAUUUCACUGGAGAUUAUAUAAUGGUCAUCGACAAUUUUCUAAUCUCGUUAGCUUCUGUGAGUUCCUAGCUUCGUUGGGAUUAAUUGGUUAUAGAAUUAGUUGUUCAAGUUUGGUUCGUCGGGUUAGAGAUUUGAGUUGCAGGUUCGUGGAUCGAGGUUUGGUUAGAGGUUUUUGGUGCAGACUUUCUUUAUUCUAAUAACAUUGAAUUCAAAAGCUACAAAUGAGGUCCAAUUCUACUCUUUCACCUCUUUUAUUUCAUUAUUGAUUAUAUCCGGUGCAUUGAAUUGAAUACCAUGUUGGUUGAUCCGUGCUGAUGUGAAUUUUUUGUUGUUUUGAUUCAUCAUUUGAUUCCCUUGAUUGUGAAUUGAUUAUGGAUUAUGUGAUGAAAUGGUAUCUCGUUUGAGAAUUAAAAUUGGUUGUUUUGGGGGCAGAAGUUAAAAGUUGAUAAAGUGAUUAUUGUUAUUUUGAUUCAUUGAUAUCGAACUUGGUAGUAUCGUGAUAGGCCGAGUGGGAUAGGAAAAUAUAGGUUCGGGUAGGCAAAUUUAGAACUUUUGUUUGGGUUGAAUGUUGGAAUGUGCAUGUGAGUAUCUCUUUCUAGUUUAUCGUAUUUAAUUCAUAUGCAUUCAUUUAGCUGGGGAAUGCCCUGAGACACAUUGUAUUUAUUCAUCGAAAAAUGCCCCGACGUAUUGUGCUACCGAAAAACAUCCGUGAUGAAGGCUCAAGGCAUCGGGUGAAGCAUGAGAGCAUAGUUAGGAUUAGUGUAGGUUAGAAUAGGAUUUACAUUUCACAAUUUUUAUUUUGGACUGUAUAAUUGGAUUGAACAUUGUAUUUUGAAUUUUCUUUGUUUUGUGUGUUUGAUUGAUCACUUUAUGUGUUUUGUGUGGAUUUAUACAUUUGUAAUGUCAAUUAGCCGAUACACUCCACCAAGCGACCGUGGACGAACCAUGGGAUCGAGGUGUGCCUAACACCUUCCCCUCGAUCAAUAGAAAUCCUUAGCCGGAAUCUCUGUUAGCACACCAGUUUCAAAGAGUCAAAUGAUUUUGAAAAGAAUUUUUCAAAAGUGACUUGGCACACCAGAUUAUGGCAAGUGGAGACUCUGAACAAAAAUGUAAAUAGUCUUUUUUGAAACAAAUUUUCAUCUUUUGUCAAUUUAGUAAAUAAAACCCUUGUGAACUUAAAAUAUAAUCUCUUUGGUGGUAAAAAGGGGGUGUGACAGUUCUGGAGACUCCGCUGGGUAUUUUUCAAAAUUUGAGCUAAUUUGGAGUUGUAUCAGCUUUGUUUGACAUUAUGGGUGUAUAGACACUGUUUGUGUUAUUGUUCGUAUUCAUUCUAUCAGUGUUGAGUGCCUACGUGCUCUUUGUUUACAGUUUUACUUUAUGUGUUACCGCUUUAUAUCUGACAUCAUGUGCAUAACCUGAGUCAUUCUUUUUGCAACAAGUCUGUAGUACACGUGUUGUACACGACCUCUAGUUGAGUCAGUCUUAUUUUAGGAGGGGGAGCCAUCGGUGUUAUGGAGUGGGUGGAAAGCUUUCGCAGCCACUAUCGACCAUACACCCCCCGAACAGCCUUGUUAGUGAACCCUAGCGUAGGUCAGCCUUUAGGUCAUGCUUAUCUGCAUCAUAUUGAGACCUAGCGGGACCCACUUGGUCCUUCGUAGGAGACUCACCUUUAAAGCAUCUGUACGUGCUAAAUGUUGCAUCUCUGAGGAUAGCGUGGUCAUUUGACGAACCGAUUUGGGGAAAACAUGUGUUAGAAGUAAAGUGUGUAGACAAGAAAGUGUUGAAAAAAAGGAGAAAAAGAAAAGGUGUCAAAAAUAAAAGGGAGUGUUUUGUAAGUUUUUAGAAUUCUUUAUGGCUUUUGAUUUUUUUUCACAAUCCAAAAAUUCAAAAGAUUUUUUUCCUUUCGCACUCAUUUUCUCAAAAAAAAAAAAAAAAUCCAAAAGUUUUUUCUUUUAUUUUUUUACCAUGCAUUCAUAAUUCAAAAAUUUUAAAAAGAUUUUUUUCAUAGUUGUUGGUGUCAUUUUUAUGUGAAGUGUCUAAUUGAAAAACCCCAAAAAAUAUUUAUUAAUGGAUUUUGUCGUUUGUCUUUGGUAGUGUCUCUUAAAUCAGGGUUCUGUUUGCUAGUUAAUCCUUAAUUGUCUAAUCUGAACGAACUACACACCCCUUGAUUCUCUUCUCUUGGGAGUGAGAUACGUAGGCAACCUAUUAUAGGUUCGGGGAUCUUAUUUAAAAAAAUUCAAAAAUAUUUUCUUCACUCUUCAUUUAGAGUAGGUGUUUCAUACAUGUCUUGAAAAGAAAAAUACAAAAAAAAAGAUUUUUCUCAAUAGUCGUAGGUUUCAUUUUUGGUUGAUCUUAUUUCAAAAAUCCAAAAAUAAUUUUUUCACUCUUCAUUUAGAGUAGGUGUCAUAUGCAUCAAUAAAAGAAAACUACAAAAGAUUUUCCUUUAAUAGGUUCAAGUUUCUUUUUCGUAUGAAGUGCAAAAUUGAAAACCCAAAAAGACUUUCUUUGGUAAUCAUAGGUUUCAUUUUUUAUAGGGUUAUUAAAGCUGAAAAAUUCAAAAAAAGAUUUUCGUCUAUUCUUUUGACAAUUUGUCAUUUUUCUUUUCUUCUUAAAAUUCCAAGAACAGGAAAAAGAGUUUAAUUGGCCAUUUUGACAAGACUUCACAAACUACGCACACCUGAUUCUCUUCUUUCGGGAGUGAAGUACGUAGACGCCCUUCUUGGGUUCGGUGAUCUUUUCAAAAAAAAAAAACAAAAAGAAAAAAGAGAGAUUUUGAGAAAGUGUUGAACUCUAACGCAUUUUCUAUCUCUUGUUCAGUUAGUUUGAGGUAGUUGGUUUGUGGCAUUUUGGCUGGUCCUCCAUAUUGCACCAAGUCACAGAGAAGGUUAUGGACAACAAGGAUACCGAGUUUGUUGUCACUAAUCAGAUAGGGAGUUCAGAAAAUGAGAAUUUAGGAGAUAAUGAAGAGAUUCAGAAAUUAAGGCAGCAAAUGAUAGAAAUGCAUCGAGCUUGGGCUAAUGGGUUGCCGUCUCCUCCAGUUUCCACUGAUAAUCUGGAAUAUCUUUCUAGCUUACCUUUCAUGUCACAUGCACAAUUUACCAUUUUUGUUGAUAUGCCACAACAUGCAUCAGGAUCGACUCCGGGGCAACAAUAUCCAACCACUUCCAAUGUUCAUUUUCUCACUCCCCAAUCCAAGACUGCCACAUACUCGGCUUCACCUGCUAUUCAUCCUUUUGCGGCGCCACCCCCACCUGAAUCUCCUACUUUUGAUUUUCAUCCACAAGUUGUGCCUCCCUACUCUACAAGAGAGCCUGCAUUGAAUAUUACUGGUGAUCAGCGUUACACUUUUGAGCCUACAUUCAAGUUGACUGGUCAUUAUGGUGAUACUCACCCGCCUGAAUUUCCUCCUAACACUGAGAAGCCUGUUAUGACAGAAGAACAAGAGGAAAUGACCAGAAAAUUAAGAAGUUUGGAACUGGAUAUGAAGAACUUGCAAGGACUUGAGGGUUACAAAAGUGUCUCAUAUAAGGACAUAUGCAUGUUUCCAGGUGUCAACCUUCCUCUUGGCAUUAAAAUGCCAAAGUUUGAGAAAUAUGAUGGACAUGGGGACCAGUGGCACAUUUGAGGCGCUAUUGUAACCAAUUAAGAGGCGCUGAAGGGAAGGAAGAACUACUUAUGGCUUAUUUCGGGGAGAGUCUUUCAGGCCUAGCUUCAGAAUGGUUUGUUGACCAAGACAUCGAUAAGUGGAUUAGUUGGGAUGACCUAGCUAUUAAAUUUUUGCAACAAUUUCAAUACAAUAUGGAGUUGAUCCCUGACGAAAAAUCCCUAACUAGUAUGAAAAAGAAGAAUACUGAGCGCUUCAGGGAGUAUGCGAUCAGAUGGCGCGAACAAGCUGCUAGAGUGAAACCGCCAAUGAAAGAAAGCAAAAUAGUGGAGGUGUUUAUUCAAGAACAAGGUGAAACAUAUUACCAACACUUGUUACCUGCAUUGGGCAAGUCAUUUAUUGAGGUCCUUAAAAUGGGGGAGAUGAUAAAAGAAGGAAUUAAGAUGGGUGGCAUUGUGAGUUUUGUAACAUUGAAAGAGACUACUCAAGCAACUCAAAAGGGUUCAGGAAUUGUUGGGGAGACAAAGAAUGAGGAAGAUGCAUCUGCUAUUGUAGUUGGAUCGCGGGAAUGGUCAAGAAGACCCAGUCGUCUUCACUCUCAGGAAAAAACCCAAGUUCAUGCCCAAGCUCCACAUAAUCACUCCCAAAAUCCAUUAUACUCUGCUCCUUCACCUCCAUAUCAAAGUACAACCUCAUAUUCAACGCCUAUCUUACCCACAGUGGAACACACCAACUCCUUAGAGUCAUUCUCUAACUCCACAAACAUACCAAAACCCUUCUAAGCCUGAUUUUUGAUCUAAGUCAAAUGAUGAAAUAAGUUAAAAGUCGAGAGAUAGCUUCACACCAAUUGAAGAGUCGUAUGCCAGUUUAUUUCAGAGAUUGGUACAAUAGGGCAUGAUCACUUCUCUCCUUCGGUGCACUCUUAAUCGGUGUUCAAUAAAUUUUUAUCCUAAUAUACGAUGUGCAUAUCAUUUUGAUGCUCAGGAUCAUAGUAUUGAAGAUUGUCGAGAUUUGAAAAGAGAAAUUGAAAAUAUGAUUUAAGAUGAAUCAAUUAUGGUGCAGAACAUUGACAGUGAGGGAAGUUCUAGUCAUGCUGAUAUCCGGUGCAUUGACUUGAAUACCGUGUCGGUUGAUCCGUGAUGAUGUGAAUUGUUUGUUGUUUUGAUUCAUCAUUUGAUUCCAUUGAUUGUGAAUUUAUUAUAGAUUAUGUGAUGAAAUGGUAUCUCAUUUGAGAAUUAAAAUUGGCUGCUUUAGGGAAGAAGUUAAAAGUUGAUAAAGUGAUUAUUGUUAUUUUGAUUCAUUGAUGUCGAACUUAGUAGUAUCGUGAUAGGCCGAGUGGGAUAGGCAAAUAUAGGUUUGGGUAGGCAAAUUUAGAACUUGUGUUUUGGUUGAAUGUUGGAAUAUGCGUGUGAGUGUCUCUUUCUAGUUUAUCGUAUUUAAUUCAUAUGUAUUCAUUUAGACGGGAAAUGCCCUGAGACAUAUUGUAUUUAUUCACCGGGAAAUGCCCCGACGUAUUGUGUUGGCGAAAGACAUUCAUGAUAAAGGCCUGAGGCAUCGGGUGAAGCACGACAGUGUAGUUAGGAUUAGUGUAGGUUAGAACAGGAUUUACAUUUUUCAAUUUUUAUUUUGGACUGUAUAAUUGGAUUGAACAUUGUAUUUUAGAUUUGCUUUGUUUUGUGUGUUUGAUUGAUCACUUUAUGUGUUUUGUGUGGAUUUAUAUAUUUGUAAUGUCAAUUAGCCGAUAUGCUCCACCAAGAUACCGGGGACGAACCAUGGGAUCGAGGGGUGCCUAACACCUUCCCCUUGAUCAAUAGAAUUCCUUAGUCAAAAUCUCUUUUCGCGCACCAGUUUCAAAAAGUCAAACGAUUUUGAAAAGGAUUUUCCAAAGGUGACUUGGCACACCGGAUUAUGCUAAGUGGCGACUCUGAACAAAAAUGUAAAUAGACCUUUUUGAAAUAAAUUUUCAUUUUUUGUCACUUUAAUAAUUAAAACCCUUUCGAACUUAAAAUAUAAUCUUUUUGGUGGUAAAAAAAGUGUGUGACACUUAUAUAGCAGUAGAUUUCAGAGUCAUUCUCAAAAAUCUAGCAGAGCCCUUUUCAGUUUCUACCCCAGUGGGUAAAACUAUUAUAGCUCAGCGGGUAUAUAGGAACUGCCCGGUUAUGAUAUCUCAAAAAGUCACUUUAGCAGACUUAGUCGAAUUAGAGAUGACUGAUUUUGAUGUCAUUUUCGGCAUGGAUUGGCUUGAUUCCUGCUAUGCCACAGUCGACUAGAGAAACAAAAUAUUUUAAUUUUAGUUUCCGAAUGAACCCAUCCUAGAGUGGAAGGGUAGUGUAUCCGCUUUCAGAGGUCAUCUUGUUUCCUACCUUCGGGCACGAAAAAUGAUAUCUAAAGGAUGUGUCUAUCAUCUUGUUUAAGUUAAGGACACUAGUUCCGAGACUCUCAAUCUUGAAUCAGUUCCAGUUGUAAAUUAAUAUUCAGAUGUUUUUCCCAAAGAUCUUCCAGGAAUUCCUCCCAAAAGAGAAAUAGACUUCGGUAUUGAUCUUCUUCUGGAUACUCAGCCUAUCUCUAUUCUUCCAUACAGACUGGAACAAUAGAACUCAAAGAACUGAAAGAGUAGUUGAAAGAUCUCUUAGAUAAGGGAUUCAUCAGACCGAGUACUUCCCCGUGGGGUGCACCAGUCUUAUUCAUGCGCAAGAAAGAUGGUUCUCUCAGAAUGUGCAUUGAUUACCAUCAACUUAAUAAAGUCACGAUCAAGAACAAGUAUCCUCUUCCCAGAAUCGAUGACUUGUUUGACCAACUUCAGGGUGCUAGCUAUUUCUCCAAGAUAAACCUCAGAUUCGGCUAUCAUCAGCUCAGAGUCAGAGAAUGUGACAUUUCAAAAACAGCUUUCCAUACUUAGUAUGGUCACUUUGAAUUUUUAGUCAUAUCCUUUGGUCUCACCAAUGCCCCAACAGCUUUUAUGGACUUGAUGAACCGUGUGUUCAAGCAGUACUUGGACAUGUUCGUCAUAGUCUUCAUAGAUGAUAUUCUGGUCUAUUCCCGCAAUGAGCAAGAUCAUGCAGACCAUCUCAAAAUAGUACUUCAGACUCUCAGAGAUCAUCAGCUAUUUUCCAAAUUCAGUAAAUGCGAAUUUUGGCUAAGGUCAGUAGUAUUCCUUAGCCAUAUUGUUUUUGGUGAUGGCGUUAGAGUAGAUCCUCAAAAGACUGAAGUAGUAAGAAACUGGCCUCGCCCUAUCUCUCCAUUAGAUAUUAGGAGUUUCCUGGGUUUGGUUGGCUAUUAUAGAUGGUUUGUUGAGGGAUUUUCUUCUAUUGCAUCCCCUAUGUCCAGAUUGAGUUAAAAGAAAGUCAAGUUUCAGUGGUCAGAUCCUUGCGAGAAGAGUUUUCAGGAGUUGAAGACUCGACUUACCUCAGCUCUAGUUCUAGCUCUUCCAGAUGGUUUAGAUGGGUUCGUUGUUUAUUGUGAUGCAUCUAGAGUAGGUUUGGGUUGUUUCCUCAUGCAGCAUGGUAAGGUCAUAGCCUACGCCUCCAGACAACUUAAACCCCAUGAGAAGAUUUAUCCUACUCAUGAUCUUGAGUUAGUAGUCGUAGUAUUUGCAUUAAAGAUUUGGAGGCUUUACCUAUACAGUGUUCAUAUAGAUGUGUUCAUAGAUCAUAAGAGUCUUCAGUAUGUCUUUUCUCAGAAAGAUCUUAAUCUUCGUCAGAGAAGGUGGUUAGAGAUCUUGAAAGAUUAUGACAUGAGUGUCCUUUAUCAUUCGGGCAAGGCCAACGUAGUGGCCGACACUCUCAGUAAUUGUCCAUGGGUAGUGUUUAUCAUGUUGAGGAUAGUAAGAAAAAGUUAGCUCAGGAAGUCCAUCAGCUUGCGAGACUAGGCAUUCUCUUAGUCGAUUCUUCAGAGGGCGAUAUAUGGGUUAAGAGUAGUUCAGAAUCAUCUAUAGUUUCUGAGGUAAAAGAAAAGAAAGAUAGAUAUCCCAGCUUUGUCAAGUUGAAAGAGUCAGUUUAGAAUAAGAAAGUAGAGGUUUUAUCCCAAGAGGGAGAUGGUGUUCUGCGUUGUCAGGGUUGUCUAUGUGUUCCAGUUGUAGACGACUUAAGGCAGCGAAUUCUUAUAGAAAUGCAUGGUGUGCGCUACUCUAUUUAUCCAGUGUCCAUAAAAAUGUAUUACAAUUUGUGGGAAAUCUAUUGGUGGAGUGGGAUGAAGAGAUAUGUUGCAUAUUUUGUGGCUAAGUGCUCUACAUGUCAUCUGGUUAAGAUAGAGCAUCAAAAGAUUAGUGGGUCCAUGCAGAAGUUCAGUAUUCUUACUCGGAAGUGGGAAGAAGUGAACAUGGACUUCGUGAUGGGUUUACCUCGAACUCGUCAUGAGCAUGAUUCAGUCUGGGUCAUUGUAGACAGAAUGACCAAAUCAGCCCAUUUCCUUCCAGUCCAUACCUCUUAUUCAACCGAGGAUUAUGCAAACUCUACAUCAAGGAGUUUGUCAGAUUGCAUGGUGUUCCGCUAUCUAUUAUCUCAGACAGAGGUACCCAGUUCACCUCUCAUUUCUGGAAAGCAUUCCAAAAUGGUCUUGGUACCCAAGUUCAUCUCAGUACAUCCUUCCAUUGAUACGCCUAAAUUACACCUCUCUUAUGAGAGAGUAAGAGGUCGUUGUCAAAUAUAUAACCCAACUAGGUUGGGGCCGAAUCCCACAGGGAAUAUGGUGUUAAUUAAGUUGUAUGCAGAUUAGUUGACUUUUAAUCGUUCGUUUCCGUAAAAUAAAUAGGGGGAUUUGAUUCAGUUCACAAAUUAAUGGUUUCAGUUUAACAAGAUGAAAUAUGUGUAGUAGUAUUCAAAUUCAGAGAAAUAGCAAGCUAGGGUUAUGUCCAUCUUGUAGUUUUCAAUACUUACUAACUAUGGGCUUUAUGAAUUCAUACAUGCAUUGUGCUUACAGAGAAAUGUAUUGUAUUUAAUAACAUAAUCCUAGUGUUUCUGAACCAUCAAGGACUAAUUCACUUUAGUUCUCUCGAAUCAAAAGCGUUCACCAAAAACAAUACGAAAUCUCCAAGUAGUUAAUCCUGCUAAGGCACUAACUUAUAAAAUAGGGGUUGGUAAUCCUAUUUUCUUGUCACUACUCUCUUUUUCGAACAUCAACCUUUCUUUCGAACAAGUGCAACCAUGAGAAUUCAAGAUAAGCGAAGAGAGUAUGAUGUAAACAAAUCAAUGCAUAAUGAAUUCAAAACCCAAAGUGAUAGAUUGUAUGCUACAAGGAUUCCAUAACCCUAACUAAUAAAAUUAGCUACUCGUGGAUAAAAUGAAAAUCACAAUAGAAAUAUUCAUCAUACCAAAAACUAGAAGAUGAUCUUGGUGUGCGAAUUGUGAGAACAAGAGAAAAACAUUUCUCUCUGUCUCCCUCUUCAAAAACUAAUACAGAAUAAUGAAUAAUCAAUAAAAAUUCAGCAUUAAGCCUUUUAAUAAUCUUUUCUCUAAUAAUUGCCUUCUAAGUCCCUGAACUAAUUAUAAAUGACAAAGUAGUCUUAGACAUAGUUGCUAGGCGCCACAUUUGGUCCAGUUUGCUACUCUCUCUUGUGUCAUAUGCCAUCCGCAUUCCAUAGUCCCAUAAUAUCUUCAUCUACCUCAUUAAUACCUGAAAUCAUGUUAAUCACAUCGGUUAGCUCAAUUACAUAGAAGUAGAGUAAAAACACAAGAAACUAGUCACUUUAUCCUCUAAACUUAGCUAAAAUAUGGAUAAGUUAUGGUGCUUAGGCAUAUAAAUACACCCAAGAUCACCACCCCACACUUAAAGCUUUGUUCGUCCUCGAACAACAUAUCCAUUUAUGCAUACUACACAAUUCUUAGCACCCACAACGUAAAACAAGAUGCUUAAAUAGGCUCACACAACAAUUAUGAACAAGAAGUACAUUAAGUAAUCAUUACUAGAGACAACCUACCCUCAAGAAUAGACUCAUUAAGUUGGCAAUUUCAUGCAUAUCGUUUAAGCAUAGAAAUAUAUAAAUUGCCCAACCUUCAUCAACCAUGUGCCCUCACAACAAGAAAGUUACCCAUAAUCACUCACAAUCAUGCAAUUUCUAACAAAAUGGGAACAAGAAUCAAGUUACGCCCACUCUCACAAAGAAUUCUGAAAUUACAACUGAUGACCAUAUGCUUGCCCUUAGUGUAAUAUACUCCACUAAUACCAGAAUGCUAUGAUUAGGAUCAAAUAGGUCUUUUAGGGGUUAUAAUGCAGGCAAAAGGAUGGAUAGGAACUAUUUUGGCCAGAAAUAGUGACUAUCUUCCCUAAGCACUUUAAUACACUACAUUAUGCAAUUAAGACUAAUCUCUAACAACCAAUUUCCACUUCUGCUAUCUUCACAGAUUUGUUUUUCACCCCAACUCGUUAAGCUUAAUUAAUAACACUAUGGUGGGAGUAUGCAACCCUUUCAAAUAUUUUUUUUGGCACCCUUUUCAUGUUACGCACCCCUAUAAUAUCCACCCUUAACUUAAGCGAUUUGCCUUAGUUGAGGUGCAUAAUGUCCAAGAAGGACCAGGGCCAAAACAGGUUCAUUGUAACAUGUCCGAGAUAAAAUUUAGAAUUUUUUCAUCAAUUUUUGCUACUCCCAAUCACAUCAAUUUCACACGCCAAUAACUAGACUUUGGGGCUUCAAUUUCACCUUUUUUCUCUAAUUGUCAAACUUCUAACUCAAAUUGAUUUUACAUUAAAGCGUUUAGGAUCUUUCAGAUCAAAUUACGGUCUAUUAAAGAAUGGAUUAGGCUACAUAUAAGGCUAACAAUAGAACAAUCUAAAGGAUUGAUGGGGCUAGCUUAGAUAAUGUACAAAGGUAGGUCAAAAUAAGGUAUGAACAAUGGCUAUCAAAGAAAUGCCUAAAUCAUCUCCUAAACUCACAAUCUUUGUUCACUUUGCAUACACCCCAGGUAAGUUCUAGCAUCAGUUGCAAUAAGGAAUAUACAACAGUCUUACACACUCAUGGCACAUGGUCAACUCAAUUAGGAGCAUUAUAGAUUCUCGACCCAAUAAUUACAUGAAUCAAAUAAAACCAACAAUCACACAAGAGUCACAACUAGAGCCUAGGUAUUUCAAAUGUAAUGAUCCAUCACAUACUUAUGUUAUAAUGUCAUGUGAUCCACAAGAAUAGUUACAUGCAAUUAAAUGAAAAAUUUUCUCUUAAGACGGUCGUCAUCCAUCAUCGAGAAAAGUAUCUAAUUAUGACUAAAUAGAAUAAACAUCUAACAAGAAACAAAAUAAACAAAAUAACUAAUCCUAUCACAGAAAAAUGCUAAGGAGAAGGUACUAUUUUCUUACAAAACAAGUAGCAAAGUAACCAGCCACCCCACACUCAAGCUCAGCACUGUCCCCAGUGCAAAUAACAAGAUAAAGAACCUGGCUAGUAGUACUCCUCAUCCACAUUAGGAUCCAUGCCACCUGCAUUGAGAUCAUCAUCAAAGCCAUUUUCCCUGUGUUCGUCAUAUCAUCCAUGUCAGCCACACAUAAUGAAACUAACUACAAUUAAGAUAAAGGGGGUGAAGUCACCACCCCAUACUUAAUUUGUUAGUAUAAACCAAUUAAGUGUUAUUAUCGGGUACUCAGACUUCGCCGACAUACACUUUGGUAUGGUCCACCUACAUUAUUCGCAAUACAAUUCACUCACUUCAAUUCCCCCAAUUCUAUUUCAAUGAAGCACUUUUUAAACAGAAUCAUGCUCUACACUUUCAACCAUACCAAACUAUACAAAAUACCAUCACUUUCACAACAUCGCCAUGGCAAGAAUUUUAUUCAUAAUCCUUUAGAAAUCAAUUAACUAUAACAUAGAGUCACAAUAACUAAGGAUUAAAAAAUAAAAAUGAAACUUACCUCGAAGAUGGAAGAUUAGUGAAGGACAAAGAGAAUGGUGAGAGCUCAAUAUUAGACGGCUUAAGGUUGAAAUAAGGAUGAAUUUGGGCAUUUAGGGUGUGAAGUCUAUUUGAAGAAUGAAAAUCUGGGUCGGGUUAACCUAAGUUAAAGUUGGAAGUCGGGUUUUAGGCUUAUUUGGACUAAGUUUGCGACUCACAUCUUAUCUCACAUCUCAAAGUAUGUGUCGCAUACGUUGUCGCACAGUUGGGACAGUGAGCCUAUGCGGAGAAGUGGGCAACGCACUACCUAUCACAGACAUCAAGGUAUGCGUCGCAUAAGGUAUCGCAGACUUAAGGCAGUGGGCAUGUACGGCUAGGUGUGCAACACAUAUCUUAUCACACAUGUUAAAGUAUGUGACGUAUAAGUUAUCGCACACAUCAAGGUGUGCGGCGCAUUGUGCAUCGCAUAGUUUGUCCAGUGAGCAUGUGUGAUGGUAUGUGCGGCAUACUCUUGGUCGGAAAGGUCCAUACCACGGGGGCUUUGCCCUCGCAUCCCCAUCUAGGUCAGUGGUAGGCUUCGGGAUCGGGCCUAUCGGCCCAAUCCCUACGCUACCACCACAGACCUUAUUGAAAGUCACUAAAUAAAGUCUCACCGUGAAACUUUUUGGGGUGGAUUAACAUAAUUCGAGGCAUGACUCUAAUGUAAAUCAUACUUGAGCCUUACACAUUUGACCACUCCAACUUACCUGUAAUGUUCCCAUCACUCCUAAACUUACCACCAUUGACAUAGCUCAAUUCCAAAUCAAAUUUGGUAAUAAUCUCCUCCUUAGUACUUCAUGCACCUACACUUACUCAAAAACAACAAAAAUGAUUAGAAGGAUGGUUUGCCUCCCACAAAGUGCUGUAGUUUUGGUCAUGGCUCGACUCUUUUUUUUCUAUUUUUGUUUAACAUGAUAAAGUGAAAAUAAAAUCAUGGGUUGCCUCCCAUGUAGCGCCUGAUUUAACGUCGCAGCACGACUCGAUUAUCUUGACUACUCAGACUUUGUCAAGAUACAUCGAUGAUACCAUUUGUACCUCAUUUGUUCGAUCAAGAUAAUGCUUUAUUCCUAGUCCAACCACUUUGAAGUCACUCAUAUCCUUGCUUGCAAGUUCAACCAAACUAGCUAUGGUCUACACAAAAGACAUAUCCUUAACUGGUACAUCUCGCUCAUCUUCAUAGAAUACAUUAACAAUUGAGAAGACACUCAUCUCCUUUUGUUAUUUCAUACACCGAUAUACUUCAAAACUAACUUCUUUCUCAUUAAGCCUAAAUUUUAGCUCAUUCAGCUCCAUGUCAACUAACACUCUCCCAGUUGCUAAGAACGGCCUAUCCAAAAUUAUAGGUACUUCAAAGUCCACUUCAUAAUCAAGAAUUACAAAGUCAACAAGCAGGAAAUAUAAAAUUAACAACUGUUAUAAGUACAUCAUGUAGAAUCCCAAUCGGCCUUUUUACCGAUCUAUCCGCCAUUAGAAGCUUCAUAUUGGUGGGUGUAGGAUCUCCCAAACCCAGUUUCUUGAAAACCGUCUAUGGCAUAAGAUUUAUACUUGCCCCAAGAUCAUAAAGGGCCUUUUCAAACUUUAGCAAUCCAAUCGUACAUGGAACAGUAAAUGCUCCUGGAUCAGAUUUCUUUUGGAAAAUAGAUCUUGUAGCAAUAGCACUACAAUAAUGAAGGUUGUCUACCAUUUCAUAGCUCACAGUCCUUUUCUUCAUCAACAGGUCUUUCAUAAACUUAGCAUAUCCGAGCAUCUGUUCCAGUGCUUCAACUAAGGGCACAUUCACUGUCAACUGCUUCAACAUAGCCAUGAAUUUGCUAAACUUGCCAUCAUCUUCUUUCUUCUUUAAUCAUUAUGGAAAUGGGGGUGGUGGCCUUGGGAUUUUAGUUAGAACAACGUCUACCUCUUUUCUUAUGCCUUGCUCCAUAUCACUAACAUAUUUCUGCUUAGGUGGUUGUUCCAUUUCUAAACUCUUCUUUUCUGAACCUUCCAACUUCAUAGGCACCACUGGAGAUUCAUCAACCAUCUCCCAAUCUAUUUCGACCUUAUCAGUAGAAGAGGAUGCUCCCAAACCUGGACUAGAUAAUAUCUUAUCGCUUCUAGUAGUAAUGGCCACACACGAUCCAUCAGUCCUCGGAUUUUAAACUGUAUCACUUGGUAGAGUCCCAUUCUAUCUUUGGUUAAAUGCUGUGGAUAAUUGACUCAUCUGCUGCUCCAGUUGUUUAAUAGCGAUUGAGUGCGAAUUUACUAGUUGACUCAUUAAAGAUAUGUCACUCUUCAUAGUAGUCACCCCAGAAUUGGUCGCCUCAACUCCCUUUAAUAGUUUCUCCAUCAUGUCCUCCAUGGACAUUUUACCUGAGCUAGUGGCAGCAUUAUCACGACUUCCAGGAGGUACAUACAGUCCACUCCUAUCAUUUUUAUUCUUCCAAUCUCCUUCAUAGUUAACCUCUUCCUCAGUGUUUGAUUCAGCUCCCUUACCAUGGGACCCCACAGUUUUUACCUUUUCUACAUUUCCUGAUAGCAAAUAUUUCAUGAGCAGAUCCAUCUGGGUUUUCAUGUGAGCCAUAUCCUGAUCACACUCCUCUUCUCUCUUAUGCUGCUCUACUGAUAUUACACUAGACCCAGUAUUGCUUGCUACCACAAAAUUUUUGGUAUGCCAAGCUCUACUUGUCUUAGUCAUUCUUUCUAACAUGUCCGCAGCCUUAGAAAGGUAAGCUCCAUAAAAGCUCCUCCUGUAGCAUUAUCCGCCAUUGGCUUUGUAAGUGAGUUCAAAGCUCUAUAGAAUAUUUCAAUCAAGUGUUCAUCAGUCAUCUUACAAUUUGGGCAUUGAGUCAACUUCUUUUUAAACCUUGCCCAAGUCUCAUGCACAACUUCAUUGGCUAAUUUCCUAAAGUUGCUGAUCUCAUCCCUUAACUGUAACAUUUUGGAGGGCGGAAAGAACCUUUCUAGGAAAGCUCCUUUCAGUUGCCUCCAGUUUGUUAUAGAAUCAGGAGUCAGCUCAUUCAAUCACAUAGUUGCUUCUCCAGACAGAGACAGUGGGAACAAUCUUAAACGAAUAGCAUUUUGUCCCACUCCAGGAUUAUCAAAUGACUUACAAAUACUGAUGAAAUUCACUAAAUGUAGAUUUGGGUCAUCACCAAGUAAUCCACCAAAGAGUCCUUUCAGAUUCAGUAGCUGGAUCAUAGUGCUGGUGAUGUUGAAUUUCAUCCCAGGAGCUAGUGGUGGUAGAAUAAUUGCCCCUAUAUAUCUAGUUCCAUCUAAAUCAUCCUCAUCAUUGUCAACAUCAAACUAUACAGCUUGGCAGUAUGGUCUUUCUCUGAAUGGACGAUUUCGAUUUACAGGUGAAACUACCCCUACUGCACGCCUCCUAUUGCCGGGUCAAUUAAAUCAUCAUCUCCCAGGUCCUCUUCAUAUAGAUUAGGUACCCAACCUGUGUUAUCUGCAUUCUGUAUAUUUAAUUGAGUAUUAGCUAAAGCGGCUAAUCUUUCAGCUUUCUGUUGGUUAGCCAUUCUUUCAAUGAGAUGAGGUUUAGGAUUGAAGGGUAAUAAUGGUUCACCUGAACUUCUGGUUCGUGGAAUAAACAACAAUGAUCCUGUAACAAACAAAAACAACAAAUAACGUAAAAUAAGAAAACUUGACUAAUAGUCCAUUACACUCAUAAACUUAAUCGACAACCGUAUUCCCCAGCAACGGCGCCAAAAUUUGAUACCCCCAAAUUACACCUCUCUUACGAGAGAGUAAGCGGUCGUUGUCAAAUAUAUUACCUAACUAAGUUGGGGUAGAAUCCCACAGGGAAUAUGGUGUUAAUUAGGUUGUAUGCAGAUUAGUUGACUUUUAAUCGUUCGUUUCCGUAAAAUAAAUAGGGGGAUUUAAUUCAGUUCACAAAUUAAUGGUUUCAGUUUAACAAGAUGAAAUAUGUGUAGUAGUAUUCAAAUUCAGAGAAAUAGCAAGCUAGGGUUAUGUCCACCUUGUAGUUUUCAAUACUUACUAACUAUGGGCUUUAUGAAUUCAUACAUGCAUCGUGCUUACAGAGAAACAUAUUUUAUUUAAUAACAUAAUCCUAGUGUUUCUGAACCAUCAAGGACUAAUUCACUUUAGUUCUCUCGAAUCAAAAGCGUUCACCAAAAACAAUACGAAAUCUCCAAGUAGUUAAUCCUGCUAAGGCACUAACUUAUAAAAUAGGGGUUGGUAAUCCUAUUUUCUUGUCACUACUCUCUUUUCCAAACAUCAACCUUUCUUUCGAACAAGUUGCGUUUUAAGGCAUAUCCUCUAUAUUUGCAACCAUGAGAAUUCAAGAUAAUCGAAGAAAGUAUGAUGUAAGCAAAUCAAUGCAUAAUGAAUUCAAAACCCAAAGUGAUAGAUUGUAUGCUACAAGGCUUCCAUAACCCUAACUAAUAAACUUAUCUACUCGUGAAUAAAAUGAAAAUCACAAUAGAAAUAUUCAUUAUACCAAAAACUAGAAGAUGAUCUUGGUGUGCGAAUUGUGAGAACAAGAGAAAAACAUUUCUCUCUCUCUCCCUCUUUAAAAACUAAUACAGAAUAAUGAAUAAUCAAUAAAAAUUCAGCAUUAAGCCUUUUAAUAAUCUUUUCUCUAAUAAUUAUCUUCUAAGUCCCUGAACUAAUUAUAAAUGAUAAAGUAGUCUUAGACAUAGUUGCUAGGCGCCACAUUUGAUCCAGAUUGCUACUCUCUCUUGUGUCAUAUGCCAUCUACAUUCCAUAGUCCCAUAAUGUAUUCAUCUACCUCAUUAAUACCUAAAAUCAUGCUAAUCACAUCGGUUAGCUCAAUUACAUAGAAGUAGAGUAAAAACACAAAUAACUAGGCACUUUGUUCUCUAAACUUAGCUAAAAUAUGGAUAAGUUAUGGUACACCCAAGAACAUCCAUCCUUAGACAGAUCGUCAAGAAGAAAGGACCAUUCAGACUCUAGAAGAUAUGCUAAGGGCGUGUGUUAUUGAUUUCAAGGGUAGUUGGGAUGACCACUUGCCUUUGAUUGAUCUUGCAUACAACAACAACUAUCAUUCCAGUAUUCACAUAGCUCCAUUCAAAGCUCUCUAUAGUAGGAGAUGUAGAUCUCCAAUUGGUUGGUUUGAAGUUUGUGAGGCCUCAGUUAUAGAGCCUGACUUAGUAUUCGACGUCUUAGAGAAAGUCCAGUUGAUUAGAGAAAGAUUCAUAGCUACUCAGAGCUGACAAAAGUCUUAUGCAAAUGUUCAUAGAAAAGAUCUCGAGUUCGAGAUUGGUGACUAUGUCUAUUUAAAGAUAUCUUCCAUGAAGGGAGUGAAGAGGUUCGGCAAGAAGGGAAAGCUCAGUCCCUGAUAUGUUGGUCCCUUCAAGAUUCUCAGUCGCUUUGGCAGGGUAGCUUAUGAGCUCGAAUUGGCUUCAGAUCUAGCCUCAGUUCAUCCAGCCUUCCAUAUCUAUUUGCUCAAGAAAUGUAUAGGUGACCCAGAAGUUGUAAUCCCUAUUUAUAGCAUCGAUGUUCAUAACAGCCUCUCUUAUGAAGAGAUUCUAGUUAAAAUUCUAGAUUAUCAGACUUGUAGAUUGAGGAAUAAAGAAGUCCCUCUAGUUAAGGUUCUUUGGCAAAAUUAGUCCAUCAAGGGAGAUACUUGGGAAGCAGAAGUAGACAUGCGUACCAAUUAUCCUCACCUCUUAUCCGCCAACUCUGAUCAAGCUCAAGGUAACAGUUCUCCUUAAGCUUACUCAGUUUCAUGUUCAGUGUUCGUCACAAACUUGGUAUUAAAUACCAUUGCAUAUUCAGUCAUGCAUUCAUGUAUCAACUCAGUUAUAUAAUUAUGCAUCAGACAUGCAUUUUCAUUGUGAGAAACUUAGUUCAUCAGAACACCCAGUCAUGAAUUCAUGAAUCAGUUACACAUGCAUCAGAUAUGCAUGUUCAGUAUGAUAUGUUCAGUUAUCAGUCAUGUCAGUCAUGAAAUCAUGUUCUACUUGUUCAUGUUCAUUAUGUAUGUAGGUUAUCUUCUCCUCUCACUCUCAGUCUCAUUCGAGGAUGAAUGUUCUCAAGGGGGAGAUAUUGUAAUACCCCGUACUUUUCCUGACUUGAAAUCAUCUCAAGAAUGUUAGAAGCUUUCUUUGAAAGAUGAAUCCACUUUUUUACAUGUGGUAUUUUUAAGAUUCUCACUUUUUGUCAUGUGGGAAAUUGAAUUAGCUUUCCAACGAUACCAAUUUCAUCAAAAUCCAACAUCGGAGGAGAAAGUUAGGGACAAAAUACAAAAGACAGUAAAAAACCACCCAGGUGCGACGGAGAGGCCGAUGGACCAUCGCCCAUGACCGUCGCAAGGGAAACAAUGAUUCCACUUUCUGGAUAAGGUGCGAUGGGCAGGUUGAUGGACCGUCGAACUUGCGAUGGAUCGUCGCCCAAGUCAUCGCAGCCAAGGCAGUGAGACCCUAUUCAGGUCCACAUGCGAUGGUCGGAACGACGGACCGUCGAGCCAGCGACGAACCGUCACAGGUCCCGUUCAAUUAUUUUAAGUCAUUUUUUUAAAGGAAUAUUUUUGGUCUUUUACCACCCGUUUAUAUACCCAAUUAUAUCUGACCUUAGCUUACUUUGUUCAUCAUUCUUUCACUACAACAAAACUAGGGUUUUCUCUUUAACAUUAAUCUCCAAGAACAAAAGCCAAAUCUUCUUCAAGCACUAAGAGAUUCAAAUUCUUCAAGUUCAAGAACUUCAAGAAACUCAACCCAGGUAUGCAUAGUGUUCAUUCAUGGAUUCCUUUCGUCCAUGAAGCCCAAGAAUCUCUUUUCAAAGUUUAAGUUUAUGGAUUUCCUUUAUGAAUUUCAUGAUUGGGCUGCUCUUGUUCAUGUUGAUAAUGAGUAAUUGAAUUCUAUUUCAUGAUUGGGUAAUAAAUUAUAUGUAGGUUUGAUUAGUACAUAUAUAGAUUCAUGCUAACCUAUGCCUAAGCCCUUGAAUGAUGAAAUUAGAAUUGAAUCAUAAUGUUUUAAUUGUUGUAUAAUGUUGUUUACACAUACUAUGCCUACCAUGUGUUUGAUUGAAUGCCUAGAUGAAGGAAAAUGCUUAACUAGCAUGAUAUCAUGAAAUUCCCAUGUAUGUACAAGUUUAUGCAGAUCACAUGUUUGAUGAAAUGCUUCUAUAAAUGCAUUAUGGAUUAUGAUAUGAGUCAUGUAUUCAAGAAAGUCAUGCUUUGUCAGUUUCUUUCCAUCGAGUCCUGGGGCUACUUGUACCCGAAAUAUUCCCUAUGUGCCUAAAGCCAAGUCAUGUUUCUAUGAUACUCUCAGUCAAGCCAUGAUCCUUAGACUUCAGACAGUCUUAUGACUCAGGAAAUCUCCAUGAUCUCAUGAACUCAAUUAGUUGUCAGAUAUCAGUUGUAUUCCGUCAGUGAACGGAAGUUAGUAACUCAGUUCAUGUUCAGUUCAGUAACUCAUAUUCAGUGUCUAUUCAGAUGGGAGUAGAAAUUAGCACCGAGUGAACCCAAGGAAUGGAAAUCACCUAUUAUAUAAGGGUGUGAUUCUUAGAAGCAAAUCCUUGCAUUCCAGAACUAUGUAGCCAGCAUAGGUUGAGACAUAAUAGCCUGCUAUAUGAGGGUAGAUGAGGUGUCUUAACCUGCUAUAUGAGGGUUCCCACUAUUCUCACUAGAGUUACCUGUUAUAUUAGGGUUACUCACACAUUGUCCUUACCAGCGGCUCGGUAUUGCCAAGCAGGGCACAGAUUGGACCCCAAUUCAGCUAUAAUGCAUCAUUUUGGUCAUGUCGUUUAGAUGAAUACCUCCCACAGUCUCAGUAUCAGUAUUAGUAAAAGAACUCAGAUAGUUCUUCAGAAUUCGGGAUUGUCAGAUACAGCCAACUCAGAUACAGUACGAAACUCAGCUAGUUCCAUCAGAUUCAGGACCAUCAGAUACAGUCACUCAUGUCAUCAGUUAUUAGAAUACAGUCAUUAGUCAUGUUAGUCAUCAGCAUACUCAUGCUAUCACGAUUUCAGAUAUAGUUAUUAUGCAUGCAAGCAUGUAUUCUCACGUUCAUAUUAGUCAGUUAGCCAGUAUUGUUCAUGCAUAUGAACACCAUGCAUUUAGCUUACCUCAUAUGCAUACCAGUACAUUCAAAGUACUGAUGCAUUUGCGCUAUGGUGUCUUAUACCAUAGGUUUAGAGACACAAACUCCAGAGCAUCAGUAGAUUCCAAAUAUCAGCUGUCAGAGUUAGCAGUGAGUCCUCAUCCUUCAAGGACAUGAUUAUUUCUCUAUUAUCUUAUCAAUUAGUUUAUUAGUUGGAGUUAGUUGGGGACAUGUCCCAUCAACUCCUUACUUAGACAGUUCAGUAAGUUAGAGGCUUUCCAGACUAUUAUGUCAAGCAGUUAUUCCAGUUGUUUUGGCUUUUUCAUAUCCCAUUUAGAUGUUAUGUUUUACUUCAGUUUUGUGAAACUUAUGGCCUUUCAGUUCAUGUUUCCACAUUAUUCAGUAUAUUAUGUAGUAUAUAUGUACAGAUAUCAGUCAUGGGUUAGCUUGUGGUCCUACGGGGUCAUGAGCAUCGUGUAGCAUUUCGAGUACCAGAUUUGGGGCGUUACAGUAGAAGAGUAGGGUCAGUACAACCACACAUACUGGUAGGCAUCAUCGGCCGAUCGUGUUAGUUCAUAUAAUCAUAAAAUAGAAUUAACAAAAAUAAAUCAGGACAUCUUGAAUGGAAUAUAAUUCAACUAAGGUUGUAAUAAUAUUAUUACUUUACCUAUAUAAGUUACAACAUCAAACUACUCUUCCAACUUCAUCAAUAUUAUAUUAACUACUAACAUACUCUCUCCUUAUUAAUUUACACAAUCAACCACAAUCCAAUGCUAAUACAUCACUAUUCCUCUUUAUUCACCUUAUUUUUUUUAUUACUUAUAUUCAUAUGAAUAAACCCGUAAUUAUAGACAAUCAACACUAACUCUCAGGCUAACAAUCAACUGCUCUCUUAUAAUAUUAAAGAAUGAUAACUAGCCAUUCUAGUAAACUACGGUUAAAACACGUAUAAAUGAAGCAACUCAACCAACAUAUAAUUAAGUACAAAGUUUUACUUUUUCAAAUACAUAUCACACAAUCAAACUCAUGGGUACAAUCAAGUAGUGAAUAUAAGUCAUCUCACAUCUCAAUAAGACACACCAGAGAACUCGAGUCUCAUACAUUACUACUAACAAUCUUUCCGUAAGUAACAAAUACUCAGUGAAUCAACAAUACAACAAUAUCAGGUCAAACAGUGCUCACAAACAAGCCACAUAACUAUCAAGAAUAUCAACCAUAUUGUAAACAUCAACAGAAUCAACACAAAUUUGUAAACACAUUCUAUAAGACGUAUUUUUUCCCAAAUAGUCAAGACCUGCAGGGAGCAGUCUAUGUUCAUGUACCAUACCGACGUGGUACCCGAUUUAACAUAUACAUAUCUGUACCGGCAUGGUACCCGAUCCAACAUAUACAUAUUCGUACCGGUGUGGUAUCUGAUCUAACAUAUACAUAUCCGUAUUGGCGUGGUACCCGAGCCAACAUAUACAUACCCAUACCGACGUGGUACCCGAUCCAACAUAUACAUACCCGUACCGGCGUGGUACCCGAUCCAACAUAUACAUACUCAUACCGGCGUGGUACUCGAUCCAACAUAUACAUAUUCGUACUGGCGUGGUACCCGAUCCAACAUAUACAUAUCCGUACCUGCAUGGUACCCGAUCUAACUUAUACAUAUCCAUACGCGUGGUUCCCGAUCCAACAUACACAAGUAAUAUCAAUAUCAUAUUUACACCACCUCACGACAUACAAUAUGAUGUACCAAGUUUACAAGUAAACUUAAAGUCAUAAGACAAUUCCAUCAAGUAAAUUUUCGAUAGUCAUUUAUACACGCCUCAACAAUCCAAACAUCAUCAAUUUCAAGCAUGUUCGAAUACCAAUCAACAAGUAUCCAAUUUAGGAGUUAUCAUUAUCAAACAAGCCACGUAUAGACACAAUUCAAUAAACCAUCAUUAUCACCAAUUUAUCCUCUCAUGGGCAUCCAAUAGAUAUAGUAUUUUUAUCAAUAUCAAAAUAAGAAGAUAAUAACAUCAAUCACAAUUUAAUUCUUACGCAUACAAGUCACCAUUGGAGCAUUAAUUACUCAUUAAUUUUAAAAAAAUAUCAUUAUCUUCUUAAAUACCUCAACUUGGGUUCUAACAUCACCAUCUAUAACUAACACAUUCACGCAUAUCAUUAUCCCCUACCUCUUUCCACAUAAUACAAUCAUCACACUAAUUCAAGUCAUCUAUCCCUUAGAUAUCACAAUGCCCAUCAAUAUUCGAUCUUAGCAUAAUUCUCCUCAUCAUAUUAUUGCACAAUAUAUACAACUUAAUACCAUUACAACUCAACUAGGUUCAUCACUAGAACAACUAAAAAACAUCAUGUUCAUUUAUUACAUUUAUAACAAUCUCCUUUCGGGCACAUAAAACAUAAUAUCAUAAAUAUCACAUAAUCAAUCUAUAAUAUAGUUUUUGGGAUUAAAGUUAAGUACUUGUGUCUUUAUCCACCUCAACUUCAUGCCCGCAGGCCUAGACAUGGUUUCUCCCAUCAAUUCUAAAUUAUGAAAAUAUAAAAUAACACAAUCUUCUAUUCAUUAAACCUAGCCUACCUGGACGCCAAGCUUUUGGAAGAAGCAAGCUACAGCAAGGAUGCUAUUUCCUAUCUUUCAUGCCUUGGAACAAUCAGUCUUCUAAAAGUCAAGAAAUUAUAAGAGUAAUUAAAUAAUUACUCUUCAAACAAAUAUAUUGGGAUUCAAACCCACUAAUUCUAUCCUUAAUUUAAGGUCUAUCAUUCCCCAAUUCAAUUAAUAAUUAAUUAGCUCUUUCAAGAUUAACCCAUCUCCAUUAUUGGAGUUUUUAUGGUAAAGAUCUCAUCUUUACGGAAUUCAAGAUUCCUAAUCAUCAAAAUUCAUAAACUAGUUUAUGAAAUUCAUGUUAGGAAUCUUUAAUUUAUAGUUUAGAAUCAGCUCUAGGUCAUAUUUAAAACAGUCAUGAGUAUUACCCAAAAGAAUUCCACCAUUAAAGGUCUUUUUAAGGAUUCCAAGAUGUUAAAGAAUUAAACGAAGAAAAUAAUGGAAAAACUUACCUAACCGAAGGAAUUUCACCUUAAGCUUUGUAAAAUCACCUCUAGGGUUGGGGAAGAAAAUUUGGGGUUUUUAGACCUAAAAUACGGCUGAAGUUGAUUUAAAUAUCAUCAGAAUUUUUGCUACAACAAAAUCCCAUUUUAGCCUGGACAAUGCUCAAUAAAACAGUCAUAACUUUUUACUCCGAAUUUGGAUUGAGGAACUUUUUUAUUGCGUUGAAAAGAGAACUCAGAGAUCUUUGAUUUGAUAGGUAAUGAAACCCCUAACUCCAUAUAUUCUAUUAGCUACUGAAACCAUAACGGAAAGAAAGUUUUAUACUUAACUUUGUGUUAGGGAUAUUAUACGACCUUAUUUCAUACCUACAGAACUUUCGAACUAAAGUAUUGAUAUUAGAACUCAUGAAUAAUUAAAUUAAUCGAGCUUGAGUCUAUCCAGACACAUAUGAAGGAUAAAGUUUUCUGAAAAGUUUGAGGUGACGUAACAAAUGAAAUAUUGGCUAUUUUAGACCCAAGUUAAUACUAGGGAAUGAAAAUUAAGAAUUUUCAUGAAUUUAUUACAAAUAAUUUAGUAACGACAAAAUGGGUCGUUACAAUCAGAUACCAAUUUACUAUCCGUUCGUCCCCGAACGGGCAUUCCAUGGAGAAAAGCACGAGGCUGGAAUUAGAAAGACAUUACUAAUAGAGUUGCUUAUUCACUUACUCAAUAUUCUUAUCGACCAACCCACAUUCUAUACUCAUUCAUUCUAUCAAAGCUUUUCAAAAUACGAAGAUGCACAACCAAAUAUUUACAUACAAAUCACUUAUUUUCCUUUCAACGGCAUAAGUUUGAAACUUGAGUUUUACGAAAGAAAGAUAAAGAUGGUUAAAAGAUUCACCUUCAUGAAGACAAAUAUCCAAAAGCACCUCUUUUUCACUACCAAAACUUCAGAGUCCUAAAUUCAAUUCUGAAAAGUGCUACAAGAUGCUACAUGAAUCUACUAUUCAAAUUUCAACACUAAACAAGUCACACCUAAUCCACCCAACACAAAAGUUUUCUCUGAGACACCUGACUCACUUUCUAGCCAAGACUAUCCUAUUGAGAAUCUACAUCUUGAUCAUAUGCAAGUCACUUUACCAUUUACAAGUAACAUAACUUAGAUACUUGCAUGCACUAAAUCAAGAUUACUAAAUUUAUUUUAUAAAGCUAGAUUCAAAAUCAAACAACCACUAUCCCUUUUACCUCAAGAUCACUCACCGUUUCAAGCUUAGUUCUUACUACUAUAUGUAGGUGACAACACAAACUCUCACUCAUUACACAGACUUACAACUAUUAGCCAUAAAGAUCCCACAAAAUUAUAACCUACAACACAUUCUCCUCCAUAACAUCGUUAAUAUUCAAUUAAUCAUCAUACCUUAAUCACUCAAAAAGCAAUAUACACCAAGUAUCACCCAAGGAAAGAUCAAUCAUGCCAUUAAUAAUUCACUUAUUCUCCCAUUCAGGAUCGUUCUUAUUUUUUUAAUGAAUGUAACUAAGCCAUAUGAUUUUGCAUUGCCACUAUCAUGAAAAUUACUAUCUUCUAAAAGUGUCAUAUAUUAGCCAACUCUGUGGGAUAUGCAAAUGUAUAAUUCAGUCACAAGGUCAAGUCAAUAAUAAUUUAUCUUCUCAAGAUUUUUCCUAAUGCAUAAAACUGCAAUUUAUGUCCUGACAAUCACUAACUUAAUAUUUUUCAACAAAAAAUACUUCAUGGUCAAGCCAAACCACUGUUAUAUCACUAGUACCAAUUUAAGAUAUACAGAGUCAUUCUUAUUUCUACCUAACAAUAUUUUCAUCACGGGCUUCACUUAACUCUUAACCACCUCAAGAGUGGUCCCCACACCACUAGCACAUAAGCAAGGCCAAAUAAAAUAAAUCAAUUACAGGUCAUUAACUGUCUCAUUACCAAUGUCACAUGUCAGACAAGUCAUCAGUCAAAUUCUGUAGGUAUCAACAACUUUUACUAGUUUUUGUCACUUUUAUUUAGAAUUCAUUAUUUUGCCAAGCAUUAAAAAUUCGUUCACAUAAGGAACUCAAAGAUAAUAGCACUUAGCUAGUCCUCACAAGGAACCCAUUAUAAUUUCAAUAAUAGAACUGCACAAAAAUUCUAAAUACAGUCUCAAUGAUCGGACCACACAAGGAUCCCCAAAUAAUAUCAAAUAAUCGAACUACACAAGGAUCCAUCCACAACGUCAUUAACAAGAACCUCUCAUUACAGAAAACACAUAUCACCUCAGUCUUUUAUUCAGGUCACCUUUUCACCAUCUUUUCUUGACAUCAUGAUCUCAUAUCAUUCUCUCAAUUCUCAUACCAUCAAUUUCAUCAGUAUAAUAGUACCAAAAAUAAGUAAGCACCAUAGAAUUGCUAGUUUUACAAUAACAAGAAAUCAAAUAAUCCUUUCACAAUUAUCAACAAAAACAACUUAGUCAAUUUUCAUCACUUAAAUUUAAGCAAAAACAAUCACAACAAUGACAAAAAUCUAGCAACACUAGUUUAGUCAAAUAUCAAGCACAAACAAUUAAUAAGUUCACAACUUUGACAAGUCUCUACCUAUUAACAAUAACUUUUAUACUUUAUUAAUAGAUACCAAUUGAAAUCUCCUAGAUUUUUAUUCAAAAUUACUAAGAUACCAAUUGGAAUCAACUACAUUCCAAUUGAGCUCUGUUAAGAUACCAAUUAGAAUUGUCCAGAUACCAAUUGGAUUUAAUCUAAUAGUCCAAGAUUAGGACAACACAAUGGAGAGAAAGAAAGGAAAAUGACUUUGACAUGCCUCAUAGCCUUCCGAAGAUUGGGUGUGGGGCCCUACACACCAAUCUACGGAACUCUACUUGACAUUGCUUUUGUACUUGUGGGACCGGUGAACCUAACACUCUGAUACCAACUGCCACGACCCAGACUAACGGACCAUGUGGGGACCUACGCUAUUCUAAGUAGUUAGGAGAAUCCUUAUUACCCAACUAAAAAUAUGAGGAAGACUUCUAUUUUUAAGGAAAUAUAAAGUAAAUUAAAUACUAAUAAAUAAACUUUUUCAAAAACUUCUUACAAAUGUCUUUCAUUAUCCCAAGACUUGGCCAGACAUGUACAAGAGCUAGCUAUUACAACGUAGACUGACAAUAAAAUAAAUAAUGCAGGAACUCUAACAUGUGUCAGGAAGAAAGUGCAGAAGUUAGUGCUGAAUAUCGUCAUCCAUCUAGAAACUGCAACUAACCUGCAUCCAGUCUACACUCCAAGAAGGAAUGUAGAAGAGUAGGGUCAGUACAAUCACACAUACUGGUAGGCAUCAUCGGUCGACCGUGUUAGUUCAUAUAAUCAUAAAAUAGAAUUAACGAAAAUAAAACAUGACAUCUUGAAUUGAAUAUAAUUCAAUCAAGGUUGUAAUAAUAUUAUUACUUUACCUAUAUAAGUUACAACAUCCAACUACUCUUCCAACUCCAUCAAUAUUAUAUUCACUACUAACAUACUCUAGCCUCAUUAAUUCACACAAUCAACCACAAUCCCAUGCUAAUAUAUCAAUAUUCCUCUUUAUUCACCUUAUCUUUUUCAUUACUUAUAUUCACAGUAAUCAUAGGAGACCCACACUAAUUCCCGGGCUAACAAUCAACUGCUCUCUUAUAAUAUUAAAGAAUGCUAACUAGCCAUUCUGGUAAACUACGAUUAAAACACGUAUAAAUGAAGCAAGUCAACCAACAUAUAAGUAAGUAAAAAGUUUUACUUUUUCAAAUACAUAUCACACAAUCAAUCUUAUGGAUACAAUCAAGUAGGGAAUACAAGUCAUCUCACAUCUCAAUAAGACACCCUAGAGAACUCGAGUCUCAUACACUGCUACUAACAAUCUUUCUGUAAGUAAUAAAAACUCAAUGAAUCAACAAUACAGUAAUAACAGGUCAAAUAGUGCUCACAAACAAGUCACAUAACCAUCAAUAAUAUCAACUAUACUGUAAACAUCCAGAAAAUCAAUACAAAUAUGUACACACAUGCUAUGGGACUUAUUUUUGCCCAAAUAGUCAUGACCAGCAGGGAACAGUCUAUGUUCAUGUACCAUGCUGGCUUGGUACCCGAUCCAACAUAUACAUAUCCGUAUAAGCAUGGUACCCAAUCCAACAUAUACAAAUCCGUACCGGCAUAAUACCCAAUCCAACAUAUACAUAUUCAUACCGGCGUGGUACCCGAUCCAACAUAUACAUAUCCAUACCGGUGUGGUACCUGAUCCAACAUAUACAUAUCCGUACCGGUGUGGUACCUGAUCCAACAUAAACAUACCCAUAACAUCGUGGUACUCGAUCUAACAUAUACAUACCCGUACCGGUCUGGUACCCGAUCCAACAUAUAGAUAUCCAUACCGGUGUGGUACCCGAUCCAACAUAUACAUAUCCAUACCAGCGUUGUAUCCGAUCCAGCAUAUACAUAUUCGUACCAGCGUGGUACCCGAUCCAACAUAUAUAUAUACUUACCAGCUUGAUAUCCGAUCCAACAUAUACAAGUAAUAUCAAUAUCAAAUUUACACCAACUCACAGCAUAUAAUACGAUGUACCAAGUUUACAAGUACACUUAAAGUCAUAAGAAAAUUCUGUCAAGUAAAUUUUCAAUAAUCAUUUAUACACAUCUCAAUAAUCCAAACAUCAUCAAUUUUAAGCAUGUCCGAAUACCAAUCAACAAGUAUCCAAUUUAGGAGUUAUCAUUAUCAAACAAGCCACUGAUAGACACAAUUCAAUAAACCAUCAUUAUCACCAAUUUAUCCUCUCAUGGACAUCCAAUAGGUAUAGUAUUUUUAUCAAUAUCAAAAUAUGAAUAUCAUAAAAUAAAUCACAAUUUAAUUCUUACGCAUACAAGUCACUAUUGAAGCCUUAAUUACUCUUUAAUUAUUAAAAAUAUCAUUAUCUUCUUAAAUACUGCAACUUGGGUUCUAACAUCACCAUCUAUAACUAGCACAUUCAUGCAUAUCAUUAUCCUCUACCUCUUUCCACAUAAUACAAUCAUCACACUAAUUUAAGUCAUCUAUCCCUUAGAUAUCACAAUGCUCAUCAAUAUUCGAUCUUAGCAUAAUUCUCCUCAUCACAUUAUUGCAUAAUGCAUACAACUUAAUACCAUUACAACUCAACUAGGUUCAUCUCUAGAACAACUAAAAACACAUCAUGUUCAUAUAUUACAUUUACAACAAUCUCCUUUCGGGCACAUAGCACAUAAUAUCAUGAAUAUCACAUAAUCAAACUAUAAUAUAGUUUUUAGGAUUAAAGUUAAGUACUUGUGUCUUUAUCCACCUCAACUUCAUGCCCGCAGGCCUAGACAUGGUUUCUCCCAUCAAUUCUAAAUUAUGAAAAUAUAAAAUAACACAAUCUUCUACUCAUUAAACCUAGCCUACCUGGACGCCAAGCUUUUGGAAGAAGCAAGCUGUAACAAGGAUGCCAUUUCCUUUCUUUCAUGCCUUGGAACAAUCAUUCUUCUAAAAAUCAAGCAAUUAUAAGAGUAAUUAAAUAAUUACUCUUCAAACAAAUAUCUUGGGAUUCAAACCCACUAAUUCUACCCUUAAUUUAAGGUCUAUAUCAUUCCCCAAUUCAAUUAAUCAUUAAUGAGCUCUUUCAAGCUUAACCCAUCUCCAUUAAUGGAGUAUUUAUGCUAAAAGUCUCAUCUUUACGGAAUUCAAGAUUCCUAAUCAUCAAAAUUCGUAAACUAGUUUAUGAAAUUCAUGUUAAGAAUCUUUAAUUAUAGUUUAGAAUCAGCUCUAGGUCAUAUUAAAAACACUCAUGAGUAUUCCCAAAAGAAUUUCACCAUUAAAGGUCUUUUUUAGGAUUCCAAGAUGUUAAAUAAUUAAAAGACGAAGAGAAUAAUGGAAAAACUUACCUAAUCGAAGGAAUUUCACCUUAAGCUUUGUAAAAUCACCUCUAUAGGGUUGGGGAAUGAAAUUUUGGGGUUUUUAGACCUAAAAUAAAGCUGAAACUGAUUUAAAUAUCAUCAGAAUUUUCGCUACAACGAAAUUCCGUUUCAGCCUGGACAGUGCUUAGUAAAACAAUCAUAACCUUUUACUCUGAAUUCAGAUUGAGGAACGAUUUGUUGCGUUGGAAAGAGGGCUCAGAGAUAUUUGAUUUGAUAGGUAAUAGAAUACCUAACUCCUUAUAUUUUAUGAGAUAUGAUUGUUUGAAUUUGGCUUUAAUAAAAACCCAUAUCGAAACUGUAACGGAAAGAAAGUUUUAUACUUAACUUUGUGUUAGGGAUAUUAUACAAUCUUAAUUCAUACCUAGAGAUAUUUCAAACUAAAGUAUUAAUAUUAGAACUCAUGAAUAAUUAAAUUAAUCGAGUUUGAGUCUAUCUAGACACAUUCGAAGCUAAAAUGUCGCUAAAAGUUUGAGAUGACGUAACAAAUAAAAUAUUGACUAUUUUGGACCCAAGUUAAUACUGAGGAAUGAAAAUUAAGAAUUUUCAUGAAUUUAUUACGAAUAAUUUAGUAACGACGAAAUGGGUCGUUACAAUAUAUUAUGUGUAAAAAAUAUUUUUUUUAUAUAUAAUAAAAGUAUUAUUAAUAAAAUUUUGAUAUAUUUGGAGUAUUAUAUCUCAAAAAAAUAAUAAUUAAAUGGAUUGAUUAUAUUGCUAACUAAAAGAGAUUUAUUAGAAGAAAGCGAAUAUAUAAUUUUUAAAAUAGAUUUUGUUAAAAAAAUAAUCUUUUUCUUAAAAAUUUAAGACCUCCAUUUGAUUUUGACCUUAGGCCACUAACGUACUUGAGCCGCCCCUGCUUCAUACUUAGUUGAUUUCCUUUAUCACUUUGUGAUCAAACUAUUAGUAAAUUGAUCUGAAACAAGGUUAAAUCGUAACAGUGCUCUUGACUCAUCUACAAAUUCAACUAUACCAACUAUAAACAGGAGUUGUUUUAAGCCAGAUAGCUUGCAACUUUUAUUCGUUUGAGUAUCUAUACGCACUUCAGCAUUGGAUAUUUAAACAAAAAUUAACUUUGAGGUGCACCAGUUUGGCAAUUUAAACCAUUUCAUAUUGAUUAAAAAUUUUAUUUAUGAAUUAUCACCAUAUUUCUAACUGUACGUUUAAUGUUUUGGGAAGUCCUAUUACCCGUUAACUACUUUAAAAUUGAGUACAUAUACUCUUAAGUGUUAAGGUGGCAAAGAAAGUAUACUCACUCUCUUGGAAGAAAUGUUGUGAGGAACCAAAUAUAACUUAAACGAGAGUAGAAUAUACUCUUUGCCACAACAACUCUUUAUGGUAUUAUUGUAAAUUGUAUUAUUGCCUCAAUCUAAAACACGGUUUUGUUAGGAUAGAGAAUAAUCCAAAUGACCAUUUUUUUGUUUACUAUUAUUUAUCAUGCUUUCUAUUGUAUAAUUAUUUAAAUCUACAAUUAGUUAUGGAAAUGAUUAGUGUUAUUUUCAGUUUAUAAUUGAUUAUAAAAGGCAAGAAAAUUAAAGCUCAUCCAAAAUUUCUUAAAGAAAUCUGAUUCUCUUGACAUAAAAGUAAUUUUAAAUUAGAAUGCAUUUUGUGUAUUGGAUUAUAACAAUAUAGUGAUAAUAAGUGAAUUUAAAAUUCUUAAAUUUGUCUCAUUAAAUAUAGAUGAUCAUCAAUGAAUUUUAUAGUUAUUUCAGAAGGUGCUUCAUCGACUUUGACAGAAAAUAUAAUAUUUUACUAAAGCAUGUUGAUUGAGAGAAAAAUAUGAUUUUUUUUCUCAAAUCUAAUAUAACAUGCAAGUUAUAAGUAUAUGAAACAAAUUAGGAAAAAAGAAAUCACUGGAUUAUAAAUUUUGGUCGCAAAGUUGUCACACACUUACUCAGUGCAAAAAUUAUUUUUAAUUUACCGUUACAAAAAUGUAAUGCUAAUCAAAGAAUUUUAAAUUUGUAAGUGUGCAACGUUAAAUAUAGAUGAUCACCGACAAACUUUGUAGUUAUUUAAUAAAGGUGCUUGAUUGACUUCGACAGAAUAAACAAUAUUUUACUAAAGUACUCUGCCGACUUAUAGAGUCAAUAUGAUCUUUUCUGAAGUCUGUUGUAAUGAGUGAGUUAAAUAUAAACACCAAAUUAGGAAAAAGAAUUAAUUAAAUUAUAAAUUUUGGUAGCAAAGUUGUCACUUACUAACUCAUUUAAAAAUUACUUUCAACUUACCAUUACAAAACUUGAAACACACAUAAAUGAAGAGGAAGGUUAUACUCUGAGUUAAAUAUAGACACUAAAUUAAGAAAAAGAAUUAAUUAGAUUAUAAAUUUUGGUAGCAAAAUUUUCACUUACUAACUCAUUUAAAAAUUACUUUCAACUUACCAUUAAAAAAAUUGGAACACAUAUAAAUGAAGGGGAAGGUUAUACUCUGAGUAGCCUAUAAAUGCUCUUCACAUUUUACAGAAUUAUAGUGCAUAAUUGGCACUUUUAUCUCCCAGUUCUUACUUUUGCAAAAUGCAUAAUGCAAAUUUUUCUCCUCCUUUAUUUCACAUAGUUCGAUGCCCUUUGUGCCAUGAAAUAUUUCGUAUUCAUUCUGAAUUCAUGAAUCAUGUUCAAACUAUUCACCCAUUAUCUGAACAAGAUGCCAUCCUAAAUUCUCAUGUGGAUGCAUAUGGUAUACUUUUGCAAAAUGCGAGUUCGCAAAGAAAUGAUAGGAUUGUUGUCCAACCAACAAUGCCUCCGAAUCGUAACCUACCUAGAAGAUGGGGCAGAGCACCACUAAUCAAUAGGCAACAAAUAACAAGUAACCAACUGAGAAGAUGGGGAAGAGCACCACCAAUCAAUAGGCAACAAAUGGCAAUACGAAAUAGAGUUUUACAGAGAAGAAGAGGCACAACGCCACCAACCGAUAGGCAACAAAUGGCAAGAAGCAUCGAAGUUAGAGGUUCAAAUUCAACAUUUGCAGAUUCAAAUGAGUCUAAUAAUUUUACAAAACCAUUGAUUAACCAAUUGGAUGUUCCUAUUUCAUCAAAUGCUGAUGACUUAGUUAACAUAGCUGAAGAACAAAAUGAUUUAGACUUGACCUUGAGGCUUUAAAUAGAUUUAAAAUUAUGUGAAGCUUCUUUAUAAGGGGGUGUCUAAAAAUAUGCUAAGUUUGGAGUCUUUUUUUUAGUUUUAUUUUUUAUAUGAUUGUUUGAUAGUGGGGUAUCUAAAAGGGAGAGUUUAUUGUUUUAUUUUAUUUUAUUUUAUUUUUAUCAGAUAUGUCUAGUGUCUAAAAUUGUGUCAGGGUUGGAGUUAGUUAUUUCAUUUAUUAAAUAUAUGUCUUGAUUUAAAUUAUCCAAAUCCAUUUGUUUUCCUGCAAAUAUUUCUCUAUUUUCUUGUUGAACAUAUUAAAAAAAUGAAAUUUUCAUUGUUCAAAUACAAUUAAUUUCACAUAUUAUUAUUGAUAAGAUAUGUCAAAUUUCGGUCAUCAAAUUAUAUAUGACAUGUCAUUUGACAUAUCAACUCUUUUCACUUUGUAAUUUUCACAUCAUAAUUAAAUAAAUUAAUUAUGUAAAAAUAUAGAAAAUCUUUGCUUUUUUUCCUUUAUUCCUACAAGAUUUGAUUGCUUCCUCUGAAAUGAGCUCUAUAUAUUCUACCCAAUUAUCAUUAUCAUCUUGUAUGUUGUGUUACUAUUGUUUUUUCCUUUUACCAUUUAUAUAAUUGUGGAAGUAGCUGGUGUUUUUGUUUCCUUCUGUAUAUCAAAAGAAUCCUACCUUCUUCAAUCCUCUACUACUCUUACCAUUCGGCCAGGUGUAUGGACUUUCUCUGAAUCGCAUGUCACAUAAACCCAUAAAAGUUUAUAAACUAAGUAAAAUUUUCACAUUCAUCUAUCAUUACCAAAAGUCUAAUAAUAUAACAUUGGAAUCUUCUCCUACCAUCAAAGGCAAGUGAUUUGCAGCUCUGUGUCCAUCAAAAUUUUAUGUUGUAUUAUAGCAUCAAUAAAGAUCCGGAUUUUACCAUUAGUAUUAGCCAUAACUGACUCAAUCCUUAGUUUUCUUCUAUAUUUUAUAUGUCUAUAAUUCUAAAAGGGUUCCAUCAAGGCUACAAUAAAUCAUUUUUACUGUAUUUGUAAUCUGAUGAGUCUUUGAAAUAUCUGUUGCAUAUUAACAGAUUGGUUGUUUCCAAUUAGGGCCUUUAUAUUCAUUUAGACUUUUAAGUUACUGCUCUCUUUAGUAUAACCCUCCUAGUUUGAAUAUUUUCUUGAUUCUUUGCCUUCUCUCCACUUUUAGCUACAGUUCUUGGUCAUGGGUUCACGAAUUUCUAUAUUAAAUAUGCUCCUAUUUUUGGGGGUUGGGAAGUAUUCAAUAUUUCUUCAUUUAGUGAUUCUUUGCUGAUUUCAUAUCAAUUGACUUUUCCUCAGUUUUUUCUACUACUUUAUCACUCAAUAUCUACUUAAAAAUGACACGUGUUCAUAUUAAUAAAAUUUUAAGUUAUUUUUGAUCUCUCACAUACCUUGAAGACGGCGAGUACACUUUCAAUGGGGAACUUAUGCUUUUUCCCUCAAAAUUUUGGAGGAUUUUAUCUGUUUUUCUUUUCGUCUCAUUUGAUGCUUUUAUAAAAUCAGAUAAAGAGAGAUAGUCCAAAGAUGAUUUUAUUCCUUCAAUAUCCAGACUUUUAAUAUAAUAAAUAACAAUAACCUACAGCUAAAGACUCCUACAAUAGGAGUUUUCUACAAAUACAAAUAGACAGUAACUAUCCAGUAAAUUAUUCAAAUACCGAUAAUAUAAAAUAAUUAUUGUAACACCCCGCAUUUUGGGCUAGAAUAAAAACUGUCAUUUGUUUACAUAGAUGAUCCAAAAGCCAUAAAUCCUAUGCAAAUUUUUCAUGCUAAUCAAUUAUGUAGUGUGGAAAAUUGAAUGAGCUUUCCGUCGAUAUAAGAUUUUCCCAAAUCCGAUACCCGGACAUGAUGUUAUGGCUAAUUUUAGUCCUAGUCGUAAAACACUGCAAUUUUGGUACUUGGGGCAUCGCCGAGGUGGUCUAUUUAACAAUUGUCAAAUUCCAGUAGCCUAGCGCGAUUGUGGCACGUCGCGUUGAAGUUCCAGGUCCCAACCAGUGGGACAACGCGAUGGCUCCGGUUGCGAUGACCCCAAGAAUCCCAUUCGUUAUUUUUCAGUGAGCCACCACUAUAGUGGUGCGUCGCGGUGGCCCAUAAAAUAGGUCUCCCAGUUAUAUUUUAUUCCAUCUCAUUUAGGGUAUGUUGGGUAAUUUCCACCCCCCUUAUCAGCUUAAACACGGGAUUUUUCUCCCAAGUUACCACAUUAUUUAUAUUUCCUUCAAAAAUUCACAAGAACACUCUCUAGGAUUUCAAACUAAAAACCUAAAUAACUCAAGAUUUAACUGUGGGUUUUCAAGAUUGAUCGAAGAUUUGGAAUCCCCAAAUCUUAGGCUUCAAGGAUCAUCCACUAAAUUUCCAAAUCGAGGUACGUGGGGUUUUCUUAAAAAUCUCAUGGGUAUAGAAAUCAUGAUUUUUAAGAAAAGGGUUUUAGAUUUAUGAUUUAUAAUCAUGUUUUAGAAGUCUCAAUGACAUUGUUUUGGUCUUUAGGCCUUUCCCCAAAUUGAUUUAAAAUUCUAUAUAUAUGUAUGCAUGUGUUUAAGGAUGAAUAUUCAAUUGAGAGCAUGAAUUAUAAUGAAUCCCUCUCUUGAUAUGAUUUUUCCAAUUAUUCGCAUGAUAUGGAUUGUUUUGAAAAGCAUGAUAUGAAAGGUCUUGAUUUAUACUAUGAUUUGAACAUGAUUGUGGAAUCAAAAGAGAGGGUUGUGCAUGUUGAUAAAUGUUGAAUAUACAUAUAAUGAAAGAGUGCAUGGUUUUGUCAAAAGCACAUGACCACUAUAUGUUUGAAGAAUUUUUGCAUAGUUUUGACUUAUGUUUCGAAACAUGAAAUCUCUUAUACUAUUUGCAUGUUUGGGUGGUAUGAGUUGAGUUUGAUGAAAGAAUCAUACAUGAUGCAUUAUGGCUUAGAAAAAGGACUUGCAAGUCUUGGUGUGAUGACACCAACUCAAAUAAUGCCAUGUUAAUUCAGAACAGAAUAAAAUGCAUGUUUGAACUCAGAUUUUUAAAUUUUAAAACUAGAAUGGUGCAUGUUUCAGAACAGACUAAAAUUGGGCAUAAAGAGAGCUUAGGUCGUUUACCGAAGAAGACAUGAGUUCAGACAUCUCAUUGUCCAAAAUCAUGAUUUUCCCAGGUAUAUUAUUAUACGCUGGCCUAGUGCCCUGUGGUGCAUCAGACUCAGAAACUCCAACCCUUGCGGCACACUUGGAUUGGAGGCUUCCCCGCCAAUUCAAUAGAGGAUUUCAUAUAGCCCGUGGAAUAUCAGACUUGUAAGGGAGUGCCACCUAACUCAAAAGUAACACAAAGAUCAGAAAUUGCAUUGACCAAAAGGUUUUAUGAUUAUAAAAAAUGCUCAUGUGUUUUGGAAUUUAUAUCUAUAUGAUGUUUUAUGACUAUCUCUCAACUACCUUAUUUGUAGUACAAUUUAUUUUGGAUUGCUCUACAUACCAGUACAUUUGUAUUGACCCUCCUUUCUCCCAGGGUCUAAAGCUCAGUUCAAAGGUCAUUCUGGGCCGUAGAGUUUUCAGACAGCAGUGAUAUGUGUAGUUGGUGAGCCUUUCUUAUUCCAGAAGGCCUAUGUCUUUCAAAUUAUAUUAUUUAUUUCUGUUUAGGUUCCCUGGGGGCCUUGUCCCAGUUUCAGACAGUUGUCAUUCUCAGAUGCAGUAGAGAUUUUGUAGACUGGUUCAGAUGUCAUGUAGUUGAUAUUGGAUUUCAUUUUUCAUAGUUUAAUUGAACUCAGAGUAUGACCAUGUUUCCAUAAUGAUCUACAAUUCCACACUUUCUAUUAUAAUUUAUGAAUAUUGUACAUAAUUACUAGAUAGAAAAGGGCAUCUGGGCCUUCAUAGUUCGGGAUGCUGGUCACGGCCAAGGCCCCAGUUCGGGUCGUAACAAUUAUGAUUAAUACACCCCCUCAAGUUAGGUGUGGUGCAACAAAACAUAACUUGGAACGACACCUUACAAAGGCUGGUUCUGUUAAUAGCUUGGUAAUUGUAUCAGGAAGUUGAUCACAAACAUGAGUGUGUUUGACAAGAACCCGACGCGCUUGAACUUGGUUCCUAACAUAACAAAAGUCGAUAGCAAUAUAUUUCAUACAACUAUGGAACACUGGAUUAUGACAAAAAUAAGUGACACCAAAAUUGUCACAGAAGAUUGUUGGUGUAUUUGGAAUGGUGAUAUACAUUCAUUAAGCAAGUUAUGCACCCAUGUGCGUUUUGCAAGAGCAUUUGUAACUGAUUUGUACUCUGCUUCAGUAGAUGAGUGAGCUACUGCUUGUUGAUUUUUUGACGACCAACUGACAGGAUUACGCCCCAAAAAAAGAACAUAGCCUGAUGUGGAUACUCUGGCAUUCAGGUCUCCCGCCCAAUCAGUAUCAUCAUACAUGUAAAGAUUGCAGUUCGAGUCACGACGAAUAUGAAGACCUAAAGUUUUUAUGGAUUUGAGAUACUGUAGUAUCCUUUUAAUCACCUUCUAGUGUUCAUCAGUAGGAUCAUGCAUAAACUAUGGCAGUUUGAUAGCAUAAGAAGUGUCAGGACGUGUAAACUAUAAAUAUUGCAGCUUACCGAGUGUGCGCCUGUAGAGUGUAGCAUUCGCAGGUGGAGAAUUAUCAGCUGUUCGAGGUGGUUUACCAGAUCACAUUGGUGUCAAAACUCCUUUACAAUUUUGCAUAUCCAAUUUAGACAAAAUGUCAAGAAUGUAUUUUGACUGAGAGAGAAUAAGACCAUCUGGUAUUUUUUUUGCUUUCACACCCAAGAAGUACUUUAAAUUGCCAAGAUCCUUUAGAGAAAAAUGAGAACCUAAGGAAUCAAUAACAAGCUGUGAUGAAUUUCCAUGAUCAAAAUGUCAUCAACAUAAACGAGCACAUAAACAGAAGCAGUCAGAUUCUUCAAAAUAAACAAAGAGGUGUCGAAUUCAGAUUUGUUUGAAGGUUGUUGGUGUAGUAGUGAAGAGAUUUAGAAAACUGAAUUAUCUUUUGGGAUUGGUAAUAUUAUUCUGGGACCUAGUGGUCAUUCGGUUUAGUACAAGCUCUGGAAUUGGCAUGUGGUGUUGUUCGGGGAUGGGACUUCCGCUACUAGGAAGUGAAGUUGUCAAUGGUGAAUUAGUGGUUGGAGAUGGAGCAUUCGAGACUUUUUGUGGAGUGUUAGUGUUAGAUUUACGUCUUUGGUAUGUUAUCAAAGGUGCAGGUUGUAUGUUUGAGAUUUUGUCAUGCUAGGAAGAAGUAAAAGAAUGUGUAGAAUUACCUGGAAUAGCUGUAGUGGCUAUUGGUACUUGGCCAGAAUUGAAGUAGCUAGUAUUUUAUGAUUCUAAGGACAAUGGUAUAGGUGGGGGUAUAUUAGUAGAGGGUGUUGGAAUGGUAGCUGAAUUCAGAGUUUCCUCUUUGGAGUUAACGUCUUCCCAUGUUAGUUAAGAAAAGUUUUUCCUUAUAUGUAGAAACAUUGUUUUAAAGGAAUUUUUUUUUCAUAAAAAAGAACAUCACGACUGAUGAAUAUUUUUGACUACUCUGGAUCAAAGUAGAGGUGUGAAUGAUGGCUCUGAGAAACGCCUAAAUACAUGCAAGGGGUGGACUUAGGCUCCAACUUAUUUUUGGUAUAAGGUUUAAACCAUGGAUAACAAAGACAACCAAAAAAUUUUAAAUUGGCAUAGUUGGGUGGUUUACCAAAUAAUUUUUGGUAGGGUGAUUCGUUAUUUAAGAUGGGUGUGGGUAGUCGAUUAAUGAGAUAAAAAACGUGAUAGCAGGAAAAAGACCAUAAUUCUGGUGGUAGGGAUGCUUCAUAGAGAAGGGUUUUGGCUAUUUCAACAAUAUGACGAUGAAGACGUUCAGCUAUGGCAACGCGUUGUGGCGUGUAUGGAUGUGAAACUAAAUGUUCAAUGAUUUUGUAGAAGAUAGGACUAAGGACUUUUGUAUUCACCUCCUCCAUCCGAAUAAAAAGAUUUAAUUUUUGUUUUGAAAAAGUUCUCUACUAAAGGAUGAAAAUUUUGGAACAAAGAGGCGACUUCACUUUUAUUUUUAAUUGUAUACAACCAAGUAUACUUGGUGUAGUGAUCAACAAAAAUACAGUAAUAUAACUUUUUGUCUAGUGAUAAAAGGGCAAUGGUACGCAUAAAUCGCUAAAGAUAACCUGAAAAGGAUCAUUAUUGGAUAAAGUGAGUCGUUGAAAUGGAAAACGAUGUGCUUUAUUAGAGGAACAAGCAUUGCAAAAUUCAUUUUUUUCUUUAGUAGCAAUAGGUAAAGAAAACUUAUUCAAAAUAAAAUUUAAAAUUGUCGAAUGAGGAUGACCUAAACGAUAAUGCCAUAGUUGGAAAGGAAGUUUUGUGGAUGUAAGAUUGAUGGAUAUUGGUGGUCUGGGUGGAUGCUAUGGCUACUCAUAGAGUCCAUUCUUAUUCCGGCCUUGUACCAGCGGCUUCUGAGUAUACAGGUCCUUUACAAAAAAAGUAAAAGCAAAAAAAAUUCCAUAGAUGUUAGAUUGUCUUGAGAAAAUUUAGCUAUAGAAAUAAGAUUUUUUUUAAUUGAUGGAGCACAUAUAGUGUUAGAAAGUCUGAAACCAAAAUUAGAUGCUUGUAUCUGAGUUGAACCAGUAUGAGUAAUAGAAAUGGUUUUACCGUCACCCAUGAAUAUUCUCUCAUUACCUGUAUACUCUUCAAGAUUGUAAGGGUCAGCCGUGACAUGAUGACUCGCACCAGAAUCUAGAAUCCAAGAGAAUUUUGCUGAGUACAAAUUAGAGGCAAAGUUGGCCUUAGCUUCAAAAUGAUCGUGCGAUUUGAAGUGACAUACAUUUGCAGUGUGACCAAAUUUUUGGCACAAUUGGCAUCAAAUAGAUUGUCUUGAAUUUGAUCUCCAAUUCUACUAAUUUUUGGAGCUGGAUUGUCGAGGAGUAGAUUGGUUCCACUAUUGAUUGUUGAAGCUGGAUUAUCGAGGAGCAGAUUGGUUCCACUGUUGAUUGUUGAAUCGACGAUUGUUCCUAUUAGACUGGUGUGGCCUUUUUGUUUUCUGUGCUAUAGCAACUGUGAUAGUAGAGGAUGACUUCUCGAGAUCUUGGUGCUUGAGGAAAAGCUCAUGAUCUGUGAGCCUGUAAACAAUUCUUCAAAACUCAACGAAGAGUCUCUUGCUCUUAUAGCGACAGAGAUUUCACGAUACUCCGGGCGCAGGUCAAUUAGAAUCUUGACAAUAAGUUCAUCAUCUGUUACUGGUGAUCCAACAACUUUGAGAGCAUCAAAAAGAUAUCCAACCUCUUAUAAGUAUUCUGCAACAGAUUUAGAGGAUUUCUUGAUAUUUUUUAAUAGGUCACGCAAGCUAAAAAUGCGAGUGUGGCCUUUAUUUGCGUAAGCCGUGUAAAGAAGUUCCAAGGCUGUCUUAGUAGAUGGAGCUAUGGUAACAACAGGCGCAAUGGUGGGAUCGACAGAUGCCAUCAUUUCUUGCUGGAUCAGUUGGUCCUGAGAGAACCAGAUUUGAUGGCAAAGAUUUGGUAUCGUAAGGUUAUCUUGAGUAACAGUCAUUGGUGGUGUCGAUUUUGAUCCUUCAAGAUAUCCCAUGAGCUGAUGGCCAUUGAGUAGCAUCACAGGUUGUUCUUUCUAAGUCGAGAAGUUGAUAUUACCUUGCAAUUUGAUAGGUAAUUGAGAUGCUGGAUCGAAUUGUACCACAUAAACAAUAGGUGAAGCAGCAGAAGAACUGUUGUUGGUAGAAGUAGCAUCACCAGAGUUAAUAAUAACUGGAGAGAUUUUUUCUUGAGGUGUAGCCAUAGAUGAGGAGAGAAAGAGGAUCUAGCUCAUAAGAGGUUAGAGGCAUUGAUACCAUAUAAAAUCAUAUAAAGAGAAAUAGUCGAAAGAUGAUUUUAUUCCUUUAGCAUCCAUACUUUAAAUACAAUAAAUAACAACAACCUACAGCUAAAGACUUCUACAAUAGGAGUCUUCUUCUACAAAUACAAAUAGACAGUAACUAUAUAGUAAAUUAUUCUAAUUCUGAUAAUAUAAAAUAAUCAUGCCUAAUAGCUUUCACACCAAAAAAAAAAGACACUCUUUUUAGUGUAAAUGAUAUUCCUAAAGAAACUAAUAUCUUUUGAAUAAGUGUUUAUAAAAUAAAUAAAAGUUACUACAACUUUCUUUCAGUAUUUUACUGUUUUAACUUAGUCUAGGCUAAUGGUUGUUUAGUCCUUAAGUUUCUCUUGUUAGUGGAAAGCACUAUUGAGUUAGUGCCCUUUAUUUUUGCAUGUUUAGUUGAGUUGUAAGAUAUGUAUAAGGGCUUAUCACUGAUGGAUGAUAUACAAAAAAAAAGAGUCUUGCAAUCCUAGAGAACUCUCUGCCAUUCUAUUUUCCUGGUAGUUUUCCUUUUUUCUUUCUAAUAUUUUGUUCUUGAGUGAGCUUGAGAUCUUUUCUCCAAAAAUUGGUGGUAUCAGAGAUAGGUUUAGAUUGAGGUGAUCUAUUAACAUAAAAAAACCAUGGAUUUCUAAGGAACUUCAUUGAACAUAUCUCAACCUUCCAUCCCCAUUUUCACAGGACAAAGUUAUCAGCUCUGGAGCAUCAAGAUAAAGACUUUGUUUAAGUCACAAGAUCUUUGGAACUUGAUUAAGACAGGGUACGUAGAUAACAAACAAGAUCUUUGGGACUUGAUUAAGACAGGGUACAUAGAUCCGGAUGAAGAGCAACGACUGAAGGAAAACAAAAAGAAGGACGCAAAGGCAUUGUUCUUCCUUCAACAGGUAGUCCAUGAGAUGGUGUUUUCCUGAAUUACAGCAACCACCACUUUAAGGCAAGCAUGGAGAAUUUUGUAAACUGAAUUUCAAGGCUCCUCAAAGGUAAUAGUUGUAAGACUCCAAACUCUUCGGCAUGAGCUUGAAGGUUUAAUCAUGAAAGGAAAUGAAUCUGUGCAAGAUUUAUUGUCUAGAGCAAUGGAUAUUAUUAGUCAAAUGAGGUCAUACGGAGACUAAAUAACUGAUCAAACCAUUGUUGAAAAAAUUCUGAGGAGUUUAACUCCUAAGUUUGAUCAUGUUGUGGCUGCAAUUAAGGAGUCCAAAGAUUUGUUGAAUUUUUCAUUCGAUGAAUUAAUGGGUUCUUUGCAAGCCUACGAGGCAAGGAUAAAUAGGUCAAUAGAAAAGUAGGAAGAAAAAGCAUUUCAAUCUAAGGUGGAGGCACCCAAUCCAAGAGAGCAUGAUAAGGCAGCAAUAGGAAGAGGAUGAGGCAGAGGUACAUUCUGUGAAAAUAGCCGAGGUAACUUUAAUGAGUAAAGGGGCAAUAGAAACAACAAACAAUGUUAUCAUUACAAGAUGUUUGGGCAUGUGCAAGCAGAUUGUUGGUACAAGGAGAAACAAGCGAAUUAUAUUGAGACAACUGAUGGAGAAAGUAAGUUAUUCAUGGCGUAUUGUGAUACUAAUGAAGUUACAGGUGAUAUUUGGUUUGUAGAUAGUGGUUGCUCCAACCAUACGUCAGGUAUGAAGUCAAUCUUUAAAGAACUUGACAAGACACAAAAAUCAAUAGUCAGGCUUGGUGAUAAUAACAGCCUUCAAGCGAAAGGAAAAGGAACAGUAGCAAUCAAAUGUAGUCAUGGUAAAGUAAAAUUUCUUCAUGAUGUUCAAUUUUUUCCUAGUUUGGCACAUAAUUUACUGAGUGUUAGGAAACUAAUUGCCGCUGGAUAUUCACUUUUGUUUGAUGAUAGAGCAUGUGUUAUUAAAGAUAAAACAUCAAGACAAACAAUGGUUAAUGUGCUCAUGGCUGAAAAUAGAAUGUUUCCGCUAAAAGUUUCAAAUGUGGAAAAUUUUGCUUUGGUUACUGAUGCCAAAAAUGAAUCUGAAUUGUGGAAUUUGAGGUAUGGGCAUCUUACUUUCAAGGGACUAAAGCUACUAAGCCAAAAAGGUAUGGUCAUUGGGUUACCAAAAAUUAAUUCUUUUGAUUUAUGUAAAGGUUGCAUUUAUGGAAAGCAAAGUAGAAAGUCAUUUCCUGUUGAAAGGCUUGGAGAGCUUCUACCUUCCUAGAAUUAAUUCAUUCAGAUUUAUGUGGUCCAAUGAAUACUGAAUCUUUUGAUGGAAGUCGAUAUUUUUUACUCAUCACAGAUGAUUUCAGUCGCAUGAGUUGGGUGUAUUUUCUGAAAUACAAAUCAGAAGCUUUUGAGAAUUUUAGAAAAUACAAGGAUUUAGUGGAGAAUCGCAGUAGGUUGCGCAUAAAAAAUCUCCGAACAGACAGAGGUGGUGAGUUCUUAUCUAACAAAUUUGUUCAUUUUUAUGAUGAAUUUAGAAUUCACAAGGAACUUACUACACCCUACACACCGAAGCAAAAUGGUGUAGCUGAAUGCAAGAAUUGUACCGUUAUAGAGAUGGCAAGAAGUUUAUUGAAAGGCAAGGGACUUCCAAACCAAUACUGGGCAGAAGCAAUUGCAACUUUAGUGUACCACUGAACCUAUCUCCUACAAAGGCUGUGAUGAACCAAACACCAUAUGAAGUUUGGAAAGGUACAAGUCCUUCGGUAAGCCAUUUGUGAAUUUUUGGGUGUAUUGAUUAUACUUUGGUUAACUCCCAAACUCGUUAAAAACUAGAUGAAAAAUAAAAAAAUGUAUUUUCAUCGGUUAUUUUCUUCAAUCCAAAGCAUACAGGUUAUAUAACCCACUUAGUGGCAAAGUGAUAAUAAGCAGAAAUGUUGUAUUUGAUGGAAAGUCAAGUUGGAAUUGGAGUGAAAAACAAGUACAACAGACCCUCUGAAGUUUCUCCAGAUGAAGGACAAGAGGUUGCCCCAGAUUUACUUGAAGAUACAAUUGCACCAGAGAAAUCUGCAACACUUGAAGGACCUUCAGCUGAGUCAAUUCCACUAAGAAGAUCAACAAGAGUUAGAAAAGAGAAUCCUAGAUAUUCUAAUCAAUCUUGUCAAUUUUAUUUUAUUGUUUCAGAAUCUAUAUUUUAUGAAGAAGCAAUUGAAAAGGAGGAGUGGAAGAAUGCAAUAAAGGAAGAAUUGAUGGCAAUAGAAAGAAAUGAAACUUGGCAUCUCACUUACUUGCCAAAAGGAAAGAAUUUUGUUGGCUUAAAGUGGAUAUUCAAAACAAAGUAUCAUGCAGAUGGAAGUGUAGGAAACACAAGGCAAGACUUGUCACAAAGGGAUACUCGCAGCAGGUCAUUGAUUUUGAAGAGACCUUUUCCCCUGUUGCUUGAUUGAAACGGUAAGAACAAUUUUUGCCUUAGCUACUAAAAUGAAAUGGUCACUUUAUCAAUUUGAUGCUAAGUCAGAAUUCUUGAAUGGUGAACUGGAAGAGGAGGUUUAUUUUGCUCAACUUCAAGGUUUUGAAAUUAGUGGACAAGAAGAAAAGGUAUACCAGUUGAGGAAGGCACUUUAUGGGUUGAAACAAGUGCCACAUGCUUGAUAUAGCAAAAUCAAUUCCUAUUUUGUUCAAAAUGGGUUUGAAAGGAGUGAAAGUAAGCCUACUCUGAACUUAAGAAAGCGAGGUAACAAUGAUCUUGUUGUUGUAUGCCUCUAUGUUGAUGAUAUAAUUUAUAUGAGUUCAUCUCACUCUAUUGUGGUUGAAUUUAAAUCUUGUAUGAUGAGUAGAUUUGAGAUGACAGAUUUGGGUUUGUUGCAUUACUUCCUUGGGCUUGAGGUGAAACAAGGGGAAGGUGAUGUAUUUUUUUCUCAAAAGAAAUAUGCAUUAGACCUUCUUAAAAGAUUUGGCCUGGUCAAUUGUAAAUUUGCAGCAACACCCAUGAAUAUGAAUGAAAAAUUGCAGCAGGAAGAUGGUACCGGGCAAGCCAAUGCAAGAAGUUUUUGAAGUCUGGUUGGAGAUUUGAUUUAUUUGUCUCAUACUCGUCCAGAUAUUUCAUACUCUGUUGGUGUCGUUUUAAGGUUUAUGAGAAAUCCAUUGAAGCAUCAUUUUGGAGCUGCAAAAAGGAUUCUACACUAUAUUAUUGGAACACUAGAACAUGGUAUUUGGUACUCUUAUGUUUCAAAUUUCAGAUUGGUAAGAUAUACUGAUAGUGAUUGGAGAGGAUCGGUGGAUGAUAGGAAAAGCACAUCAGGCAACACUUUCAGUCUUGGAUCAGGUGCAAUAACAUGGAGUUCUAAGAAACAAGCAACGACAACAAUGUUGACUUUAGAGGCAGAGUAUAUCGCAGCAACUUCUUCAGCUUGCCAAUGCAUUUGGCUUAGGAGAAUUUUGUUCGAUCUUUAACCAGAAGCAAUAGAAAGCAACAAAAAUUUAUUGCAACAACAAUUCCACAAUUGCAAUGACUAAGAAUCCUGCAUUUCAUGGAAGAACAAAGUACAUUGACAUUCGCUUCCAUUUUAUUCGUGAGCUGGUGGAAAAAGAAGAGAUCAUAAUGAAAUUUUGCAACACUAAUGAACAAGUAGCAGAUAUAUUCACAAAAGCACUGCCCUAUCAGAACCAUGUCUACUUCAAAUAAUUGCUUGGUGUUAGUGAUUUUUAAUCAAGGAGGAAUGUUGAAUAACUGAUUCAAAAAAAAAAGAAGAAGAAAAGUUACUGCAACUUUCUUUCCGUAUUUUACUGUUUUGACUUAGUCUAGGUUAGUGGUUGUUUAGUCCUUAAGUUUCUCUUGUUAGUGGAAAGCACUAUUGAGUUAGUGCCCUUUAUUUUUGCAUCUUUAGUUGAGUUGUAAGCUAUAUAUAAGGGCUUAUCACUGAUCAAUAAUAUACAGAAAAAACAGUCUUGCAAUUCCAGAUAACUCUCUGCCAUUCUAUUUUCCUAGUAGCUUUUCUUUUCCUUUCUAAUAUUUUGUUCUUGGGUGAGCUUCAGAUCUUUUCUCCAACAAUAUCCACAAUGAUAAAUAUAAAAAGGGGAAAAUAUUGUUAUAUUGCCAACUUUGAUAUUUUUGUUGACCACAUACCUUGCAUUCUUGUAGAUUCUAAUAUUCCCUCAAUCCAAAACACCGCUUGUAUGGACAGAGAAUAAUAAAAAUUACCAUCUUAUGUUUAUUAAAAAUUCCUAAAUUCUCAUGUAGAUGAAUCUGGCAUAUUUUUGCAAAUUGCGAGUUUUCAGAGAAAUGAUAGGAUUGUCGUCUAACCAACAACGCUUCCGAAUCGUAACCAGCCAAGAAGAUGUGCUAGAACACCACCAAUCAAUAGGCAACAAAUGACAAUUGGAAAUAGAUUUGUACAAAUAAGAAGAGGAACAACCCCAAGAAACGAUAGGCAACCAAUGGCAAGAAAUAUUGGAGUUGGAGGUUCAAAUAUAACAUUUACAGAUUCAAAUGAGUCUGAUAAUUUUACAAAAAACAUUGAUUAAUCAAUUGGAUGUUCCUAUUUCGUCAAAUUUUGAUGACUUAGUUAACAUAGCUGAAGAACAAAAUGAUUUAGACUUGACCUUGAGGCUUUAAUUAGAUUUAAAAUUAUCUGAAAUUUAGAUUGAGGUGUCAAAAAUGUGCCUAGUUUGGAGUCCUUUUUUUUAUUUAUAUUUUCAUAUGAUUUUUUGAUAGUGGGGUAUCUAAAAGGGGGAGUUUGUUGUUUUAUUUUAUUCUAUUUAAUUUUUUGUCGAACAUGUCUAGUGUCUAAAAUGUGUCAAGGCUACAAUAAAUCAUUUUUACUACUUUUGUAAGCUGAUGCGUCUUUGAAAUAUUUGUUUGUAUAUUAACAACUUGUUGUUUCCAAUAAGGGCCUUAAUCGUCAUUUAGACUUUUAAGUUACAACUCUCUUUGGUAUAACCCGACUAGCUUGAAUAUUUUCCUGAUUCUUUGCCUUCUUUCCAAUUUUAGCUAAAGCUUUUGCUGAUAAAAUAUCUAUUUCAAGGAAGAGACCAUAGGUCCACGUGCACCAAAAUUUCUAUAUAGUCUUCAAUUUAAAAAUGACAUACACCCAUAUUAAUUUUUUUUCCUGGUAAAGUAGAUAUGCAUUAAUAAUAAAACAAAGGGAGUUUGAGCUCAAUUUGGCUCUAGUAUAAAAAGAGUUUGACGCAUUACAUGAGGUUGCGUAUUUGAGAUAGUUCUAGUUAAGGUUUUACUUUUCAUAUCAUCCCAUGGGAUACAAAAGGGGGUGGGGAAACAAAAAUUUUACUACUGUAAAAAAAGAUCUCUUUUUGCGUCUUUCUUUGCUAAAGCAUCUGCUACCUGGUUCUGUUCUCGAUAGCUAUUCUGGACAGGAGGACCUCCUAGUUUUCUUAGCAUCAACCUACAGUCAUGAAUAAACGGGUUAAAAAGACAAUUACCCCAUUGCAGUAUUUUAAUGACAUAUUUAAAGUCUACAGUGAUGUUGAUGGGAGAAAGAUGAUGAUCUAAAACAAGCUGAAGACCUUUUCAAAGGACUAAAAGCUUUAUAAAAUUAUUGCUAGCAUGCAGGAAACUUUGGGAGAAUCCCAGUAUCCAUUCACAAUUAGCAUUUUGAAUGAACCCACCAAUCCCAUCCAUACCAGGAUUGCCUAGACUCAAUCCAUCCCUGUUAAGCUUAUAGUGAAGCCUAGGGGGAGGACUCCAACUGGUGCUGAUAGUGCUGGUCAACUUUUGAGCAGGGGUUGAAUUAAGGUAAGUGUAUUCAACUGCUUUCGAGUAGGCAAAUUUGAAGAAAGGAAAAAAAGAUUUUUUGUUGAAAACAUUAGAGUUCCUAUUCUUCCAAAUGUUCCAGAGGCAUAAGGGGAGUAGAGUUGCCCGACUUAGAAGCUUUUCAAAGUUGGAGUGUUUACAAGCUUCCAGGUGGUCUGCCAGUUAGAAGGGUGGAAAAUAUUUGUAUGAAUAGUAGAAUGCCUAUGGUAAUAGAGAGUGAGGUCAUGCCAGAGGGAGCUGGCCAGUGGAUAGCUGAAGAAGAGAUGAGAAAUAUCUUCCUUUUGGUGGCUACACUGGUGACAGUAUAGUUGAAUGUGGAGGCCUCUGUAAGCCAGGGUUGAAUUAGUAGAGAGACUGUUAUAAUGAAGGAGCCUAAGAAAGAAUUUUAUUUUAUUGGGGACUUGAAGUUUAGAAAUCCAUCCAAAUUGAGUGGCCUUGUAAGAGGGUUGAUGUUUUUGGGAAGCCAGAUACUAGUAAAUAGUCUUAUAAGAAAACAUUUAAUUUCCAGAAUGUAGCCAGAGGGAGUUUCAGAAUGAAUCUGAGGGUUAGGCAUGAAAGAGUUCUGAAUGCUAAAUUGGAGAGUUCUAGGGAUGUUAAAGGCUAAGGACUCAAGGUUCCAGGUUCUAUUAUGCCAAAAGAAAGAGAGUUGCAGGGUGGGACAGGGCUUGGGCUUGGGGAGAGUUCCCUAGAUAAUGGAGAAAAGGUGGGAUGAUUAGGGACCCAUUAUCCUUCCAAAUAUUCACCUUCUGUCCAUCAUGAAUAGACCACUAAAUAAGGUCUCUAUAGAGGUUUCAGGAUCUAUGGACAUUUUUCCAAGUUUUAGAAUGGGAGGAGGAGUUCCUUCCAUUAUUAGGAUUAUUCCUUUGAAGUAGAACUCUAGCCCAUAAAGAAGAAAGAUUUGAGUGAAGUCUCCAAGCUAAGCUGCAAAGCAGGGUAUCAUUCUUGCUGCUAGCUUGUUUACACCUAAGCCACCUAGAUGCUUUGGAUGAGUGACGGUGGUCCAGUUGAUCAUGUGCAUCCUCUUUUUCUCUUCAGUAAAUCCCCAAAUGAAAUUCCUUUGGGCUCUAUCUAUAAGAUUAUGAAUCUUCCUAGGGAUAAUGAUGUAUUGCAUAAUAUGAUUGGGAAUACUCCCUAGGAUAGCCUUAGCAAGAGUAGUCCGACCAACCAUAUUCAGAAAUUUAACUUUCCAACUCACAAGCUUGUUAUUAAUAUUACCAGGAUGAACUGAAAAUCAGAGGAUUUUGGCUUUCCUUGAAAAAUUAGAAAGCCCAAAUAUUUCCUAAAAGAGUGACUGGUCUUGAUACCAAGGAUGGAGGACAAGUACUCUUUGGUAGAGUUGUGACAGUUAGAGGAACAAAAACUUUGGAUUUUGUUAAAUUUACUUUUUGACUAGAAUAGGUUCUAAAACUUUGAAGGGUUCUAGCAAUAGUGGUCCAAUUAUGGUGAUCAAUUUUAGCAAAGAGUGUUAAAUCAUCUGUAAAGAACAGAUCAGAAAUCUUUAGUCCUCUAUGAUUGAUUUGGAUGGGUGUCCAUUGCUUCAUGGUUAAUCCUUUUUCAUGCAAAGAAUGAAAAUAUAAGGGGAGAGGGAAUCUCUUUAUUUAUUCCUCUAGUAGGUUGGAAACAAGGAGUAUGCCCUCUAUUAACUAGGAUGGAGAUAGUGGAGGAGAAGACACAAGAAAUGAUAAGGUUAGAUAGACCAGGAGGGAAGUUGAAAUAAACUAGGGCUUGUCUAAUGAAAGACCAUUCAAGUCUGUCAAAGACCUUUUAAAGAUCAAUUUUCAAAAUCAUGUUAGGGUUUUCCCCCUUCUUCUAAGUUGAUCAAUGUAUACCUGAACAAUGAUAGCUUUAUCAGAGGCUUUUUUUUUAGAUAAGAAACUAUCUUGAGUAUCACCAAUUAAGGAUUGGGGGAGAGGCUUAAUCCUAGUACCAAUGAUUUUGGUGAUUAUUUUGUACUGGGUAGUACAAAGACCAAUGGGUCUGAAGUUCUUGAGAGUAGUGGCAUUUGGGAAUAAGACAAAGGUAAGUAGAGUUGACUUUGGUAUCCAUCUUAUCAUGAGUGAAGGUGUUAGUACAGAAGUCCAAGAGAAGGGCAACAAAAGUAUCCUAGUAUUUUUGAUACAUGAAAGAAUGGAUACCAUCAGGUCUAGGAGCCUUAAGGAUUGGAAGGAGAAACAUCCCAAAUUUCAGAAAAAGUAGGUAUGGAAUCUAGAAGAGAGUGGGUAGCAGUUGAGAUAGAGCCCAUGUGAGAAAGGUUAACUUUAAAUUUGAGAUGGGCAUGAUGAUGCUCAGUCCUAAACAAACAAGAGUAGAAGGAGAGUAUGGCAUCUUUGAUAUCUACUUGGUCAUGGAUUCAGACACCUUGGUCUUGGAGAGAGUUGAUUCUUUUUCUUCUCCUUCUGUUGAGAGUUAAGGAGUGAAAGAAUCUAGUAUUCUUAUCCCCUUCCAUGAGCCAGUUUAUUCUAAAUUUUAACAUCUAAAAGUUUUGCUCAUUUUUUAGGAUGGAGCUGUACUCUUUUGUAAGCUCCAUUUCUAAGGUAUGAAGAAAGGAGUUAGUGGGAUAGUUGGGGGAAUUUUGAAUGCCCUCUAGUCUAGCUAACAGUUUUUUCUUCCUAUGGAAGAUAUUGCCAAAGAUAUUUUUGUUCCAGGAAUUAACAAUGAAGUCAGAGUGAUUACACCACAUAGAUUCAAUGCUGAAAGGCUUGGGAGUGGGAUGGUUGGGCCUAGCAAAGGUUAACAGGAGAGAAGAGUGAUCAGAAUGAGUCCUGGGAAGAUGAAGGACAGGACCUCAGGGAAAAGGUAGAUCCAUUGAUCAUUAGCCAAGAAUCUAUUUAAUCUUUCUAAGAUGAGCUUCUGUCUGUGUAUGUACCUCAUAUUGGACCAGGUAAAUUUACUUUGUCUAAAUCAAUGGUCAAUAAGGCUGCAAUGGUUCAAACAAUCUCUAAAAAGAGUAGACCUAGUAGCAUUUAUACUAUUUCCCCCGAAUUUCUCUGAGGCAUUCAAUAAUUCCUUGAACUCACCACCUAUAAGCCAACUAUUACUUUCAAGAGAAUGAAGGGAAUUGGCAAUACACGCUAAUUGAUCCCAGAGGGACCUCCUAAUGGAAAACACAUUACUAGUCAACAACGAUAAAUAUAAAAAGGGAAAAAUAUUGUUAUAUUGCCAACUUUGAUAUUUUUGUUGACCAUUACCUUGUAAUCUCGUAAAUUCUAAUAUUGCUUCAAUCCAAAACACGGCUUUAUAUGGAUAGAGAAUAAUGAAAAUUGCCAUCUUAUGUUUAUUACUAUAAAUAAUAUUUUCUAUUGUAUAAUUAUUUAAUCUAUAAUUAGUUAUGGUGACUGAUUAAUGUUAUUUUCAGUAUAUAAUUGAUUUUAACAAUAUCACUUACAAGUAAGAAAAUUGAAGCUUAUCCAAAAUUCCAUAGAGAAAUAUGAUUAAUUUGACAUAUAUAUAGAAGUAAUUUUAAAGUAGAAUACAUUUUUUUAUUGAAUUAAAUAAAUUGAUAAUCGGAGAAAUUUUUAAUUCGUAAGUUUGCCAUGUUAAAUAUAAUGAUCAUCAACGAAUUCUGUAGUUAUUUGAAAAAGGCACUUGAUCGACUUUGAUAGAAAAUACAAUCCUUUACUAAAGUCUGUCGACUUAGAGAGAAAAUAUAAUCUUUUUAUAGGCAAUAAAUUAGGAAAAAGAAGCCGCUAGAUUAUAAAUUUUGGACGCAAAAUUGUCACUCACUCACUCACUCAGUGCAAAAUUAUUUUCAAUCCACCAUUGCAAAAUAUAGUGAUAAUCAAACAAUUUUUAAUUUGUAAGCCUUCUGCGAUAAGUAUAGCUGAUCAUCAACAAGUUUUUUAGUUAUUUAAGAAAGGCGCUUGAUCGACUUCAACAAAAAAUACUAUCUUUUUCUAAAGUACUCUGCCAAUUUAGAGAGAAAAUAAGAUCUUUUUUCUGAAGUCUGUUGCAACAAGUGAGUUAAAUAUAGACAACAAAUCAGGAAAAAAAAAUCAUUGGAUUAUAAAAUUUGGUCGCAAAGUUGUCACUCAUUCACUCAUUGAAAAAUUAUUUUCAACUUACCAUUACGAAAAUUAAAACACACAUAAAUGAAGGGGAAGGUUAUACUAUGAGUAGCCUAUAAAUUCUCUUGAUAUUUUACAGAAUUAUCGUGCAUAGUUGGUGCUUUUCUCUACCAUUUUUUGUCAUUCAUAUUUCAAAUAUGCAUAAUGCAAAUCUUUCUCCUUCCUCAUUUCUAAUACCUUUUCCUAUACUACUUCGAUGCCCUCUGUGCCAUGGAGUAUUCCGUAUUCAUUGAGAAUUUAUGAACCACGUACAAACUAUUCACCGAUUAUCCGAGCGAGAUGGCAUCCUAAAUUCUCAUGUAGAUGCAUCUAGUAUAUUUUUACAAAUUUUGAGUUUGCAGGGAAAUGAUAGGGUUGUUGUCCAUCUAACAACGUCUUUGAAUCGUAACCAGCUGAUAAGAUGGGACAGAGCACCACCAAUCGAUAGGAAACAAAUGACAAGACAAAAUAGCGUUGUACCAAUAAGAAGAGGCACAAGACCACCAACCACUAGGCAACAAAUGGAAAGAAGCAUUAGAGUUGGAGGUUCAAAUCCAACAUUUGCAGAUUUAAAUGAGUCUACUGAUUUGACGAGACCAUUGAUUAAUCAGUUGGAUGUUCCUAUUUCAUCAAAUGUAGAUGAAUUAAUUAAUAUAGCUGAAGAACAAAAUGAUUUGGACUUGAACUUGAGGCUUUAAUUAGAGUAAAAUUAUGUGGAUUUUCUUUAUAAGGGGUGUCUAAGAUUUCUGCUAAGUUUGAAAUCCUUUUUUUUAGUUUUAUUUUUAGUAUGUUUGCCUGAUUGUGGGAUAUCUAAAGGGGUGAGCGUUGUUUUAUUUUACUAGUAUCUGAGCGCGCGCUCCUGUAACCUAGUUAGUAUUAAAGCAUGUUUGAGUUAUAAUGAAUGUUAGUCCUAUUCACUUCCUCCGUUUCAUAUAUUUUACUUCUUACUAUUAAUAGCGUUAGUUUAAUGAAAUACAUGUCUAAUUCUUGAUUUCUUAAGGGCGUGUCAAAUUAAUAGGCAUCAAGUAAAAUGUAACGGAGGGAGUAAUUAAGGAAGAAACCAUACUCCCCCCAAAGCUCACAGAUUUAUUUUCACAUUCUGAAAAAUUACUUCGCAAAAUAUAAUACUCCCUUCAUAAUUUAAUAUACAUAUGAAUACUUUAAAGUUGAUUCCAUCUAUAUCUAAUACUCCCUUCAGUUCUUUUCAAUUUCUCCCCUUAUUUUUGUGAGUCAGUUUGAUUAAGUUUCAAAGCUAGAUUAAAUUAUAUUAAUUUAUUUUUUAAAAAUAAAAAUUUUGAUAUUCAAAAACUACAUGAAAAGUACUAUCGUUUACAUUUUUUUUUUUAAAAUUUAACUAAGAAAUACAUCUUCAGUUUCUCUGUUCCUAUAAAACUUGAUUUCUUCCUCUGAAAUGAGCUCCAUAGAUUCCAUCCAAUUACCAUUCGACCAAGUGUAUCAACUUCCAUUAAAUAUGUUAAGUCUUUAGUUUUGAUGAUCGACAAAUUGUACGUUGGGACCUGUUUCUUGGAGAUUUUGUGAUGAAAAAACUUAUACCACUUAGGAAAUAGGUUGUUCUCACCUAUCACUAUCACUGUCAAUAGUCUCAGUUGACACAAAGUACAAAAGUUGGUAGGAAAAGAUGCUGCCACCUUUUUGCCUCAACCAAUGAGAUCUCUCUUAGAUUUUCUUGUGUCAUAAUAUAUAUUGUUCAUCUUCCUCAAUAAGAAAAUCAAUGCUUCCAUAUUCUCACAACUAAAUAUCUUUUGAAGCUGCGAAUCAAAGACUGCAUUAUGCAAUAGGAAAGUUAUUGUUCACCGAGUUGUAUUUUUAUUUCCUUGUUGUACUUGAGUCUUUGUAUUUUAGUCUUAAAUGUUUUCCUAUAUUUUCUUAUUAUUAUAGUAGGUUAUUAGGUGUAAACCUAUCUAUUUGUAAUCAUCUGGUGGUUGUCCAAGCUAGAGCUAUCUUGUGGUGUCCAGUUAGAGUUCUAGAGGUUGAAACAGUAGAGCUACUGCUUGUGUUUCCUUGUAAUAAAGUUAUUGCUAGAAGACAAAGGAUUAGGAGGUUAAUUCUUAGAGUCUGUAUUCAAGAAGUUGCUCGAGUAUAGUGGAGAUUAGAAAUCCUGGAGGCAGGUCGUGGUUUUUCUCCCUUGAACAUGGAGUUUUCACGUAAAAACCUUGUGUUUUUUAUUUACUUUAUUUCUACACUUCUUACUUUAUAUAUCUCCUAGUUCUUAUAGUGUAAGUGUAUCUAGGAACAGGUCUCUAAGUUGAGGAGAAACCCAUCCCAACCCUUCAUUUGGUAGCAGUGCGGAUCUUCCAUAAAAAGGCUAACACCUUGGAAGGAUUCUGAGAAAUGGAAGCUCCUCCAAAUCUGUAAAAAAACUAGUCAACCACCAGAUCCCCAAGAUUCAAUGGUGAAUAUUCACCAUUGAAAUGCAUGACUUCAUCAUGGAUGAAUAUUCAGAGAUGUGGGAUGUCAUUGAGGAUGUCCUUUUUGUUCCUACAAGGGUUGUGAAGAUUGGUGAUGUGACCUCACAAGUCCCCAAAACCAAGAAGGAGUUUGAUGAUGCUGAUAGAAAAAAGAUAGAGACGAACUAUAAGUCCAAGAACAUAUUGGUGUAUGAUAUUAGUCCUGAUAAGUACAAUAGGAUCUCAACUUGUGAGACUGCAAAGGAGAUCUGGGACUGUCUUCAUGUAAUACUCCGUAUUUUCCUAGCUCAUUUUAACUCUAAAUAUAUAAGUAUUCCUAUAUAAAAUUUUAAAAAUACUCAAAAUUUUUAAAUUUAGAGCUUACCAUUGUGUAGGAAAUUCAGCCAUCUUUCCAACGAUAUAAAAUUCGCCUAAAUCCGAUACCCGAGUGAAGAGUUAAAGCAAUUUUUAUAAAAUAGUGUGCCAACUGGCACAUCAUCACAUCGCAGAGGGGGUACAAAUGGAAACUGUCAAAAUAAAGUGAUCCAUCACAAUCCCACCACGUUGCGCUGUAGUCCCAGUUCCAAAUAGUCAUUUUUCAAUAAAGCAAUACGAUACCACUGCGUUGCGCCAAGGCCAUUUUUCAAAAUUGUCAAAUUCCAGUGAGCCUCUGUGAUCAUGGAGCGUCGCGCCAAAGGUUAAUUUUGCAAUUGUCCUUUUAAUAAAGUUUCCAGCCAAGAACCAGUGGCUCACUGCAAUGCCACCGCAUAGAGGUGAAUCCCAAAAUUGGGUUUUUAGUGACGAUUUUAAAUAGUUUCUACGGGUAUUUUGGUAUUUCUCCAUGAACCAAAUCAACCUUUAACACAUGAUUUACCCCUAAUUAACCUAGUUAUACCAUUAUUCACUCAAUUUUAUCCCAAAUUAAAUCAUCCUCUCUCAAAAGACAAAAACCUUAGCUUCAAGAAUUAACACUAACUCUUAAGAAUUUCCCCCAAGAACCUUCAAGAAUUAAUCAUCUCAAGUAUGUUAGGUGUUCAUUCAUGGGUUCCUUUCACCCAUGAAGCCCAAGAAUCCCUUUUAGAAACUACAAGAUUGAGUUUUCAUGAAUUCCAUGCUUCAAAUUAAUUGUAAUGAUGUUCAUAAUGUUAUAGGGCUUCCAGCCAUGAUUUAACUAAAGUUUCACAAAAUUGAAAUAGCAUUUAUAUUGAAUUGUGUGAUUUCCAUGUCAUAACCCUUGAAUUUGCAAGUUGGGUGUUGUAGUUACAAUGUUUAUAUGUUUUCCAUGAUUAUAUGCAUUAAGUUGUACUCCCCAAGUAUUUGAUAGAAUGUCCAUGUGAAUAAAAUGGUGAAAUCAUGUCAUGCUACCAUAUGUACAAGCUCAUGCGCUACAAGUGUUUGAUAAAUAUCUCUGUGAAUGAAUUAUGAACAAGUGAACAUUGUUAUGCUUUUCAAGAUCAUGCUAUGCUUUACUUUCCAUGCUAUUGAGUCCUAGGGGUAUUAAAUUCCCAAAAAUCUAGGUGUUUUACCUAGAGCUAUAUUAGUUGCAGAAUAGUCUCAGUCACGUCAAGAAAUAGUAGUACUCACACAGUUACAGAACUCAGUGAACUCAGUCCAGUUUGAUCAGUUCUUAUGAAUAGUAAUAGUUUAGUCAUAUACAGUGUAGUCUAGUAAUCAGUUCAGUGUCUAUUCAGUUGGGAGUAGUAGUUAGCACUGAGUGAACCCAAGGAUAGGGGCUCACCUGCCAGUAGAGGGAGUGAUCCUUAGAGGCAGUCCUUUCAUUCCAAAACUAUGUAUCCAGUGUAGGUUGAGACAUAGUUUUGGAAUGUACUAUCCCAAAACAAGGUCUUUUAACUUGCCAGAUGAGGUACCAAUAUUCUCAUUAGAGUACCUGCUAGAUGAGGGUGACUCUUUAGCUUAUCUUUACCCGUAGCAUGGUACUGAAACCCUUCCAACUGGGGUUAUAGGCUGGACCCUACUUAUCUUAUUUGGGGCAUAUCGGUUGGAUGAUUACCUCCCGCAGUUUUAGUUUCAGUCUCAGUAUAGAGCUUAAUUCCACUCUACAAAAUCAGGACUGCCGACAUUGUCACCCAGUUAUCAGUAACUUAGUUAUCAGCAACUUCAGAUAUUAGUUACUCAGUUAUCCGAAAUCAGUACUCAGCUUUAGUAAAAUCUUAGAUACAAUAUAUACGUAUAUGCACAGUAUUGUAUACUCAGUAUUUAUAGCAGUUUCAGUUAUCCAUGUACUCUCAUAUUUGGUUACUAUAUAACAUUAAGUUAGUUACUGUUCAUGCAUAUAAACCCUUGCAUUCAUCCUUACCUUAUCUAGCAUACCAGUAUAUUCCACGUACUGACGCAUAUUUUCUCUUUUCUCUAUGAUGCCUUAUAUCAUAGGUUCAAAUGCUCAGGUUCCUGACCGCGCUUAGAUAGAUUUAGUCAAUAGUAGUAGGUUCAUUAGUGAGUCCUCAUCUAGAAAGGACAUUCUUUUAUUUUAGUAUUUCAGUAGAUUUAGCAUUUUAUUAGUUAGAGUUAGUUGGGGAAUUAUCCCUUAGUUGGGGGAUUAUCCCAUCAACUCCACAUUCAGACAGUUCAGUUAGAGGCUUUUCAGACUAGACUAGUUCAGACAGUAUUCAGAUUUAAGAUAUUUUAUCAUAUGUUAUUAUUAUCAGUAUUCAGAAUAUGAACCUUAUGGCAGUUUAGCCUAGUUUUCACAUUAUUUCAGUAUUAUUAUUCAGUGCUCACAACAGAUACUAGUCAUGGGUUAGCUUGUGGUCCCUCGGGAUCGUAAGUACUAUGUAGCAUCUGGGGUACAGACUCGGGGUAUUACAAACUUGGUAUCAAAGCAUAAGGUUCAAUAGAGUCCUAGGGAGUCUGAAAGCUGCAUCUAGUAGAGUCUUGUGCAUGGGUUUGUAGCUCACCACACUUAUGGACAGGAGGCUAUGAGAUGUUUUAGUAAAAGUUUCCCUUCUUUCAGUAUUCAUAUCGUGCGAGUGAGCAUGAGCUCAAGUUAAACUCUUAGUCUAAUCAUUUUUUACUUCUGUUUAUAGAACAUGCUUCCCAAAAGGAAUGAUAGAAGAAGAACAGGAAACCAGUCAGCACCUCAGCCCGUUCAAGCAGAUCCCCUGGACGAGAAUGUCUCCCAUGUAGAAUUUAGAGUUGCAUUCACCACUCUAGCCAAUUCAGUAGCAGCUCAAAAUGAACGGCCAACUGUUGUUCAAGCCAACCAGUGGCCAAUACUAUUGCAGUCAGGAUUCAGGACUUUACCCAAAUGAAUCCCCCUAUUCUCAGGAUCUAAGUCAGAAGAGGAUCCACAGGAGUUCCUCGAUUAGGUUUAGAAAGACACAGAUAUUAUGGGAGUGAAUUCCAGUGAGAUUACUGAGUUAUUUUCCUAUCAAAUACAAGAUAUAGGUCAUAUGUGAUUUAAGCAGUGGAAGGUGAACAGGGGAAUAGAGACAGAGCCCAUAGAAUGGGAAGAGUUUGCUACCACUUUUCUAGAUAGAUUUUUUUCCCUUAGAGCUAAGAGAAGCCAAGGUGUUAGAGUUCAUCAAUCUCAGGAAAGGUAGCAUGAGUGUGAAAGAGUAUUCCCUUAAGUUUACUCAGUUAUCCAGGUAUGCUCCCCAUGAAGUAGUAGACAGUAGGUCCAAAAUGAGCAAGUUCGUAUCAGGGGUGUUAGAAAAUGUGGUCAAGGAGUAUAGGACCGUAAUGUUAAUUAAGGAGAUGGACAUAUUCAGACUUAUGAUCCAUGCGCAGUAGAUUGAAGAGGAUAAGAAUAAGGAAAGACAAAGAGAAAAAAAAACAAGAGAGCCAGAAUAGGUAGCUUUAACUUUACUCAGCCUAAGUCAGAAGGUGGUAACCGUUCCUAAUUCUAUCCAAAAUCUUUAGUUCUAGCUCUGUCCUCAGCCAGUGAUCCAGUACCUAAGUUCAGAAAUGGUAACAAAGAUAAGGCACCAGGCUCUAAAUCCUAGGGUAGUGUCAUCAGUGCUCGAACAAAUCCUCUUUGUUAAAAAAUGUGGCAGAAACCAUCAGGGUAUUUGCAGAGCUGGCAGUGAUGUUUGUUUUGGGUGUGGCAAGCUAGGACACAGAAUUAGAGAUUGUCCUCAAUCAGGUUCUCAGGGUUAGUACAAUCAUCCUUCAGCUCAGUUCGGUUAUCCAAAUCAGUAGGGUGCCAUUUCCAUUGCCACCGGUGGGCAAUGUUCAAAUAGGCUUUAUGCACUUUAGUCCCGACAAGAUCAGGAAAGUUCUCCUGAUGUGGUAAAUGGUAUGUUACAGAUAUUCCAUGUACAUAUUUAUACCUUAUUAUAUCCAGGAUCUUCUCUAUUUAUUGUAACUCCUUACCUAGCAGUCAACUUCAGAGUUAGACUAGAAAUCUUAACAAAACCCUUCUCAGUCUCUACCAAGUGAGUCAAUCUAUCAUAUCCCAAUGGGUAUAUAGGAACUGUCUAGUUAUGAUAUCUCAAAAAUUCACUUCAGCAGACUUAGUAGAGUUAGAGAUGACAGAUUUCGACGUCAUUGUUGGCAUAGAUUGGCUCCAUUCAUGCUAUGCCUCAGUUGAUUGUAGAAAUAGAAUUGUUCAUUAUCAUUUUCUAAAUAAACCAGUUCUUCAAUGGUGGGGUAGUACUAAAAUGCUUAAGGAUCAGUUAAUUUCAUACCUUAGAGAAAGAAAAUAAUAUCCAAGGGAUGAGUCUAUCAUCUUAUGUGAGUCAAAAACUCUAGUUUGGAGACUCCUAGUUUUGAGUGAGUUCUAGUAAUGAAUGAAUUCUCAGAUGUGUUUCCUAAAGAUCUUUUUGGAUUUCCUUACAAAAGUGAAAUCAACUUUGGAAUAGACCUUCUUCUAGACACUCAACCUAUAUCUAUUCCGCCAUACAAAAUGGCUCCAGCAUAACUCAGAGAGUUAAAAGAGCAGUUGAAAGAUCUCCUAGACAAGGGAUUCAUCAGACCCAACAUUUCCCCAUGGGGUGCACCAGUCUUAUUUAUGCAUAAGAAAGAUGGUUCACUCAGAAUGUGUGUAGACUACCGUUAGUUGAACAAAGUCACAGUCAAGAAUAAAUACCCACUUCCUAGAAUUGAUGACUUGUUUGACCAACUUUAGGAAGCCAGUUACUUUUCUAAGAUAGACCUGAGAUCAGGCUAUCAUCAUCUUAGAGUUAGAGAAUGUGACAUUUCAAAAAUAGCUUUCCGAACCCUGUAUGGUCACUUCAAGUUUCUAAUCAUGUCCUUUGGUCUCACUAAUGUCCCAGCAGCCUUCAUGGACUUAUUGAAUUAAGUGUUCAAGCAGUACUUGGACAUGUUCAUUAUAGUCUUCAUCGAUGACAUUCUUGUCUAUUCCCGUAGCUAGAAUAAUCAUGCAGAUCAUCUCAGAAUCAUACUUUAAACUCUAAGAGCCCAUCAGCUAUUCUCCAAAUUUAGUAAGUGCAAAAUUUAUCUAAGAUCAGUAGCUUUCCUUGGCCAUAUUAUUUUUAGUGAUGGCAUUAGAGUUGAUUCUUAAAAGACCAAGACAGUAAAAAACUGGCCUAGACCCAUUUCUCUAUCAGAUAUCAGGAGUUUCUUAGGUUUAGCUGGCUAUUACCCUCGGUUUGUUGAAGGGUUUUCAUCUAUUGAAUCCUCCAUAUCCAGAUUGACCCAGAAGAAAGUUAAGUUUCAGUGGUUAGAUUCUUGCAAGAAGAGUUUUCAUGAGUUGAAGACUCGACUCACCUCAGCCCCAGUUUUGACUCUACCAGAUGGUUCAGAUAGGUUUGUUGUGUAUUGUGAUGCAUCUAGAGUAGGUCUGGGUUAUGUACUCAUGCAAAGAUUUAAGGUAAUAGCCUAUGUCUCUAGAUAGCUUAAUCCCUAUGAGAAGAAUUACCUGACUCAUGAUCUUGAGUUAGCAUUUGUAGUGUUUGCCUUAAAGAUUUGGAGGCAUCAUUUGUAUGGGGUGUAUGUUGAUGUGUUCAUAGAUCACAAAAGCUUGCAGUAUGUCUUUUCUUAGAAAGAUUUGAAUUUGCAUUAGAGAAGGUGGUUAUAUUUGUUAAAAGAUUAUGAUAUGAGUGUUCUGUAUCAUUCGGGCAAGGCCAAUAUAGUGGUGGAUGCUCUCAGUAGAUUGUUGAUAGGUAGUGUUGCUCAUAUGGAGAAUGAUAAGAAGAAAUUAGUUCAGGAAGUCCAUCAGCUUUCCGAAGUAUGUUUCCAUUUAGUCGACUCGGCAGAGGGUAGUGUGUGGGUGCAUAAUAUUUUGGAAUCAUCUCUGGUUUUUGAGGUAAAGGAAAAGCAGGACAGAUAUCCCAUUCUAGUUAAGCUAAAAGAGUCAGUCGAAGACCAGAAAGUCAAGGUUUUCUCCCAAGGGGGGAUGGUGUGUUGUGUUUCCAAGGUCAUCUAUUUGUGCCAUGUGUAGAAGACUUGAGGUGAAGAAUUCUUGCAGAAUCGCAUAGUGCAUGUUACUAUAUUCAUCCAGGGGCCAGUAAGAUAUAUUGCGAUCUGUGGGAGAUCUAUUGGUAGAGUGGGAUGAAGAGGGAUAUCGCAGAGUUUAUAGCUAAGUUCUCUAUGUGUCAGCAGGUUAAGAUUGAGAACCAUAAGCCUAGUGGGUCCAUAUAGGAGUUUAGUGUUCACACAUGGAAAUGAGAAGAAGUGAGCAUGGACUUUGUGAUGGGUUUGCCUCGUACUUGUCGUCAGCAUGAUUCAAUUUGGGUUAUCAUAGAUAGGAUGACCAAAUCCGCUCAUUUCUUACCUCUUAUUGAGUAGAGGACUACUCUAAACUCUAUAUCAGAGAGUUGGUCAGGUUACACAAAGAUCCAAUAUCCAUUAUCUCAAAUAGAUGUACCCAAUUUACCUCUCACUUAUGGAAAGCAUUCCAAAAGGGUCUUGGUACCCAAGUUCACCUCAGUAUAGCCUUCCACCCUCUGACAGAUGGUCAAGCAAAAAAGACCAUUCAGACUCUAGAAGAUAUAUUAAGAGCAUGCAUUAUUGAUUUUAAAGGUAGUUAGGAUGACCACUCUCCUUUGAUCAAAUUUAUAAAUAAUAACAAUUAUCAUUCCAGCAUCUAGAUGGCUCCGUUUGAAGAUCUCUAUGGUAAUAGAUGUAGAUCUGUUAUUAGUUGGUUCGAGGUAGGUGAGGCCACAGUAGUAGGGACUGAUUAAGUGUUUGAUGCCUUAGAAAAGGUUCAGUUGAUCAGAGAAAGGCUUAGGAUAGCCCAAAGCUAAUAGAAAUCAUACACAGAUAUGAGGAGAAAAGAUCUCGAGUUUAAGGUCAGUGAUUUUGUGUACUUGAAAAUCUCUCCCAUGAAAGGAGUAAAGAGGUUCGACAAGAAGGAAAAGCUUAGUACCCAGUAUGUCGGUUCUUAUAGAAUUAUCAGUUGUUUAGGAAAGGUAGCUUACAAGCUUAAGUUGUCUUCAGAUCUAGCUUCAGUACACCCAAUAUUCCAUGUCUCCUUGUUAAAGAAAUGCAUUGGUGACCUAGCAGUCAUAGUUCCCUUAGAGGGCGUAGAUAUUUAGAAUAAUCUCUCUUUCGAAGAGGUUCUAGUUCAAAUCCUUGAUUAUCAGAUUCGCAGACUGAGUAACAAACAAGUUCCCUUAGUCAAAGUUCCUUGGCAGAAUCAGUCUGAUGAGGGAGAUGCUUGGGAAGAAGAAGCAGAUAUGUGGACCAAGUAUCCUCACCUCUUCUCCACUAGCUCAUAUUUAGCUUAGGGUAAUAGUCUUCCUUAGCUUUACUCAGUUCCAUGUUCAGUUACAGUUACAAACUUGGUAUUAAUUACCAUUGCAUAUCAUCUACAUGACAUCAUUCAUUCAUGAAUCAGUUCAACCAUGUACUCAUGCAUCAGAUAUGUAUGUUCAGUAUGAAAACUCAGCUUAUCAAUAGCUUCAGUCAUGUAUUCCAUGCAUCAUAUAUGCAUAUUUAGUGUGUAAACUCAGUCUAUCAGUGUUUCUCAGCUUAAUCAUUCUUAUUCGAGGACGAAUGUUCCCAAGGGGGAAAUAUUGUAAUACCACAUAUUUCCCUAGCUUAUUUUAACUCUCAGUAUAUGAGUAUUUGUAUAUAAAAUAUUUAAAAUACUCAGAAUUUUUCAGUUUAGAGUUAACCAUUACGUAGGAAAUUCAGUCAGCUUUUCAAUGAUAUAAAAUUCACCCAAAUCUGAUACCCGGGUGAAGAGUUAAAGCAAUUUUUGUAAAAUGGUGUGUCAACUGGCACAUCAUCACGUCGUGGAGGGGGAUCAAAUGGAAAGUGUCAAAAUUCAGUGAGCCAUCAUGAUCCCACCGCAUCGCGCCACAGUCCCAGUUCCUAAUAGUCAUUUUUUAGUAAGGCAAUACGAUACCACCGCAUCGCGCCAAGGCGAUUUUACAAAAUUGUCAAAUUCUAGUGAGCCUCCGAGAUUAUGGUACAUGGAGACAAAGGUUAAUUUUGCAAUUGCCCUUUUAAUAUAGUUUCUAGCUAAGAACUAUAGGCUCACCACGAUGCCACCGCGUCGUGGUGAAGCCCCUAAUCGGGUUUUUCAAUGACAAAUUUUAUAUACUUUCCAGGGGUAAUUUGGUAUUUCUCCAUGACCCAAAUCAACCUUUAACAAGUGAUUUACCCCUAAUUAACCUAGUUAUACCACUAUUCACCCAAUCUCCCCCCAAAAUUAAAUAAUCCUCUCUCAAAAGGCAAAAACCCUAGAUUCAAGAAUCAAACCUAACUCGCAAGAAUUUCCCCAAGAACCUUCAAGAAUUAAUCAUCUCAAGUAUGUUAGGUGUUUAUUCAUGGGUUCCUUUCACCCAUGAAGCCCAAGAAUCACUUUUAGAAACUACAAGAUUGAAUUUUUAUGAAUUACAUGCUUCAAAUUAAUUGUAUUCAUGUUCAUAAUGUUAUAUGGUUUCCAUCCAUGAUUUAAGUAAAGUUUCACGAAAUUGAAAAAGCAUGUAUAUUGAAUUGUGUGAUUUCCAUGUCAUAACCCUUGAAUUUUCAAGUUGGGUGUUAUAGUUACAAUGUUUAUAUGUUGUCCAUGAUUAUAUGCAUUAAGUUGUGCUCCCUAAGAAUUUGAUAGAAUGUCUAUGUGAAUCAAAUGGUAAAAUCAUGUCAUGCUAGCAUAUGUACAAGCUCAUGCCCUACAAGUGUUUGAUAAAAUGUCUUUAUGAAUGAAUUAUGAACAAGUGAACAUUGUUAUGCUUUUCAAGAUCAUGCUAUACUUUACUUUCCAUGCUAUCGAGUCUUGGGGUUAUUAAAUACCUUAAAAUCUAGCCAUUCUUUUAGAGCUAUAGUAGUUACAUAAUAGUCUCAUUCACGUCACGAAACAGUAGUACUCAGAUAGUUAUAGAACUCAGCGAACUUAGUCCAGUUUGGUCAGUCCUCACAAUCAGUAAUAGUUCAGUCAUACCCAGUUCAUUCUAGUAAUCAGAUCAGUGUCUAUUCAAUUGGGAGUAGGAUUCAGCACCGAGUUAACCCAAGGAUAGGGGCUUAUCUUUGAUCCUUAGAAGCCGCCCUUGCAUUCUAGAACUACAUGGCAAGCAUAGGUUGAGAUAUCAACUUGCCAGUUAAGGGUUGAUGAGGUAUUUUAAACUACCAGUUGAGGGUACCACCAUUCUCAUUAGAGUACCUGCUAGAUGCAGGUGACUCUUCAUCUUAUAUUUACCCGUGGCAUAAUAUUGGCACCCUUCAAAUAGGGGUUAUAGGUUGGACCCAAAUUAUCUUUUUUGGGGCAUGUUGGUUAGAUGAUUACCUCCCACAAUUUCAGUUUCAGUCUCAAUAUAGAGCUCAGUUCUGCUCUACAGAAGUAGGACUAUCAGACACAAUCACCUAGUUAUCAGUAACUGUAUCGCCUCGAGUCUAUACCCUGGAUGGUACACAAUGUUGGUGACCCUAAAGGACCACCAGCUAACCCAUGACUGGUACCUGCUGUGAGCAAUGAAUAAUAAUAAUACUUCCAUCAUAACAUAACUAAAAAAAGAAGUUAGGCUAAAAAUAUCAUAAGGUUCAUAACUAAAAAUCAAAACCAAUUCUGAAUACUGGAAACUGAGUACUAAAACAUAUAUCUGAAACACUUUAGUCUGAAAGCCUCUACUAUCUGAAUUAUGGAGUUGAUGGGACAAAUCCCCAACUAACUCCGACUACUAAACUACUGAUAAUCUGAAAUACUGAUAUGAUAAUCAUGUCCUCAAAACUAUGAGGACUUACCACUAACUUUGAAUCAGCUACUGAAAGAUUCGGGCUACUAUUUAUGGUCAAGAAUAUGUGCAUAAGAACCUAUGAUAUAAGAUAUCAUAGCGCAAAAGAAAAGUAUGCGUUAGUACUUUGAAUGUAUUGGUAUUCUAAGUGAGGUAGGCUGAUAUGCAUGGGUUCAUAUGCAUGAACAAUAACUGACUGAUUAACAUGAACAUAACUGAAUGAGAGUACAUAUAUGAGUACAUAAACUAUAACUGAGAUCAUAUCAACAUUGGUUACUGAGUUCUGAAUAUUUAUUAACUGAUAUCUGAGUUUAUUGAUACUGUAACACUAAUAACAGAGUGAUUAUUUCUAACAAUCUUGAUUCUAUAGAAUCCUGAAUCUGUAGAACUAAACUGAGUUCUAUACUGAGACUGAAACUAUAAUCGUGGGAGGUAAUCAUCUAACCGACAUGCCCCUUUCUGAAUAGAUUGAGGUCCAACCUAUAACCCCAGUUGGAAGGGUUUCAUUACCGUGUUACGAGUAAAUAUAAGUUAUGAGUUAAUCCUCUCUGAUAGGAAGCUCUUUCGUCAACCCUCGCUAGUAGGAAACUUAUAUGAGAUAUAUCAACCCUAGUCCGGCAGGAAGAUAUCUCAACCUACACUGGCUACAUAGUUAUGUAAUGCAGGGAUUGCUACUGAGGGUCAAACCCUAUGUUGGAAGGAAUGCCCCUAUCCCUAGGUUCACUUGGUGCUGAAUCCUACUCCCAACUAAAUAGACAGUGAACUGAUUCCUAGUUCAUACUAGGCUUGACUGAACUAUUACUGAUUGUACUAUCUAACUGAACCAAACUGAGUUCACUGAGUUCUAUUAACUGAUGGAGUACUAUUGAAUUCUGGUAACCAACAAAAUACUACGAAGUUCUAUUAACUAACUGAAUUUACUGAGGUCUAACUGAAUACUGAACUGAAACUGUGACUGACUACUGAGUACUACUGUUUGUGACACUACUGAGACUGUUCUGAAACUAUUGUAGCUCUAGGUAAACAACUAAGUUUUUAGGUAUUGAAUACCCCCAGGACUCGAUAGCAUGGAAAGUAAAGCAUAGUAUAAACUUGUGAAGCAUAAUAAUGUGUAAUUGCUUCAUAUCUCAUUCAUAGGGACAUUCUAUCAAACACUUGUAAGCUAUAAAUUUGCACAUAUGCUAGUAUAUCAUGAUUUAUUCCCUUUUAAUUCACAUAAGCAUUUUAUCAAGCACUUGGGAAACAUAAUCUUUGCACAUGAUACUAAACAACAUGUAGGCAUCACAAUUUCAAUUUCCAAUUCACACAUUAAAGGAUUUUAACAUGAAUUCACAUGAAUACUACACACAUGACAAUCAAAUCCACAUGAAACUUGUAAUAAAUCAUGGAUUAGAAAUCCAAUUAACAUUAAAAUCAUGAAUACAUUUAAUUCUAAUCAUAGAAAUCAUGAAAUCAAUUUACUUAAAGUUCAAAAGAGUUUCUUGAACUCCAAGGGUCGAAGGAACCCUUACAUGAACACUUCACUUACCUUAAUGCUUAAAUUCUUAAAGGUUGAUGGUGAGUUCUUGAGCCUUGAAUUUGAAUUAAGAUCACCUAGGGUUUUUGUUCUUGAGUAAUUUGAGAAUAGUGAAUGAAUUUUGCCUUAAAAGUGGCUAAAUCACGUGUUUUGGGGGCUAAUAGAUGUGGGAAAAUGACUCAAAUACCCCUGAGGAUGCGGUUUUUUAAUAAUUGAAAACUGACCUAGCCACACAUAGAAUGAUGCAAUACUUCAAUGGGAUCGACGCGAUGGCUGACGUGUCGCAUCGAGUCUGCAUAGUUCACUAGAAAUUGCACUAAGAGCUAGGGGGAAAUAUUCAUCGACGCGAUAGGCAAUAAGCGCGUUGAGAUCAUGUCGAUACACUGGAUUGGGCUCCCAACGUGCCUCAAACUAUGUUUGAAAAUUUUGAAACUCAUUCGAGAACAUCUACUGACACUCCUGAUCAUGAAUCAACUUAAAGAUCACAAUUCAAUGGUUGUAAAGGUAGCAAAAUAAGAUUUCCAACUUACGAAGGCUAAAUUAACUCUUAGUAUGAAUACUUAGCUAAAAUUUUCUAAGUUUGGGACCCCUUAAUAAGAUUUUAAUGAACUGAAUUGAGCUUAGGAUUUUGCGGGGUCUUAUAGUAACUCAGUUAUCAGUAACUUCAGAUAUCAGUUACUCAGUUAUCAGAAAUCAGUACUUAGCUUCAGUAAAGUCUCAAAUACAAUAUACACGUAUAUGCAUAGUAUUGCAUAAUCAGUAUUUACAGCAAUAUUAGUUAUCCGUGUACUAUCAUAUUCAGUUACUCUAUAUCACUUAGGUAGUUACUAUUUAUAUAUAUGAACCCUUGCAUUCAGCCUUACCUUAUCUAGCAUACCAGUACAUUCCACAUACUGAUAGAUACUUUCUCUUUGCACUAGGAUGUCUUAUAUCAUAGGUUCGGACACUCAGGUUCCUGACCGCUCUUGGAUAGAUUCUAUCAGCAAUAGCAGAUUCAGUAGUGAGUCCUCAUAUAUCAAGGAUAUUCCUUUAUAUCAGUAUUUUAGUAGAUUCAACAUUUUAUUAGUCAUAGUUAGUUGGGGACUUGUCCCAUCAACUCCACAUUCAGACAGUUCAGUUAGAGGCUUUUCAGACUAGACUAGUUCAGACAACAUUUAGAUUUUAGAUGUUUUUAUCAAAUGUUAUUAUUAUAGUAUUCAGAUUAUGAACCUUAGGAAGUUCAGCAUAUUUUUUCAUUAUUUCAUUAUUAUUAUUUAGUGCUCAUAGAAGGUACUAGUCAUGGGUUAGCUUGUGGUCCCUCGGGAUCAUAAGCACCGUGUAGCAUCCAGGGUACAGACUCAAGGAGUUACACUUACAGCCCAUGAAGGAGCUACUCAAGUUAAGCAAUCCAAGCAGGACCUGCUGACAAGUCAAUAUGAGACCUUUACUAUGCAGGAAGGAGAAUUCAUUCAAGAGAUGUACACUAGAUUCACUAUUGUGACAAAUAAGUUGCACUACCUGGGUGAGGUUAUUCCAUCACCCAAGUAGGUCAGGAAGAUCUUAAGAAAUCUUCCUAAAAGAUAGGAAAGAAAAAUAGAUUCCAUCUCUCUUAAGCCAGGGAUCCAAAUAGGAUGGCCAUGGAUGAACUUAUAGGAAACCUCAAAACCUAUGAAUUCCUGAAGAAUUUUGGAAAGUUAAAAGUUGAGACCAAGGUUGGAAAAAAUUUAGUUCUUAAGGAUGCAAAGGAUACCUCAUAUGAUGAAGAUGAGGAGACAACUUAUAUUGCAAAAAGAGUUCUCAAAGCCUUGAGGAAAUUAGGAGCUAUCUCUACAAGGGGAGAGUCCAACAAACUUUUCAAGGAAGGUAAGGCAAGUGACACAUGUCAAAAAUGUGGAAAGUUCAAUGUCUAUAUCAAGGACCUUCCUAUGCAUAAGAUUGAACAUAAGGAUUAUGCUAAGCAAACUAAAGGGAAGGAAAAAGUCAAGGACUAGGUUCCUAUGUAGUAUGGUAAGACGACUGAAGCUGACAAAAUUGCCAAUCAAGUAUUGGCCAUUUGUUGGGGUGAUUCUUCAAGUGACUCUGAGGAUUUAGAACAAAGAGGAGAUAAUUCCAUGGUGGUAAUAAAAUAUGAAUUAUCAGUCUUUGACUCACUUUUUGCUUUGAUGGAAGAUACUAAGAAUGGUGAGGACAACUGAUUACUUCCUCAGUAAACUUAGAUCUAUUGAAUCCGUGUUUCUUGAUUCACUUGAUGAUAUUGCUAAGGACAAAUAAAGUCUAAGGGAAUCCUUAGAAAAAUGUGAAUAAGAAGUGGUGGAACUAAGUGUACAAGUAGUUGAACUCAUGAAUGAGAAGGCAAAGCUAAAGGAAGAUCUGGUUAAAUAUGAAGAAAAAAUGGUGGAGUUAAGUGUACACGUUGUUGAGCAUCAAGCUACUUUACAGAAUCUCUCCUGUGAGAAUAAUGUUCUGAAUACAAGACUAGACAAAAUCACCAAACAAAAUUACAAGGGAAAAGGUAAAGAAAGCACGAUACAAUUUCAGCUAGAAGAAGAAUUGAUUCAAACUAAGGCCAACAUGAUGCUUCACUUCAAAGAAACCUAAUACUUGAAAAGUAAAUAGUUCGGGUAAAGACAGAGCUUGAGAAAGAUCUCAAGUGGACUACUCCAUCACAAGGUCCAACUCAUUUUACCAGCCAAAGUUCUAGCAACAGGGAAAGCUCAGAAUAUCACUGUCAAACGGCCAAGGCUCAGGAUAUUCUUUCUCUUAUCAUGCUUACAAAGGGAAAAGAUACUCCUCUAUGUUUCCAUUGUGGACAAGAUAGUCACAUAAUAUAAAUGUAUCCAUCUAGGGCUCCAACUCAAAGAGGAAUAAGGGAUUUCACUGCCUCAAGAAUAAAAAUGGAAAACUUUCCUAGUUGGACAAAAAAAAAACUGAUUUUUCCUUUAUCUCCUUAUUGGGAACCAACACUAAAAUGGAUUCCCAAGGCUAAUAACCGAUCUAUGAUAUAGGGAUAGGUAAGAGAAGGCAACCAAAAAAGAUGAUAAUGGCUACUCAGAUUAUAAAAUUGAAAACUUGAAGGUCACCUAUUGCUGAAGACCUUUAGUGGAGGCAAUCUCUCCCAGGUAAUAAUAUCAAAGAGUUAAAAUUACUAAUACUGGUGAUGAUGUAAGUUUGGGUUAAAAAUUGAUCUUCAUGUAGUCCUAAAGGACCUAUAUCUACUAGAUCCUUGAAGAAAGUUAGUAGAAAACUAGUUGACUAGAAUAAGAAAGAACACAGGUAAUGAGAUCUAAUUGAUGACUGAUUACUCUCAUAAUUCUUUUGGCAUGGCUAUGAACUGGUAAGCAUGUAUACUUGUUGGAUAAUGUCCUACAUGUCUAAUUCAGUCUCAUAUCUUUGCAGAUAUACACCCAUGACAAAGAGGAGGAGAUAUGAAAAGCGGGGUGAAAACGCACACAAUAGUUAAGUUUAGACAUUGCUCGGGGCCCAGGUCCGUAGUAAGGUUAGUAUCACUUGCUAUUCCUAAAUAAAGACCAUUUCAAAUAUUUAAUGAAUAUGCCAUAUCACUUCCCUACCUUUUUCAAAAAAGGGCUGACUCUUGUACUUUAAGUCCAACAGACGCGUCCAUCUAACAGUACACAUCAUAUCAAAGUCUUCAAAUCUUUUGAUCUCAACCAUUCUCUCAUGCCUUAUAUAAAAAAAAUUUAGAUCAUUUUGUCCAUCAUUUUUCAAAAAAUAAACAAAUUCUCUAUCUUAUUAGUUCCCUAACCAUUCAAAGAUUUUUCUCCUCUCAUCUUCUCAGACCAUCCAACUCCAAAAGGGGCAUUUGUUCAGCAAUUAGUAAGGAGAUAGAACCUCAAAAUCAGAUAGCCUCAUGUAGUAAAAAUUUCAGAUGGGAACCUCUCUCGCCAACCUUCUCCACUUGGAGUUAGAAUGACCUUUUUCAAAGAACUAAUGAGGAUGAUGAGGUACUAUAUCCCAUUAUUUAUAUAUCAGGAAACAAUAGAGCUAGCAAGGAAAGCAUUGAAAAAAAUAGAAAUGUAAGAAAAAAGCAAAAUUGCCAUAGUCAAAUUGUGUGCUAAAAGGUCAGUACACAUUGAAGAUCCAGAAGACAAUACUGAGAGCCUAUUCAAUGAUAGUGAGGAUAGUGAAAUUAAGUGCAUGUUUUAAGGCUUGAGUGACUAUGAAGAUGAGUCACUUGAUUUUGAUAGUGAGAAAUACACUUCUUGUACAAAUGAGAACGUGAAAAGAAAAGGGAAUGCAUCUCUAAAGAAAAGAAAGGGGAUGUUAGUUAUGAAACCAGUGUCUACUAUCACUGGCAAAGAAACGGAUUAGAAAAGGUUAUUGAUAAGGGACCAGGUCCCAGCUCCAAAUUAACCAGGCCCUCAAAGCGAGUGGUUGCUUCAUUUGUAAGUAGAUGAGUUUUGAUUCUAUUAUAGCUGAUAUGCCAAAAAUAAGAGAGUUAAUUGACUUGGUAAAGUUUUAGAAUUGGGAGAACUUAUUAGAAUUAGCCGUGCCUUAUUUGUAUGAGGAAGAAGUAAGGAUAUUUUAUCAUAACUUGAAAAUUUCUGAAGAUGGCUUGUAUCUAACCUCACAGGUCAAUGGUGUGGUUAUGGGAUUAGAUGAAGAUACACUUUUGAAAUCCUUGGUGAUCCUAUUGAAGGAAUAAGGUAAAUAUAAUUAGAGGAAGGGUCUACUGAUUUUCUUAAAAUUUUUGGUGCACUUGAUGACUCAAACACUCAAUUUUGACAAAGGGGAUCUUAAGAGAGGAUUUCGAUUGUUGUUUGGGCUUUUGAUUGGGGCACUACUUCCUAGAUCAGAUUAAGGAAUUACUGUUACUGGUCCUGACCUGUACCUCAUGGAAGUUCUAUCUACAUAUUAGAGAGUGAACCUUUCUACAAUUUUCAUGGAACACAUUAAUACAGUCAUAACCACAAAAGAUUGUGACUAUGGGUUGGCUCAUGGUCUUUGGCUGAAUAGAGUAUUUGUAUACUUUGAUGUUAAAUGUGGAAAGGUAAAGGCUAGCUUACCAAAAUAGGUGUCUACUUCAGUAAAAAGAGGAGAAGAGGGCACCCAUUUAAUUAUAAAGUUGAGAAAUAAAAAUAUUGCCUGAGAGGGUGAAAAAGCCGGAAGCCGGAAUGGAAGCCUUGACUAUAGUGAACAAAGAAUUGACACAACAAAUGCUCAAGGAUCAUGCUGAAGAAGGUGAAAUAUUGAACUUACUCCUUAUAUAGUGGAAUCAAGCUCCUGGUGCUUCUUCCUAGAUCAUUUCCACCACUGCUUCCUUUAGUCCUUCUCUUUUAGCCUUGUUAAAUCUGUUUUUCUCAUCCUUUUUGUCUUUGAUGUGUACAUGAUAUUGUUGUUUUGACUUUUAAUGGUUGUCUUUUUCUUGAAUGGUUUUUGGUACUGUUCUAUGGAUGAUAUCACCUCUUGUACUUCUAUCUGAUCUUUUCUUGCUCAUGAAAGUGUUGCUUCAAUGGCCAUGAAUUAACAUAUAUGCUUAUUUAUGCUUGGUUUACUACUUGACCUCUUUGAUGAUUCUAAAAGGGGAAAAGUAUGAGGUAUCUUGCAUUUUCUUAGAAAGGUUGGGAUAUAUCUAGUUCAUGUUGUGUUGAUGAAGAUAGGAGUUCUCUCACUCAUGGGGAACUUGAUACUCAUAGAUGGGGGAAUAAGGUGUAGGAUGCCUAUAUGCUUAUACGUAUCAGUUAUAAUGGGAAUUGGUUGGUAAAACUAGUUUGACAUGGCCUUGUGGCUUGUGGUGUAUUGUUGAGGUGUAGACUGUGCUUUGUGUCGAUAUUUUGAAGAUGCAAAAUGCUUGCAUGAGUUUAUCAUCAUCAAAAAGGGGAAAUUAUUAAGUCCUUAAUUUUGAUGAUUGACAAUUUUUUAUCUCAACCAAUGGGAUCUCUCCUAGGUUUUCUUGUGUCAUAAUAUAUAUUACUCAUCUUCCUUAACAAGAAAACCAACACUUCCAUAUUCUUACAACUAAAUAUCUUUUAAAGAUGGGAAACAAAGACUACAUUGUGAAAUAGGGAAUUGAUAGUUCAUCGAGUUGUACUUUUAUAUCCUUGUUGUACUUGAGUCUUUGUAUUUUGGUCUUAAAUUUUUCCUACAUUUACUUAUGAUUGUAGUAGUUUUUGAGGUGAAAACCUUUCUCUUUAUAAUCAUCUAGAAUUAGGUGAUUGUCCAAGCUAGAGUUAGAUUAUGGUAUCCGAUUAGAGUUAGCUGGAGGUUGAAGCAGUAACACUACUGCUUGUAUUUCCUUGUAAUAGAGUUAUUUCUAGGAGACAAAGGAUUAAGAGUUUAAUCCUUGGAGUCUGUAUUCAACAAGUUGCUUGAGAUCUUAGAAAUCUUGGAGGCAGGUCGUGGUUUUUCUCCCUUGAGCAAGGAGUUUUCAUGCAAAAAAAAUUGUGUCUUUUAUUUACUUUAUUUCAACACAUAUUACUUUAUAUAUGUCCUAGUUCUUGUUGUAUGAGUGUAUCAAUAACAAGUCCCUAAGUUGAGGAGCAACCCACCCUAACCCUUAAAAAUCCUAUAUCACAUACCCCAUAAGAAUUAAUACAAAAGGAAAAACUUUGACACUUAUCUGUUGAUUAUCGAAAGUCUUCCCAACUUCAUCUCAUCUGAUAACAUAACGUUGAUCUUGGAACCUUGAGGUUUCGAUGAAUGACAAUAUGAAUGAAAUAAGUUGAUAUAUGUGUUCCACUGAUCUGACAAGUUCAAGAGUUCAAUUCCACGAUAUAAAUGAUUAAGAAUUAAAAUUAGUUAAAUUGGUGCAACUGGAAAAUUCAACUUACUCAUCACGUGGUGAAUAGAACAAGUUGAAUUUGGUUCAAACACUUGAUUAUAAGGGAAAGAAAGUUGCAUUGAAAAAGGAGUCCUAUGUGAUGAAAGACUUUUACUUUUGAGCAUAUCCUGAAGAGUCCUAUGUGUAGAAGGAGAAAGAUACUGAAACUUAAAGAAGUGGUAUUUGAGCACUACACGUGAACACAAGUGAAAGAAAGAGUUUCACUCAGAUAAGGAGUAUGGCUUAAAGAAGGACAUUGACUUAACAACAAACUCUAAUGAGUUGAAGAGUCCAACUGAAGAUAAAAGAUUAAUGACAUAAAGGACUUUGAAGAGUUGCUGUUAAAUAGAGAAAGUGAUUCACAUAAUCAUUUACGCACUUAAAAAGGCAGAAAAGGGCAAUUGAUAGAUUGACUUUAAGAAAUGCUACCCAAUCACCGAAGAAACACAUUGAAGAACCUGAUCCUAAUAUAGAAUCUGCAUAAGAGUUGUAAUGUUGAUUGUUAGGAGUUGUUCAUUGUGUUAAACUAUUGAUGUAAUAUUAGUUUCAGUGUGUUAUAAACUGAACUAGGGGCCAAUCUUCGAGUGGGGGAUAACUCAGAGACUUUGGAAACACAUAACUUGGGUGGUGUGUGUGUAGUUAGGAAUUUGAUUUUAUAAUUCCUAGUUGUUAGGUUAUAGGAAUUAGAGUUCAUAAUUCUUAGGUUACAAGAUUUUUGUAAUAAGUUGUUGUUGAGGAUCAUUAUUACGUAGUGAAGUUGGGGUUAAAUCAUGUAGAGGUACAUGUUGUGGUUUUUUACAACUUUUUGGGCCCGAUGUUUUCUACGUAAAAAUCCACUGUGUUAUUUUCUUAUUGUUUUAGAUAGUUCGAAACAUGUUAGUCAACCUGUUCUAUUGAUUGGCAAUAUUUAGGUAAAAAUAAGAUAAUCAGUAGGGCACGUACUCUAACAAGUGGUAUUAGAGCAAGGUUGUCUUAAAAAAGGUUAUCCACCUUGAGUAGUGCAAUAAGUAUAAGUUCUAAUUAAAUAAUGAUACUCCCAUUCUUGGUGCUUGUGCUAUGUUUCCUUAAUGAAUAUGUUAGUGGUUUUGGAAGCAUAGUAAUAUCUUAGGUAGGGGAUUAUAUGUUCUUGAAUGUGAAAAUUUUUAUGUGAUUUUACGAGCUAAGGUUACAGGCGAAGGGGGAAAGAAGGAGAUGAACCUUUUUUGUAUGAAAUAGUUAGGAAGGAGAUAUGUGGCAAAAAUCUUGGUAAGAGUGACUGAAUUUGCUGGUCUUGGUGGGGAGAUCCAUUAAGUGGGUAUAGUAAUGAUAGAUUGAAUGUCGUGAUUGAUGAAAACAUAAACCAAUGUGUUAUGUGGUAGGUACUCCUUGAUUUAAGACUUGAGGGUGUCUGAUUAUAAUGAUAAGGUGAAGUAAUAUUCUUAACGGAUGUAGGGUGUGGAGUCCCAUAGCUUAAGCUAGCACCUCUUUUCUUCGAGUUAGGCUUCCAAUAGAAGUACUAUGCAGUGGGACUCAAACACUUGGGAUUAGAUGUUUGAUGGGAGAAUUGUAGGAUAGAAAUGAUGAAUUAUGUUAUUUAUUGUUUGGGGCAUAGAUGAUUAGUGUCCCUAAGAUUAAGGUCUAUUCAUUGUAUCUUGCAAGGUAGAGAAUGCUUCAAUUCCUAUCUCCCACAAAAUAUCAUUUCAUGAUUAGUACCAAUUUAAAUCAGGCCUAUGACCACCAAAUAAGCUCAUGCCUUAUGUUGUGAUGACUAUGAUCCCUAGAACUCAUGUGCAAGGUCAUCUCUAUGUCAAUUCUUAUUAUUUCGUGCUUCGAAGGGCAUGAAAAUCAUUUGAUGCCUUGCAUAUUUUGUUGAGAAAUAAUGUUCAAUGUGAGGUUACAUUCUUUAUUACAUAAUUUUAGAUAUUCAACAAGUUCCUACCCAUCAUUUGGGGAUAAAUGAUCCCAAGGGAAGAUAAUGUAACACCCUGCACUUUUGGGCUAAAGUUGAACCUUCUUUCCUACAUUUAUAGAACCAAACCCAAUGGUUGCUACUUAUAUAUAAGUGUUAAUGAAACUUCCUUAGUGUGUAAACAUCCUUGGAUAUGAAUAUACAACAUAAAAAUCUCCUAGCUUAAAAGUUAAGUUGAGCACUUUCCCAUCGAUUGACUUUUAGUUGACAAUUUUGCAUGGGUCAACUUCCAGCGACCAUUUCUAGUUGGAUAUGAAGAGUUAUGUGGCCUCCAAUAUAAAAAUUAAAGCCAUUCGAGCCUUCUUUCCAACAUCUCUGACCGUUCUUCAAUUCGAGUAUGGAGUCAAAUAUUAUGAGUGUUUGAAUGAGGCACUAUCAAGGGUGUCCGAUGGUCAUGCGCCGCACACCAAUCGCCAAUGCACACUGCCUCAGAUAUGCUAUGGUCAUACAAAUAAAAACCUAAGGUUUGCGUUGUCCAUGAUACAUAAAGCCAUUUUGGGCGUCAAAAAGUGUUCUGUUUGAUUUACUUUAAGGGCAUAAAGGUCUUUUAUCAUCCCAUAACCAUUCCUAACCCUCUUUGGACGAAUAUUAAGCCUUUAACACAUUAUUUUCACCUCACAAAAUCCCUAAUCAUCUUUCCUUCAAUAAGAGAGGAGAAACCACCUAGGGUUUGAAGAUUUUGACCUCCAAGAGAAAAUAUCUUUAUGUCCUCUUCAAUUUUCUCCGUCAAAAGGUACGUGGGGAUAUCCUAGAUCUCAUGGGUAUAGUUUUUAUGAUUUUAACAAGCUUUACAGUUAUACAUAUAUGUAUAUGUAAUAAGUUUUGAUAAAUUAUUUUAAGAGCAUGCAUCAUGAAUGCAAUUUAAUGAAAGUACGUAAGUAUCAUGGGGUUUUUCUAUAAACUUGAUUUAUAGUCUUGUGCAUGCAUGAUUUGAGUUCGGGAAGUGAUUUAUGAAUAAGACUUGUGAAAUUCCCUUCCGCAUGAUGAAAUUUAUGGUCUUUGCAUGUUGUGAAUUGUGAAUUGGGUUUGAGAGCAUGAAUUUUAAGCCCCUUUUUGGUCGUGAGAUUUAUGUAUAACUAAAUGUUGGGGCUGCUUUAUGAAUGAUGAUGUUUCUUGAGUCUUAAAUGCCACUUGGUCAGUAAUACUUUGUUGUUUCAUAUGUUUUAAGGAGGCUAUUCAUGUUCUAAAGGCUCUUAUGUCCUAAUGGAGAUAAUGCAUGAAUUAAAUGAUUAAAUUGGCCACCGCAUGUAUAAGUCUUGAAAAGAGAGUGUGUUUACAUAAGUUUUCAUAUGCUGUUAAAAUGAGAACUCUCUUGUGAUUUUUAAAUCUUUUUUGUGGUUAUUUGCAUCUUUUUGAAUGAGAAGGGCCAUGUUUUUUAUACGAUAUGGCUUGCAAGUCUAGGUAUGACGAUACCUAUUACAAAAUUCCCUUAAUUAUGAAAGGAAGAAAUGUUUUAAGAAUGAGGCAUGAUUUUAAAGGACUAAAAAUUAGCUUAAGGAGAGUGAGAUGGUCGCCCGAAUAAGGCUUGAGUUUAGAAAACUCAUAGCCCAAAAUCGUGUUUUUCCGAUACGGGUUUAUUAUGUCCCAAAUUAGAGAUUGUACACUGGCGACAACCUUAUGGCGUAAUAUGUAUGAUCUUCCCUAAUUCUUGCGGCAAACUCAAAUUGGGGGCUUGGACGCUACGCUAAGGGAGGAAUCCACAUAGCCCAUGGAUUCGUACGUGUGUAGGGUGACCCAUCUUGCUCAAAAGUAAAGCAAAUAGUUGAGUCGUGAUUACAAAAUAAUGUUUUGAAGCUCAUCAAAUUAUGCCUAUCUGUUUUCAUUUAUGGUAUACUAAACUGCUUUAUAAAAUGCUCUCACUUAUGUUGUAUAAGAAUAUAUGUUAUUUUCGAAUUGUUCUACAUACCUAUACUUUCGAGUAUUAACCCCGUAUCUAUAGGUUUCAAAGUUUAGUCUCGGGGUCCAUCACAUCAGUUGAUCACAUGGGAUAAUGACAGAGUUGAUGAGUCAUCCAUUUUUCGGAAGGCAUGAUUAUUCAUAUGUUUGUCUAAUUCAGAUAAUGGUCCAAUUGCGGGCUUUAUCCUAGCCUAGACAGUUAGUUUUCAAUAAAGGCUUCAUAGACAGUAUUUGAGUGAUGUAUGGUCGUAUUUUGUUGACACAGUUUGUACUAAAAGUCCCCCUUGAAUUUCAUUAUAUCUUCCGCACUUUGACUAUAUAUGGAUUAUGCUUAUGGUAGAAUGCUAAGGGGUCUCUCGAGCCAUUGUGGUUUGGGAUAACCAUCGCGGUUAUGUCUCGACAAGUCGUGUCACUACUUCAUGUGUCUUUGAUGGAAUAGGAACAUCCAAUUGAUUGAUCAAUGGUUUUGUAAAAUCAACAGUCUGCAAAUGUUGAAUUUGAACCUCCAAAGUUGAUGCUUCUUUCCAUUUGUUGCCUAUCAAUUGGUGGUGCUCUGCCCUAUCUUCUCAACUCGUAAUGAUUCAAAAACAUUGUUGGUUGGACAAUAACUCUAUCAUUUCUUUCCAAACUCACAGGUUAUGGGAUAACAAGUUGAGAUGAUGGCAGAUUUUCUGGCAAAAUAAUAUAGGAUGCAAAUACAGGAGAAUGCAAAAUGGUUGUUUGCUCAGACAAUAAUGGGUGAGUACCUAGUACAUGAUCUAUGGAUUCUAAAUGAGCACAAAAUAUUUCAUGGCAUAUAGGGCAAUGAAGUAAUACAUGAGAAAGUACUAAAAUAGAAGGAGAAAAAUUUGCAUUAUUCAUAUUUGAAGUAUGAAUGACAAAUUUUUUUUCUAAGGUAAGGAAUGGUAGAGAUCGAAAACCAACUAUGCAGUAUAUUUAUAUAUAGGUUGCUCAAGUUGUAACCUUCCCCUUCAUUUAUGUGCCUUCCAUUUUCACUAUGCUAAGUUCCAAAUAAUGUUGCAUUGCUUGACAACUUUGCUACCAAAAUUUUUAUAUUUUAGUAAUUUCUUUUUGUGAAUUUGUUGUUGGUAUUUACUCACCUGCUGUAACAGACUUCAGAAAAAGAUCAUGUUUUUGUUAGUGAAUUACAACAAUCUAACCGGACACGUGUAUCACCAACAAGAGAUCAGGAGCCUGGACCUAUUGCUAAGGCCGCCACCUUAUUGGUUUGAUUAAUGAUACAUGUUGGGUACAAUUUUUUCUGUACUUAUUCUACACUUAUGUACCUUUAUGCAAAUUUGGAGACUAGUAGCUGUUUCUAGAAGCUGCUGACUUGUAGUUUCACGUGUUAGAGGUUUUGCCCUGAUUUUUUUUUACCAUAUUUAAGUUUUAUUUUUUUUUAAAGAAAAUAAAAGUAAUACCAUAAUUACUUUUAAUUUUUCUGAAAAGAAAAUAUAAUUCUUUUUCAUAUUUGGCUAACCUCUUUUUAAAUGAAAAGAUUUUGGACCUAUAUAAAUAGAAGACCUCUCUUCUCAUAUCAUAACACAACAAUAUCCACAAUGUAGUCGUUAAAGAGUUUUAUUUAGGGGGAGAAUUUCUCCCAACAAUUUUUAUGUUUUCUUUAAUAUUAAUUUGUCAUGUGUAGGUCAAUUGGCCAAUAAUAUCAAUAAUAUGUUCUUUUAGUAUAUUUUUUUAUCUGAAUCAUCACCGUCUUAAUUUACAAACUGUAUGCAUCCACACGACGCCCUCUGAAUUUCGAACUCAACAAGUGGUAUCAGAGCCUAUGAUUCAAUGGUCCAAUAAUUCCACGAAGGUCCGAUGGUUUAGAUUGAAGACAUGCUAAGUUUAAAGUUGCAAUCAAUUUGAUGAUAAUGAAAAUCUUUAAUUUGUCUAGCUAUAUGUGGAGGAGUUUAGAACGUAUUUUCAACAUUUUUGUUGCUACAUCUUUAGAAAUAUAAAUAAAAUAUUUAUUUUUAACCCACUUUUAACUAUAAUAUUUUAAAUCUUAUUUUUAACCAUGGCAAAUAACAAUGAUAAAGAUUAUGUAAAGAACAAAGUCCAUGCACACGAAAAAAGUAGAUCAAAUUAUGUCAAGAAAAUCAAGCUAAAAUAGGGAGAUUUGUUAGGGUUUUUGCCCCGAUUUUCUUAUCAAAUUUAAGUUAUUUUUUUUUAAAGAAAAAUAAAAGUAAUAUCAUAAUUACUUUAAUUUUUCUGAAAAGAAAAUAUAAUUUUUUUUAAUAUUUGUAUAACCUCUUUUUAAGAGAAAAGAUUUUGGACCUUUAUAAAUAGAAAAUUCUCUUCUCAUAUUAUAACACUGCAGUGUCCAUAAUGUAGUCGUUAAAGAGUCUUGUUUGGGAAGAAAUUUUCUCCCAACAGUUUUUAUGUUUUCUUUAAUAUUAAUUUUUAUGUGUAGGUCAAUAGACCAAUAAUAUCAAUAAUAUGUUCUUUUAGUAGAUUUUUUCCAGCUAAAUCAUCACUGUCUUAGUUUACAAACUUUAUGCGUCCGUAUGACACCCUUUGGAUUUCAAACCCAACAUUAGGGUAGCUUUUUGGCUUAUCUGUAACACUAGACUCUGAUUAUUGAUUUACCGCCAUUUCAUCCCCUGAUGUUUCACCAAAGAUCAACAAGCCUGGAUCUCAGAGAAAGCGAUGCUAUUAAGGAAGUGUAUUAGAUUUCACAUUAUUGUUUAUUUACACUUAUACUCUCUUGAUUCAUAUUUCCGAGUUUUCUACUAUGUGUUUUCCACUUUUGCAAUGGUAAGUUCAAAAUAUUGUUGCAGUGAUAACAACUUUGCCAACAAAAUUGAAAAACUAGUGGUUUCACUCUCCUAAAUCAUGGUCUAUUCUCUUAUUAUAUAAGAGAGAGUUGUGCUGAAACAGGCUGCUGUUCGUCGACAUGUCGGUUUUAGCUGCUUGCUCCAUAAUUUUACUAUAUCACCCCUAAUUAAUUAUUAUAAGUUAUUUACAUAUUAAAAAUUAAUAAUAUUUAAUAAAAAAAGUAAAAUGGACAUUUAUGAUAAAUUUGCUUCAGCUGCUUCAAUCGUAAUUUUACUAAAUAUGACUCUAAUUUAUUAUUAAAAGUCUUCUAAAUAUUAAAAAAAUAUAAUGAAAAAAAUAAAAUAGACAUAAAAUGAUAAGUUAACUCUUGAUGUUUUGAAUUUACUUGACGUUUUAUAUGUGGCCCACUUAAAAAAAAAUUCACAAGUAUUUUCUUAUAGUAAUUGCGUUAUAUCACUUUUAAUUAAUUAUUGUGAGUCAUUUAAGACAUGUCUGUUUCACUGCUUCAAUCGUGAUUUUACUAUAUCACCUCUAAUUAAUUAUUAUGGUCAUCGAAGCAUUAUACCACUUAAAUUGGAAUAGAAGAAAGUGAUUUAUAAAUCACAAUAAUUAAAAUUUUAAAUUAUUUUAAAAAUAUAAUUGACUAUAAAUGCCACAAAAGUUUGGACAACAAGAGUAACAUAUAUUAUUUGAAAAUUAAAUAAGAAGUAUUAUAAAUUAUAAUAGUUAACAACUUAAGAUAUCUUUUAAAAAAAUUAAUAUAUUAUAUAUUUCAAAAAAAAAAAUGUAAAAAUAUUAUAGAUCACAAUAAUUAACAACUUAAAAAAUUUAAAAGAUUUAAAAUAUUUGAUUGGCUCUCGAAAUUAUAUCAACGCUACUUAAAUUAAAAACGAAGAAAAGUAUUAUAAAUCACAAUAACUAAAAACUUAAAUUAUUUUAAAACUAUAAUUGACUAUCAACGCACAAAAGUUUUGAUAGGGAGAGUAACCUAUAUUAUUUGUAAACAGCAUAAAAAUAUUUUAAAGGAAAAUGCUCAAAUAUGUCAUCGAACUUUGAGAAAAGGCUCAUCUAUGCCAUCCAUUUAAAGUUUUUCUCAUUCAUGCUAUUGCCGUUACAAAAAAGGCUCAUCCAUGCCUUUUUUAACAGUCUAAUUUGGUGGUUUUGGUAAAAUCAUUUUGUACACGUGGUCAACAAUAAUUCGCCGACGUCAUUUGUUAAAUGAGCCAAAUAAAAUUAAGGAAAAAGACUCAAAUAUGUCAUUAAACUAUUAGAAAUGACUCAUUUAUGUCAUCAGUUAAAAGUUCAACUCAUUCGUGUCAUCAUCGUUAUAAAACCCACUCAUCCAUGCGAUUACUUUUCAACGAUAGGUUUUCAAAAUGUACAUGAUCCAUAAAUUAAAAAUGAGUAUGAAAUAUUCCAUAGCAUACAGGGCAAUGAAGUAAUACAGGAGAAGGUAUUAAAGUUGAAGAGGGAAAUUUGCAUUCUCAAUAUUCGAAGUAUGAAUGACAAUUUUUUUCUCUAAGGUAAGAAAUGAUAGAGAUAAGUACUAACUAUGCAAUAUAUUUAUAGGCUUCUCAUGAUAGAACCUUCCCCCUUCAUUUAUGUUUCUUCCAAUUUAGCUAUGGUAAGUUCCAGAUAAUGCUGCAAUUGAGUGACAACUUUGCUACCAAAAUUUUUUUAUUGCAGUAAAUUUUUUUUCCUAAUUUGUUGCCAAUAUUUGACUAGCCUGUUGUAAUAGACAUCCGAAUAAGAUUAUGUUUCCAUCUAAGUCGACAUACAUCAGAAAAAGAUUAGAUUCUCUCUCUUAGACAAAGAACUUCAAAAGAAUAGACUAUGUUUUCUCUCUAAGUCGAUCAAGCACCCUCAUUGAGUAACUACAACGGACUUACGAAUUUAAAGUUUGAAAGUAUAUACCCCUUUUGAUUUUUGUUUCAUUAGUGAAUUACAACAACCUCAUCUCUUUUGAAUUUUAGCUAUCAUUAUUUUGUUGUAAUAUGGUACACAGAUUGCAGCUUACUAAAUUCUAAAAUUACUCUUUAAGGUAAUAUAAUUACUAUUUAUUCAAAAAUAAAUAUGGUAUUUUUGUAAUGUUCUUUAUGUCAAAAGUUUAUUUUUUGAUAUAUAUUUUUGUAAUAAUUGAUAAGUAUAUAGAAGAUAUACAAACUAAAAAGAUAACAAUAUUUAUUUUCAAGAGAAAAAACAUACCUGUAAAACAAAGUAGCGUCGAAAUGUCAGGUUUAUUAAGUGUUAAGCAAUGUUUGAUAGUCUUGCAAAAUGGUACUAAGCGACAUUCGAUUAUCAUUAUGACUAUAUUGUUGUAAUCAUGCAGACAGUUUGUAUCCUACAAAAUUAACUACAUCUUAAACUUCAUAAAUUAGUUAGAAAAUAAGGGAAUAGAAAGAAAUAUAGGAAAGCAAUGAUACAUUUAAAAACUAUGAUGCAAAAAAAAAAACAAACAAGGUGGAAAAGUAUUAGCUUAACGAGUGACAUGUCGUAUAUAAUUUGACGGCCAAAACUUGACAUUUUUACUCAGUAAAAAUAGGUGACAUUAAUAACAUUGAACUAUAAAAAUUUAUUUUUUUUAAUAUGCUCGACAAGGAAACAAAAAAAUAUUUUCUCUCAAAUAAAUGGAUUGAAAUAUUUAAACAAAGGCAAAUAUUUUAACAAAUAAAAAUAUUAUCAGGCACAAAUACAUAUAUUUUCAAUUUCUGGACAUUAUAUUAGAUGUUCCUAAACUAUGAAACCAGAUUUUUGGAGAUUUUUUUUAGGGUUUUUUUGCUUUUACUUAUGUUUUAGGGCCUAACUUUUUCUAGGAGUCUCGCCUUGGUAUGUUUUUGUAAAGUUCGUGUUUUCUUUAUCAAUUUAGUUGAUUGUCUUAUACAAUUUUAGACACUCACUGUGUCAGAUAAAAAUAAUGCAAAAUAAAGCGAAUGACUCGCCCUUUUAGAGACCCAACUAUUAGACAAACAUAUAACAGUAAAACUUAAAAAAAAAAG